GACUGCCCUCUCUCUCGCCAAGCAAUCACCACGCGUCGUCCAUCUCAUCACCGAACCACCACACACCAAACACCCACAGCACCCCAAACUCACCAAAUCAGUCACCAAAAACAGCACCACCUCCAACAACCAACGAUAGCUAGCAGCGGUAGUAACGAAAGAGGGAAAGACAGCAGAACCAAAAGGCCCUGAUCUCCCUCGUCAGUUGUUGGUGAAUAACGCCACUAUCACGUCCAGGUAGAAUAGAACGAGAACGAACGCCAGGUCCUGCUCAUCACCCGCCACCAGUCAUCGGCUUGUGGCUUCACCUACCUCAGCUUCUGCACGCUUCAACGCUGUCCCAACAGCUUCCUGAAGGUAUGUUCUGAUCUCGCCUUAUCUACGACAUUAAUAAGUUUAUGCAUAUUGUGCAAUAUUUGAAGUUGAAGGGUUGGAGUCAUGACGGAAGUAUGCUGGGGGAGAAUUUUAUUUUAUUACAAAUCAUGAUCACAUUAAUGCUGAAAUGUUGCGCGAUAUAUGAUUAACAAAACACUACAUGUAACUGUUCUAAUUUUUCUAAUUCUCAAAUGUACAUGUGAUCACUAUCUUUCUUGAACUCUCACACCAGUAACCUGACUUCGUGCUUUAAACCUCCUGCUCAUUUGCUCAUCCCAUUUUAUUAUAACUAGAAAUGGAGGUGAUGAACAAAGUACUCUCCGAGAGCGAUGCAAAAAAUAAGCGACUGGAAUUUCCGGCUAGGAGUUUCUGAGCCUUCCCCCUGCUUGAUGGACCGAACUCGGUCGAAUUUGUGGCAUUUGACAUGCUAGAACAACAAUGGAGACUUGAGGUCUCCUUCUGCAAUGAAGGUAAGUAUCCGAAACCUUGGCUAAAGGGCGAAUGGGAUGACCAUGUUCGUCAGCAAGGGCUGGAGAAAGGAGAUAAGGUUAUCUUGACUAUGCAUGAGCAAGAGAAUGGCGAAAGAAUUUAUCGUAUCAGAGGUGAAAGAAAGCAUUUCGGUUUCUGGUAUUCAAUGGAUGAUUAAUCGAAACUCAUUUAAACCAUAGAUAUACCAACAAUCACUACUACAAAAUGAGCCUAUUAGCAACUACCUAUUCCAUUGCAGAUAACAUUAAAAUCCGUUGCUGAUGAAAUUCAGCAACGGAAUUAGCAACAGAUAAUUUCAGAUGCAAAUAAUAGAUGCUAAUUUUUUAGCAACGGAUUAUCAGUUGCUAAUUUUUUAGCAACGGAUUAUCAGUUGCUGAAAUUCAGUUGCUGAAUAUGUAAAUCAGCAACGGAUAUUCCGUUGCUGAUCAGCAACGGAUCAGCAACUGAUAUUCCUAGCUCAUUUAAACUAAGGUCUUAUCGUAUCAGAGGUGAAAGAAAGCAUUUCGGUUUAAGAUAAGAAUUUAUCGUACCUAACACACCAAAAUAUUUUAUAUAAGGAUGGAAUUACAAGCUAAAAAACUCAUGGUAGCAUAUAUAUGCCCCUUUCAUAUAAAAGAAAAAACGGAUAUUAAAAACACAAGAGCCCACCGCGUACUGGUAAGUCACCAGUAGUAUAAACAAAGUACAGGACUAGUGAUUAAUGGUGCAAACAACUACGAAGGAUGCAAGGUGCGAAGCCACUAGGCUUUUUUACGUAAUACCAAGACUAAACGCCAUGAAAGAAAGGGGCAAUUUGUUUGUCUUCAUUUUUUAUUAGAAAUUAACCACACAUGCAUUUAGCUCAACUUAGGUAUUUCCAUCUCUAUAUUGCAAACUCUUCAACCGGUAUCCAGAUGCGCAUCGUCAGGUUUCUUUCAGCCCUGAUACGAUAACUCCUGACAGCAUUUCCCUCCACUUGCAUUAUCAACUUAACUCUAUCUCCUUUCUUCAACCCUUUCUCUUGAGCAUACCUCCUCCAUUGGCCAGACAUCCAAGGUUUCUUAUAUCUUCCCACGUUGCGAAUGGAGACCUUGAAUCCCCAUCGCCGGCCUAGCGUGUCCAUUGCAACAAAAUUGAAAUAAUUUUGACCAGCAGGGAUGGGGAAGUUCCCUAGGCUUUCCUUCGGAAGUUCCAUUCGAUUAUUUGUUGCAUCACUCUUGGACACUGAUUUUUCCAUUGCCACCUCCUCCAUUUCUAGUAAAUUAAAAGGGCUGAGAAAAAUGUAUAAAAGAAGAAAAGAAGUGUAUUUGCCUAAUUAUUUGGAUUUUUUUAGUAGGGAUAGUUGUAAUGAAAGUAGAAGAGGUUGAGGUCCUUUUAUACCCAAGACUAAGAGUUUCUGUUGAAGAAAAUAGAAAAGAAGAAAACGUUAUCGGACUUUUCUCCCUUCUCUAAGUUGAGCAACGAAUACGUGAGAAUUAAUACAAAAGGCGCCAUAACCUCAUAUAUAUAGCCAGGGGCGGAGCAAGAAAAAAAAAUCAAGGAUUAAAAGAAAGUAGGUCCCCCUUGAAAAAUAUCAACAUUGGCUUUGAAUGAUGCUGGGAGGGCCUAGGAAAAAGAGAAGAAGGAGGUUCCAUGAAAAAAAAAAAAAGAUUACUGGUUAAAAUUUUAAUUAUUUUAUAAAAGGGAAGGGCUGGGAAAAAUUUCCUUGCAAGGGUCGGGAUCCUACCAGCUCUCUUUCCUCCGCCACUGUAUAUAGCCACUACAAAAAAAUAAAGGGGCAAAAGGCGCCGACUUAUACAACAUCAUAUACCUCAUACUAGUUGCAAUUAGCAUUGAGUAAAAACACCGAGAAAUCGAGAAAACUAGAAAAUAUUAAAAUCUCUGAAAAACCGAACCGUGAAAAAAAACCGAUUAAACAAAUUAAAAUUUUGAAAAAACCGGCCGAUUCGGUUUGGUUUUGGUUUUCUAAGCCUAAAACCGAAAAAACCAAACCGAACCGAACCGAACCUAACCCAAACCAAAAAAACCGAACCGAACCUAACCCAAACCGGAAACAAACCGAGCCAAAUUGGAAAAAAACCGAGCCAAACCAAAAAAUUCGAGUCAAACUGAUUUGAACCAAUUUUUGUCCUAAAAAACUGAACCGAAAACGACCGGUUUCGGUUGGGUUUGGUUUUUUUUUAUAAAAACCGAACCGAACAAAAAAUGAUCACCCCUAGCUGCCAUGCCUGCGCGCUACCGCGAGCUUACGGCAUAUUUGUGCGUUGUCAUGGAUUUAUAGAAAAAAUCAUAAAAAAAAUUACAUGGAGAAACACUAUUGCAAUCCACAAUGUUUUCAAGAAAAAUUAAACUACAAAGCUAAAUUUUCAACCAGCUUAAUAUUAAAAAAAUAAAAUAGACAAAGAUAAUUUUGAAAAAAAUCAUAAAAAAACAAAAGGAAAAAAAAUCAUGUAAGGAAACAUUGCAGUAAUCUAUAGUGUUUUGUCAGAAAAUAUACAAUUGUAAUUCUCAACCAACUCAAUAUUAAAAAAAUAAAAUCAAUAAAAAUAAUUUUGAAAAAAAUCAUAAAAAAACAAAAGGAAAAAAAAACUAUGCAGGAAAACACUGUAGCAAUCUAUAGUGUUUCAUGAGAAAAUCUACAGUUGUAAUUUUCAAUUAGGUCAAUAUUAAAAACAAUAAAAUCGAUAAAGACAAUUUAAAAAAAAAUUAUAACAAAAAAAAAUCAUGUGGGGAAACACUUUAGCAAUUAACGGUGUUUUUAAGAAAAAAAACUACAAAGCUAAAUUUUCAACCAGCUCAGUAUGAAAAAAAUAAAUUCAACAAAGAUAAUUUUGGAAAAAAAAAUCGAUAAAAAAAUAUGUGGGAAAACACUUAGUAAGAAAAAAUCAUGUGGGGAAAUGCUGUAAUAAUCCACAAUAUUUUUUUUAAAGAAAAAAACUACAAAGCUAAAUUAUCAACCAACUCAAUAUGAAAAAACUAAAAUUGACAAAGACAAUUCUGGAAAAAAACAAAGAAAACAAAAAAAAAUCAUAUGAAAAAAUACUAUAGCAAUCAACAGUGUUUCAAAGAAAAAACUAUAAAGCUAAAUUCUCAACUAGCUCAGUAUUAAAAAAAAAUCGACAAAAACUAUUCUGAAAAAAAUACAAAAAAAGAAGACAAUUUUGGGAAAAAAAGCAAAAAUAAAAAUAAAGAAAUAAAGAAAAAAACACGUAGGGAAAGCUAAAGUUAAAUUCUCGACCAGCUAAAUAUUAAAAAAAAUCAACGAAGAGAAUUUUGAAAAAAAAACAUGUGGAGAAAUAUUGUAGCAAAACAAAAACUAUGUGGGGGAAAUACUGUAGUAAUCUACAAUGUUUUUUUAUAAAAAAAACUGUAAAACUAAAUCCUCAACCAACUCAAUAUGAAAAAAAAACCGAAAAAAAUCAUAAAAAAAAGAAAAAAAUCAUAUAGAAAAACAUUGUAGUAAUUCACAAUUUUUUUUUAAAUGACAAAGCUAAAUUCUCAACCACUUCAAUAUUAGAAAAAAAAAAUCAGUAAAAAUAAUUUUGAAAAAAAUAUAUAAUUUUUUUUUAAAAAAAAGAAGUAAAUCAUGGGGAAAAAAACAAACAUGUAAAAACAAAAAAAAAACAAUAUUAAUACAACAAAAAUAAAAGAUGUGGAAAAAACUACAGUAAAUCAAUAAAGAUAAUUUUAAGUAUAAGGUUGAAAGCAACUUCAGUCGAAUUUAGCCACUUCACGUGUAGACUUUAUUAUCAAAACAACGGGCGCCGAGUUUCUUCGAGAAGCCUCUAUGCUCUUUUCUUGCUACCCAUGGAACCAUAAGCUGGCAAGGAUUAAUUUGUAUGACAUGGUAUUCUGCUGAAAAAAACAAACAGAGAAAGAAAACAUAAUACGCAAAUGAUACAAUUAUUGAAAGUUUCUUUAAUUAAUAUAAUUUAAAUAAAUUAUAGAUAAAUAAAAUAUUAAUCUUAAAUAAUCUUUAAUUUUAUUAGAUUUAAUUUUUUAUUUAUGAUAGUUAAUCAUAAUGAUAUAAAUUAAUUUUUAUUAAUUCUGCAAAAAAUUGCACAAGAUUCCAUACAAUUGUGUCUGGGAAUGAAAGAUAUUAAUUAAGAAUAAAUAAACAAGUACAAUUAAUUUAAUUCAGAAGUGGAACUAACCGCUUUCAUUUAGUCUUACAAAAAUUUGAGGAGAAUCAUCAAUAAAUGAAAUGUUCAUGCGUUUAAAUCCUAUCAAUUUUAUUCUUUUAAUUAAUUUAAAUAAAUAAUUAUUUAAGAGUAUUAAUAUGCUUUAGUAGGGAAGUUAGUCUCAACUGGUUACAGGGUAAGCUGCACAAAAAAAAAAAAAAAACAGAUUCAAGAAACAAAAACAUAAUAUGUAAAUCAUACAUAUAACACAGGAAAUAAAAUACCGGCUCUGCUUAAGAUAAUAUGGAUCAAUUAUUUUAUGAUUAAUUGUUAUAAAGAUAACAUUUAAGGAUGAAAAAGUUGUUUGAUAGGAGAGUAAAAAUCAAAUAUAUUAGUGUUAACUUCAUGAGUCCCAACAAACACAUUUCAAGCGUUUUUGUUACCAAUUAAUUGUUUUUUUUAGAAUUUAACUCGUAGAAAGAUUGUACUUAAAUAGAUAUAGGUUUCGAUUGUUUAUUACAUUGACAUAUGAUAAAAAACAUUGAUAUUUCUCUAUAACAAUGAACAAUGAUUAACAUAUAUUAAAGGGUAUUGACAUGUUAUUAUAGCAAUAAACAGUGAAAUUCCAAGGUUUUUUUUAGCUAUAGUCCUAACAUUUUUUAAGACUCUUUGUUUUUAAUUUUAAUUUUUUUUUUAAUUUUAUUCUUCAAUACUGGCUUUACUCGAUACUGAACUUUAUAAUUAUUUUUUAUUUUUUUAUAGGUUUAUCACAGUCUCAUGACCCGGGUUGCGAGUUUGCAAGUUAGACAAGUUUGCUCAGGUUUUUUCUAUCUUUUUUAAUUGAUUUUUUUUUAAUUUUAUCCUUCAAUAUUGGAUUGAUUGAAAAUUAAACUUUAUAAUUUUUUAUUUGUUUUCUAUAGAGUUAUGUUGGUCUCCUAAUUAGGGUUUGGUAGGUCAAUCUAGGUUGACUUAAAUUAUUUUUUUGUUUUAUUUUUUUUUCAAUUUAAUACUUCAAUAUUGGGUUGAUAGGUAAUUAAGCUUCAUUUUUUUAUUUUCUUUUCAUAAGAUUAUUACGGUCUUAAGAUCUAGGUCGCGGGUUAGGUCGAUUAUUACGGUCUUCAUUUUUUUAUUUCAACCUUCAAUAUUGGGGUUGAUUGAGAAUUAGAAUUCAUAAUUUUUUUUUAUUUGUAUUCUAUGAUGUUAUCUUUGUCUCAUAACUCGGAUCAUGAGUUUGGUCAGUUGACCUGAGUGGUUUAUUAUGUUUUUUUUAUUUCAUCCUUCAACAUUAGGUUUAUUGGGAAUUGAGUUUCAUAAUUUUAUUUUAUUUUUUUUCUAUAGGGUUAUUCUGAUAUCAUAACUUAGGUUUAGAAAAUUAACCCGAAUUGACUUGACUUCUUUUUUCAGUUGAUUUUUUUUAAUUUUAUCCUUCAACAUUGAGUUAAUUGAGAAUUGAGUUUCAUAAAAAAAAUAUUUUUCUUUCUAGAGGGUUAUCAAGGCCUCAUGAUCUGGGUAGCUAAUUAGACAAGUUAACCAGUGUUGUUUUGAGUUCAUCUAAUAUGUUGUCGUUUUAAUAUUUUUUAAAAAAUUAUCUUUAUAUUUUUAGUGAAACAAUAUUUUUAUCAGUAAUUCAGGUUGUUUUUGGAUUUGCAAAGUCAAUCAUAUAAUAUCAAGUCAAUUCCCAUAUAAUUUGAUUUAAUUUUUUUUCUAAAAAAACACAUUAACAAUAUUUAAAUAUUUUACUUAUAUAUAUAAAAAAAAGUUUGAUCCGACUCGGAGUACUGUGAAGGUAAGGAUCUAGUACGAUUCGAAGAAUGAAACAAAGAUAAGGCUUUGUAGUGUAAAACCUAAAAAAAAAAAAAAAAACCUAGUGUAAGUUUUAGACUAAAAAAAAGCAAAACUUUGAAGUUGAUGAUAAGAAAAAGUAAUGGAAAACACGCAAAUAAAAGUUCAAAUAUAGAUAAAGUAUACAGAUAAACUAGCCUAUUAUCCCAUGCUAUACUGCGAGGCAGAGUAAAAAACAUUUGAGUGCAAAAAAAAUAAAAAUUGUAUAGGUAUUGGUAACAUAUCUUCUAAAAAAAAAUUUUAACCAUGAAUUGAAUGAUAUUGUUAUCUAAUAUUGAAAUAGAAACAAACUAGAUCUACUUGGGUUAAACUAAUUUGAUAGGAAACACUUGUGAGAAUAAUCUUGAAAAAAAAUAAAUUGAUAAAAUAGGUGAUGACUUCGAAAUUUUUUUGGAAACUUCAUUUUAGACUUUAUCUUUUUUAGCUAUUAGGUAACUGGUCCUUUUAAUUUCUAAAAAUUCAAUUUCAAUAUCAAACUUUAUUUUCUUUAUGUUUUAGUCUUUUUUGGGUGAGAGGAGAGAGAGGGGCUCACUAGAUUCUAGCAUGGAGAGAGAAAGUUGUCGUUAAUGAUUAUUUCGGCUACCAAAACGAUCGAUUUUGUGUCAAAUAGUUUUAUAUGAUGAGGGGAGUUCAAAUUAGUUUUUUGUACUUUGAAAGUGCCUAUCCGAGCUUAGAGAGAUUUUUUUUCGGGUUAAUUUUGGGUUUUAAGGCAGUGUUUUGCGUUUUUAGAGGUUAUAAAUUAGUUUAACAAAGUUCUUAUGAUAUUUUCUAGAUAUUUUGAAUAAACAAAUGGGUUGAAAAUGGGUUUUGGAUGAAAAUAAUAUGAAGAAUAUUUUCUUGCCAAAAAAUUAAUAUGAAUGACCCCAUUAACUUAAAAAAAUAAUUAAAGACCCGUGUGUGUGGACUUAACCUUGUAGGCACAAGCGUUAGCCCUUUUUUGACAGGACAAGUUUUUGACUUAACUUAUUAGACCAAGCAGCGUUCUGAACUUAUUUUUUUUAAUUUUUUUUAAUUAAUAUUGAUUUUAUAUAUCUAUUUUUUAAAUAAUUUUUAAGUUUGAAUUUUAGCGCGGACAUUAAUUUCAGGUUAGUUUUCAGUUUGUCUUUGUGAAACUUUAUGAGUCUCCUGCUUAGCUGUAUGUCUAAUAAGUGAGAAAGCUUGCGAGUGGAGAAGACGUUACCCGCGUGGAUGCCCGAAGUAUCCACGUGUACGAGAGAAGAGAAAUCUUCCUUACAUGGGGCAUGCGUGCCAUGUACAACAUCAGUUAAGUUGCAAGUUGCACAAAUAAUUAAUCGGAAGUGGCCAAAAAAGUGUAAGGAAUUCGAUAUUCAUUCUCACAGCUAAGUUUGCAAUCUCUCUCUCUCUCUCUCUAAGCGGCAUUUGAAAACUCUUACCAACUUGUAUUUUUAAAAAAAUUAAAAGUUUUUUAUUAAAAAUUAAUUUUUUUAUAUAUUUUGGAUUAUUUUGAUGCGUUAAUCUCAAAAAUAAUUUUAAAAAAAUAAAAAAAUUAUUUUAAUAUAUUUUAAUAUAAAAAAUCAUUUAAAAAACAAUAAUAAUUACACUCCCAAACAGAUUAACAGUAAAUCUCAUGUGCCUACGUGACAAAUCGGUUGCACUUUUGGCUCAUUAUAACCAAACAAGAAAAGAUAAAUUAAUGUUUGAUUAGGCGCCAACAUAUAACGUUCUUUUUGGCACCGACAAUAUUAAUUUCAGGUUAGUUUUCAGGUUACAAACUUUACGAGUCCAAGAAAGAUUAUUACCAAACCACUUCCAACUGCUUUCAAUUAUUGGCAGAUAUAAUAAUGAAAUGAUUUGGGUUAUGAAAAUACCAAGAACCAAGAAAUGCGGAAAGAGCAGUAGCAUAUUGAGAAACAAUCAAGUCAAUAAUGUCAGGCCAGCCAAUCAAUCAAUCAAUAUUAUUGGCAAACAGUCUAUGAACUUAAACCACAAUUGGGACGUCAUGAUCAAUGCAAAGUACAGUCAACUUGUAGAUUAAAGAGAAAUUAACCCUCAAGGGAAACCACUUUGAAUGGUGGGGUCUCAGUUUUCUUUUCAAAAUUGUAUGUGCACCAGCACCACAUAAGCGAAGAUCUUCAAUCAAUAAUCCAACCACUAAUUUCAUUCAUAAAGUUGGAUGGCACCACUCUCGGUUUCUGUGAAAUGUGGACGUAAAGUGUGUUUCCCUAAUGGUCUGAUAUUCGCUCGCAAAUUGGCAACAAGAGGAGGCCGGGAAUAUUCUUGCUUUGCUACACGAGGCAUGAGCAGCUAGCUUACCUAUGAUCCUAUCUAUGGCCUUUUGUACAUGUUCCUUGACAUGACCCCCAAUGACUUGUUUGAGAGGGUGCGUUUGGCGAGCAGAAGAAAUUUGGCUGGACAAGAUGAAUUUGUCGUCCCAUGGAGAAAAACAAGGAGCUUUUGGAACACACCAACUAACUUGCAGAUGAACUUGUUUUGUCUGGUUUCAUGCAUCAAGUGCUAUCUAUGUGUAUAGCAUUAUUUAAGUGUAUAUAUAUAUAGUAGUGAAUAAUAUCCUGGAGAUAUUUUACUAAAAUGUUUUUACGAGCAUAAUUAUUAAAUCUAAUUUAGUCUCAUUAGUUAGAAUUAGAGAACUAAUUUUGAUCUUGAUAUGGCUACAAUUAAGUGAUUUAACCAUGUCAAUACCAAAAAAACUUUUAAAAAACUUGAAAUAAUAUUGUUUUAAAUAAAAAUAAUAUAUAUGAGUUAAGCAUAGUUUCUUUUCUGGAUGAAACUUCAGAAAAAAUCUGACAAUUAUAAUUAUAAAUAAGUUUAACUUCUGAUUUCUAGCUUUUAAGCAACUUUUCGAAAAUUACAAAACCUUUUUUUUUAAUGACUUUUGAGGGGGGAUACUUACAAAAAUACCAUGUCGCCUAACGGGCUCUAAAUCAUGCAAGGCUGUCAUGUUGAUGCAUGGCUAGCACAUGGGCUCAGGGGGACCCUUUAGUCCGGCGAGCCCUAAAGAGGGGAAAUUUUCAAAUGGGAGCACAAACGGGUUCUUUUGGCCGACAAAAGAAUCUUUAUCUUGUCUAAUCCAUGGCACAAUGAAUGGGGACAGAAACUGUUGAGAGGGGUGUUUUGAGAUGCCUCACCGGCUCACUGUGAUCAUUAGAUGCCUUACCAAGUAGUGAAUAAGAUACCUUGCGUGCAUCCGCUUUAGAGACAGAGAUCUUUUAGUCUUACUUCGUAAAGGAUGUUAGGUAAGAAGAGACAUUUUUAGAAUGUAGAAUUCGGCCUGGAGUCCAGGACUAUACAUGGCAUGUACUGUAGCCGCCUAGUGCCUAGCCACUCUGUUAAGGCUACAGUCCUUUCCUCAGUUCAGGGCUGGGCUUGUGAGCCAUGGGCUGGUUACUGCAGAUUUUGCAAGUGCUAAUCCAGCAAGGAUCUAGUAAUGGUUCCUUGUACUCAUUUACUUCAAUCCUAUUCACCAAGUUGGGCCAUGCUUGCAUGGGUUACUCUGGUUUGGAGGACUGUAGGGGAAGAACAGAUGCCAGCAACAUGAAUAAAGCGGGAAGCGAGAAAAUGUCAAGCAAGCGAAACAACGGCAUACAAUUUACAAGACAACGCAGAAGAAUACAUUUUGGAAUCACAAAAUUCAACUCCAUUUUCCAAUCAACCAGCCGCCAACCCUCCUUUUUGUAUACAAGGAAACAUAUAUUCAAGGUCUUCAUGUUCAUAAAAUCGGUUCACUUGCUGCAAGAAACAGCUCCAUCAUGCCUAGAGACAGUAUGCAACCCUCUUGCAGCUUUUGCUAGAAUUUCUGAAUAACAACUGAAUUGGCAAGGCCUGCCUGCUCUAUUGUCUGUGUUGGAUCAGUAAGAAGCUUAGGUGGGAACCCCAUCAACUGCAGUUGAUAAUUAAGAGCAGCCCCAGGCCUGGAAGCAUCUAUGAAGGAUCGAAUGUCAUUGACUGUGUGAUGAUUAUUAAAGUGGGUCACCAUGCGGGUCCCAUCAGCCAGCCUAAGCUGAAUUGAAGUCGAUGGCAGUGUUUCAUCCACAACCAGGCCCAUAAAAGGGGUUGGAGCAGAGUUCAGAGGAGCAGAAUCAGCUGUUGGUUCAGUUGCAAGUGCAGUACUGCUGCUUCCUAGAGUUCUCCCUACACCUUGGAAUGGAACAUGGCGCUGCCUCUCUGGUUCCUGCAGGAAAACAAUGACAGAGGAGUGUCAGUACGGCUCAGCACCAAUGUCUUUCAAACACAUGUACCAACACCGAUGUAUUUCAAACACAAAUGUAAAAGCAUGCUGAUGCUCUUUUCGGGAACAAGUACUGACCAAAACACUGACUCGGAGAUUAAAAAAGGAUGACAAUUUCUGAAGUUCCAAAAAUAAUUAUUAGUCUAAGUAAGAAAAGAGUGAGAGAAAGAGACUCACUGGGCACUUUUGAUCCUUCCUAAUCAAAUUGACAUGAACUGAGGACCUUCUAUCCGCUGGUUCAAGCUCCUUCGGACACUCGGACUUCCUGAUGCUCUGCAAUAAAACAUUAUAAAACAAAAUCAUAAUAUCACCACAAACAAUACUAACGAAGAAAUAAGGGAGCAGGAAUCAGUAAAACACGACGACAUAAAACAAAAGCUGCCCUAGCAUAUGCUGCUAUAAGUAAAGGUUCAAGAGAACGUAGAAAAAGAAGUCUUAGGAUGAACUACCUAUCUAGCAGAAUCAUUAGUCAUUAUUGAAACAAGCAAGAUAGUGAAAAGAUAUUGAUUGAGAAUGAUGCAAUUACCACGAGCUUUGAAUUUUUCUCACACAUAAGGGGUGGAAACAAUCACCAACUACAAAUCAAAACUCCACUUUGUGAAAAUUUUCUUCUCACUCUAUAUAAUUUCUUUUAUUUCAUUUUAUAUCUGUAUUGCUAUUACCUCUAUGAAAGAUGCAUUUUCAGGAUCAUCCAGACUCCUCAAAGGGCCAUCAUUUACAGUGAAACCAUUCGUCCAGAAAACAAUAUUGUGAACAACAGCUUCAGGUUGUUGAGGAGCAGAUGGUACAGUCUCCCCUGAGAGUAAUCUACCAGUUCCACUAAAGCUACUUGAGCUUGAAGAUUGAUUAAUAUUCUCCAAAGGCCCUUCAACAGCACCAAGCUGUCUAGCUUGAUUGAAAAUUGCAUCCACGUCAUUACCCUUUGUAGGAUCUUGGACAAGCAUACCACUGCAACCGUAAAAAUUAGAAUUGCACAAAGUACUUAAAUAAACACAUUUCAUACAUAUAUUAUAUAAAGGAAGGAAUGGCCAAGGGCAACAAGUCAGAUAAAAACAAAUGAUAGACAUAGGCAUUAGCAACUAAAGCUUUGUGAAAUAUUUCAGGAGCCACAGUUGUGGGAUUGAAAAGCAUUCUAACAUUUGCAAGAUAAAGAGCAAAAAAUCUUAAAAUUAUUGAAUUAACAAAUAGUUGAAAAUAUGAAAAUACACCAAGAUCAAAUUUGGUUCCUUACAAUAUUACAAAGGAUUGGAAAUUAUAAAUGCUUUAAAUACAAAAUAUAACGGAAUAGCUUAUGACACGGCCCUAUAAAUAUAUGACAGAAAUAAAGCUAACAAAUUUAUUGGCGUCACCUGUCUUGGUAACCCAAAUCAACGCAAAGUUUUGAUCGUCUCACUGGUUUUGAGACAGUAAAAUUAGGGUUCUGGAAGAUAUCAGAACAUUAACUCAACAUGAAAACAGUGCUGUUGAGCUUGGCUGCUGGGGUGUGGAGAGGAUUUCAUUUCUUUUGGGGUGGCCUUUCCUAGUUUUAACAGUGGGUUAUUGCCAUGCCAAUCUGCUGUGGCUUUCAACCAAAGACAGACCGUUAAACUGGGUUUCUCUGGAAAAUGUUUAUGUUUUUUAUACUUCUGAAACAGCUUGAGCCUUGAGAAUAGCCAACUUAUGCAAAAAUGCAGAAGAGUAAAACUUUCCCCAAGUUUUUGUUCCCCGGACCACCCUUGUGGGACAGUAGCUGGGGAAUGUCCUAUUCUCUUUCUAGACUAAAUGUCACUCAUAUCAGGUGCAAAUCCCAGCCCAAGGUCUUGUUCAAGUCCAAGUCCUAUACUUUCAGGAACAAGAAGGCUAUCACCAGCUAACAGCAUCAGAUUCUCACCACCUAUGCAGCUGCAUGAACAUGACAAUCCGAGAAGGCUACACUUUUUACAAGGUUUGCUAAGUUCCUAUCCAAUAUGGUUACCGCAAGCUGCACAUAUAAGGUUAGAAUGAAUAUGGCAACUAAAAUAUCACUCAUAUCAGGUGCAAUCUUCAAGUUUAACUCCCAAUCAAUCCCGUGCUUUCUGGAAUAAAGCGGGAAACACCAGCAAACAGCCUUGAAUUCCCAUCAUCUCCACAACCUCAUGAACCUGGAAAUCAGAUGGGUUACACUUUUUGCAAAGUUUGCCAAGUGCCUUCCCAGAGUCUUUCCAACUACAGGAAGCACAUGAGGGGUGGAAAACACCGGGUCAAACUGCAGGAGCUGAAAUUCAAGGACCACUUAGAAGAUCAAAAGCAGGACGAUGAAGUCAAAACUUGCCAAGAAAGGUGGCAGAUGCAGUGAGAUAGCACAGCGGAGAUAUUGGUGCAAACUGUGUAAUAUUUGGUGCACAACGAAGGGAGAAAGCAUAUCCUUAACCCCAUGAAAUUGAGAAAAAGAGGGCAAUGCUUAGUCGUAAAGAAAUGGAUGGAAUGUGAUAUCCUGAUGUCUCAACCGGAGUAAGAAUACGGACAAGCAAAAUCUAGAUUUUAUUCUCCAACUUUUACUAAUCUAAUGUAGCUAUUGCUAGUCGGAUUUAUAAGAAGUUUAGAGUUCCAACAAUCUGGAAGGCUUCUAACUUUUUAAUCACUGGUACGACUUGCUAGUAGCUGCAUCCUUGUAGAACAGAGUUUCUAUUUCAAAGGAAAUGGAUUGCUUGAUGGCUGACACCGUCUUUUAGAUGUGUCAGCCAGUUUUGUUGGCUAUUUGUUUUUGUUUAACACAACAGAGAAGGAAGCUGUUUUCCUAUAUCCGACGCAAUCUUGAGAAGGCAUAUAAAUCAAAUUUAAAUGGGAGGUCAUCUUCAUCUUCCAUUUUGAGAAGACAUAUAUCAAGCAUUUUUUUUUUGGAAAAUAUCCUACACGGUCUCAUUCUUGCUCAUGACAACAAGGAAACUUCUAAUUUUUCAUAUUUUAGUCCAUGCCCAGCACCAAUUCUUGUCAAGUGGGAGUAGCAAUGCUGCAAACCCGCAAGAUUACUCCUUCACAGUCUCUUACCUCAUUGAUCCAUUCAAAUCUGCUCCACUACCCUGAAAAACUUGAUAUUAUAGUCCAACCUUACUAUUAAGAUUUUUUUAGUUUUAAAAAUUAUUUUUUAUAUAUAUUUUUUGAUCUGAUAUUAAAAAUAAAUUUUAAAAAAUAAAAUAAAUUAUUUUAAUGUAUUUCUAAGAAAAAAAACUUUGAAAAACAAUAUUUAUCACACUUCCAAACAGUUCAUAUCUUAUUCAGGUCCCAUGGAAGAUCUUGCAAAAUCCCUAACUAUACUUCAAGAAAUGGAUUGUUUCUAGGGAUUAUGCCAGGCAGCAUAUGAUCAUACCUUCAACAGCAAAUGAAAGUAUAUAUAUAUAUCUCUUGAUAUUAAAUCCUUGAACUUACUAUGUCUCGACACCUUCCUUGCAUCAGGAUUUGUAGUGUUCACAUCUGUCUUUCAUGCCAUAAAUGUUCCUCUUUGUUUUAAGAUAGGAAGAAUCUCAAGUCAUUUAAACAUUCCAAACCCUGCAACAAUCCAUACUAGGGCAAACUUUUGUGUUUUGAACAUAGUUAUAAAACCCGACCCGGUAGUUGACCCAGUAAAAUGACCGGGUCACGGGUCUUGUGGGUCAACCCCUCUCCUUAAAUAUAAAGAAAUCAAACUGCUACAUCAUCCCUAAACCGCAUAACCCAGUGAUGAAUUGCUUACCUUUUCCUACCCACUUUUAGCAUAAGCAGCCGAAUGAAGAAGAAAAUACUUGUGUAACUAAAAUUUAAACAGUAGAACAAAAAUAAAAUGGUAUUAGUUUCCAACAAAUCCAAAAGAUUCCUUAAAAAUCACAAUAAAUCAUAAAACAUAAAAAGAAAAAAAAACUUCAUUUCCCAUAUGUUCACUGUUGCAAAGCUAAUCAAUCAACAAGAAGAUCAAAAACUAACAAUCAACAAGAAGAUCAAAAACUAAUAAUACAGGCAACAUGGAGGAAAUGCCUUCACAGUCAGUGCUCAAUGUGAAUAUGACAUGAGAGGCAAAGUUCUUGGUCAUGAGUAAGAGGAUGUGCUCGAACUGUGUUUGAUGCUGUUAGCCGAUGGAUUAUGCAGUAUGCCCGGAGCUGUGGUAGCUAUCAGAGUAACUGAAAAAGUUGAACAACUUGUAGUCUCAUUAAAAACCAGUUAUGUAAAUCAAGAAUGAAACCGACAACAACAAAGUUCAUGUUUGCAAAUCAUAUCAGAUGUUUCUCUUCAUGGGUGACUAAAGGAUGGUUGUCAAAUGAGUACUUUUUUCAAUUAUUUGUUCCAAUCCGAAGAAGAGCUUAAAAAGCAUGGAAAAAAGAGGGAAUCAAUCAAAAUCUGCAGCAAUUGUUUGCAAUAAGAAAUCUCAACAAAGAAAAAAACAUAAAAAAGUAAGCAGCGAAAGAGAAAUAGAGCACCUGUAGAAAUAAACACUAAUUUCUCCGAUGAAAUCUCAACCAAAUAUUUGUUCUGCAAAAGAUAAAAGAGAAGGAAAUUGGGGGCGGGCUGCUCUUCUUAGGAAAUUAGGGCAUCAUUUUGCUGCCAGCGACUCAAAGGAAAGUUAAUGUAUAUAUACGCCGGGUCUCGCCCGGGUCAUGGGUUGACCCGCUGGGUCGACCGGGUUUGACCGUUUUUUUGCGCUAGCCGGUUUUUAACCUUGCCCGGACCGGUCUAGCCACCAGGUCGACCGGGUCCCGGGUCGACCCGCCGGGCCGGUCCGGGUUUAAUAACUGUGGUUUUGAAUGAAUACUUCGAUUAGUUAUAAACUAACUGUAGAAGGGAAAAGAUCUCAUAUGCAAAGCAGGAUUAACAUGCAUUUCUAGGCAGUCCCAAUGCAGAAUGAAGUCUGAACCUCUCUGUUUCAUGAAUGCAAUUACCAAGUAAAACCUAACUUGGAUUAGAUCAUCUCAUAGUGAAAGAACAUCAUUCACAAGUAAUAACAAGACAGUGUAAGUUGUAUAUAUCAUGGAAGGCAAGGAAACUGCAGCUCCUGGUAUGCCAGAUGGCUGUAAAAACAUCACUAAGCACAAGGUUUCAAGGUUUAAUUGAGAAAAAUCAGAGAAUAGAGAAACUAAAUUGCAAAAAGAACAGGUAAUUCCAAUGCACAAUGCCUAACUUAUGGAAAUUCUAAGGCAGAGAAGACAAUAAAAAAACAAAUGAAAAUGCAGAGCCAUUGUGAUUUAAAAUGUAGAAGAGUUUACAACUGAUGAAAGAUUCAGUUUUUCAUUGUAAAAUUUCAAUAUCUGGGUAGAUUCAGAACGGUGAUUUAUGAACAUCUGCCGGAACUUAUUUUCAGGUGUGUAGAAGAACGCAGUGCUUCUGAAACUCUUCUCAACCAAGCCUUUAGAAACUAGAAAUUGCAAUAACAAAGCCCUUGGAACAAGCCUUUUGUCCAGGCUAUAUGAUGGUAUAGUUGGGUUUUUGGCAAGAUAGGAAGACUCCCAACCCAAUUGGUUGACAAAAAGAUCCAUCACUGCCGUGAUCUUCUCUUCAGAUAAGCUCAUAAACCAAGGAUUCUUUACAAAUGCUGCAAGAAUUUCUUCUUGAGACAAACCCCAUCUCCUAUACACAUCAAGCUUUUUUUCCCAUGUGGAUGUGGUCAUGGACCUCAGCAACACAAUUGCUACAACAAAUUGACUCUUGGAAGGAUGAAAUCCCAUUAGACUUGCUUUCUGAACAAGCCUUUUGAAAUUCUCCAGAUUCGAAAGCAUAAUACCAGGCUUUAUCCGAACUGAUAGAGCAAUAUUCUUCAUAGGGACUCCAUUUUCUAACAAAAUAUCAACAAUACGUGCGGCCUUUUCAAGACCAGCAUCUAGAAGGCGCGGGUCAAGUUUGACUGCUUUGAUAGCCAUGGCAUCAGAUUGGAGCAAAUUUUCAAAGAAAUCAAAAGCAGGGACUAACUUGUUUUCAAAGCUAAUUCUCAAAAUCCACGGAUAGGUUGAUAUAAUUUUGACAACAUCAGGGCUUGAAAACCCUUUAGAAUGGAAAAAUCCAAGCUUGGGCAAGAGUGUUCUGUGAGGUUUACACAAAAGCACUCUAGGCCAUCUCCUCACAAGGUUCAAAAUAUGGGCCUUUGAGAAGCCAUGGUUCUUGAAAAUCUCAAGAACAGAAUCAGCAUUACCUGGGGUUUCAAAAUGAACCUGUUUAGAAACUUCUAAAGCAGGUUUUAGAGAGAACCCACAAAUGUUCAUAAGGUAUGAUACUGUAAAGGAGUGUUCUUUUACAUCAUCUGAAUUCACAGAUGAAAUGUUUCUGAGGCAUGAUAAUAUUGAAGGGUUUUCAAGAAAAUAGUGUAAUUCUUGAUGAACUGAUGAACUAGGUCUAAUGGAGCAUCCUAACCCCAAGCUUUUGCAGAGAAACCUAAACAUUGGGAGCUGACGUUUGAAGAAGAACUAGGAAAUGAAAUGCUACUUACCUCUGCUUGAAGAUCAUUCCAUGAAAGCAACUGUUAAACCCUAGCAAGAUAACCAGUAGAGAGGCUGCACAGGGAAGGAGACCUAACCGAGAACGAGGUUGUCUUAUUUUUGUGGGCUUCUUUGCUUGCUUUUAGAGUUUCCUGGACUAUAAGCCCUAUGCAAUGGCUUGCAACUUCGCAUGGACUAUAGAUAGUUAUGUUAUUGGGCUUUAGUCUUCGAGGCUUAUGCAUAUCACAUGUUAUGAAAUUAGAAAAACAGAGCUAGAAAACUAUUAUCCAUCUCCAUCUCUAUUUUUUCUUCUUCGAGAAGUUGAAAGAAAUGAAAAGCAAGGUGAUUUGAAUUGUCACUUGUCUUUUAAAUUUCAUCAGAUUUUAUCAUGAAGUUCAAUAAUUAUAUAUAAUCCAAUUAAAUGUAAUCGUUUACUAGUUGGUUUCCCAAAAGAAAUUGCUUAUUAAAAUCAAUUAUGUAUUUAUAGGGUGGCUGAAAUCUUAGAAAGGGCACUUCCUCGUAAGCUAGCCGAGCUCUUUUCUUUCCAUUCAUCAAUAUAAAAAUAUAACAAAAAAUAUGAAAUCAAAGAUAAGUAUACAUAAGGUUAGGAAUACAUAAUUAAUACAUAAAGAGAGUAUACAUAAUUAAUACAUAAAGAGAGCAUAUUUCUCUAGUUCUCCAAGAAACGCACUUAUCGGGAAGGGCAGUUACGAACUCCGAACAGAAUUAGUCUCAAUUUUUAAAAGGGUACAAGGAUACCCAGAUAAAAACAAAAAAAAUAACUUAUUUCAGAGGUCCAAAUAGAAUGUAUAUAUCUAACAUAAAAAGAGAGUAGGAACUUUAUAUUGAUUUUUCUGGUUUCUACCUGUGAGAAUGAAGGCACUUUAUUUAUACAUAAGGUUAGGAAUACAUAAUUAAUUCAAAAUUAUCUAGAACCAAUUUAAGACAAUUCAUUGAAUUUGCAUAAUCAAUGAAUCUGAGAGGUUCUAUGGAACCGAAUUAAUUCAAAAUUAACUAAUCAAAUCAAGUAACUUUUCAAAGAUCAAUGCCAUGAAAUCUUUGUUUAAAGAUUGAUGACACUUUGAUCAAUAGUUUAAGAAAAUUAAAUACAUUUUAGUGUAGAUAAUAUAUCCACCGGUUCUCACUAGAAAUAGGAAUUUACCUAUGUAACCUUUAAAUUAAAUACAAUUUAUUGCUAUCUGCACUGAAUGUCUCGAAUCUUGCAACAUGCGAACGAUCGAUGAAAGGCUAAAAUGAAAGAGUCUAGACAGCCUGCGAGUGUUGGCGUGUAGUUCUUCACAUUUUGACCUUGAUGCUUGUCUUUUUUGGCAGCUAGCACAGCCUACCGUAAGGUAUUUAAGACUGACAAUGGCUCUGGAAAAUAUUUAAAGUGUGGCUGAGAGUGUUAUAAUUUAGUAUAAUAAUUUGCUUUGGACCCAACAAAAAAUAUAAAUAAAUAAAAUACAUUGCUUCGGUUUUUUUUUUUUAACUUCGAUUUUUGUGGGAUAAUUCGUGUUCUUAUAUACAUUUUUUUGUUUAUAAAUAUUAUUAGAGGUAUGUUCAUUUUCUUCACUUUCUAAUGUCAAACUUUUUACACUUACAUAUAAAAGAAUUUAUUUUAAUUUGAUAUUUGAGUUUAUGUAAAUUUUAAUCCCAAAUAUUUUUAUGUAAUGGAAUGUUUAGAAAAUAGUAUUAAUCCAAAAUGUGGGCGAUCUUCUAAUCUAAAAUCUUAGUUUGAACAGAUGCUAGAAUUUGACAGGAGUCGGUUGUUCUUUUGUCUCAUCAAAAACCAAAAAAAAAAAAAAAAAUUAAUGUUUGAUUAGCCGACAAUACAUGAGAUUCUUUUUGGCAACGACAUUUUCAGGUUAGUUUUCAGUCUUUGUUAUACUUUAUUAGUGCAAGAAAUAUAACUUAUAAUAUCUUCAAAAUAGAAAUUACUUGAAUGUUUUUUUUAAUUAUUUUUUAGUUUAUAUUUGAGAAUAAUAUAAAUUAUACUUUAAAAUCUUACCUAAUAGUUUAAGUUAUUGAAUUAUAAUUUUUUUUUAAUAUGACAACAGAGCCUUAAUAACCAAGCGGUAAUGGGUUUAAAUCUAACUAUUCUUAUUUAUUUGAUAAAAAUUAAAUAUAAUAUAGUAUGAGUCUGUGCAAAUUUUAAGUUAGAAUGAAUUUUACUUGAAGGGAUGUAUUAAAAAUAAUAUAAAUUAUAUUUUAAAAUUUUACCUAACAAUUUAAAUUAUUGAAUUGAAAUGAUUUUUUAAUAAUUUAAUUUCUCAAAUUGAAUUUUUAAGUUAAUUUUAGAGUAAUUUUUACAAAUAUUCAGUAUAAUCUAAUGAUUUUUCUAAGCUGGAGCACAUUACACAGACUGCUGAGCUAGGUGGUCUGAUAUUUCAAAUUACCUUUGCUUUUCUUUUCUUUGAACUUUCUAAAUACAAUACAGAAGGCCCAUUGUCACGCAACAAUUAAGAAAGUUGGAUGUAUACGAGCGACAAUCACUUUAUCAUGACAGGAUAAGUAUGCAAACUCUUCUAUCUCUAUCUUUUUAAAUGUUUUUUUUUAGAUGUUGAUGUUUUUUAAAAUAUUUUUUUAUUUUGAAUUAUAUUAAAAUAAUUUUUUAUUUUUUAAAAAUUAUUUUUAAUAUUAGCACAUUAAAAGGAUCCAAAAUAUAAAUAAAAAAUUAAUUUUUAAUAAAAAAAUUAAUUUUUUUAAAAAAACGGAUUCAUCCGCAUUCCUAAACACUCACUCUACAAAUGGCAAAUCGGCUGCACUUUUGGCCAUCAAGUAACAUUCUUUUUGGCAACGACCUUAAUUUCAGGUUAUCUUUGUCAAACUUUAUGAGAUUCACAAUUUGUUUCCAAGAUCACUUACAGUUUCUUGCUAUCUGCAUUUUAUGUCUUCAAUCUAGCAAUAUGCGAACGAUCGAUGGAAGGCUAAAUGCAAGAGUCUAGACAGCCUGCGAAUGUUGUGGUGUGGAUCUUCACAUUUUGACCUUGAUGCUUGCCUUUUUUGGCAGCUAGCUCAGCCUCACAUUAAAAUUUCCAAUAGUAUAACCACUGCAAUUCUCUUGCCCUGUUUGCCCGCCACAAAAAGGUUUUAAAGCUUAAUCGUUUAGAAUUUGUCUUCAAUACUGAUUGAAAUGAUAUCACAAGGUCAGAAAAUGGUACUUUGGGUGUUUUAAGGAUAAUUUCGCGGCAGUCAAAUGUCAGACAUAAAGUAUUUUCAUCUGGUUUUGGUAAGGACCAAAUUCUUAAUAAAAUAAACGAGGCUUAGAUUGAGAAGUUGAAGAUACAUCAAAUACAUAACACACCAGUACUACUGACAAAAUGAAAGAUCCAUACAUAUACAAGAAGCUAGCAGCCUCUACACUCCUCUCUUGCUACCCAUGGAGCCAUGAGCUAGAAAGGAUUAAUCCGUAUGAGAGGGUACGCUGCAUAAAAAAGCAAAUACAAGGAACAAAAACAUAAUAUGUAAAUCACACAACACAGGAAAAUUAAAAACACCUAGCACAUUACUAAGAACACCUUGCUAGAAAAACAGUCACUAACACGCAUACUGCAAGCAUAAUAUAUUUUACCAAUAGGCAAAGAUAAGUCCCCUAUUGGACAGGGGCCCAAACAUUGAAUAUCAUGUGUUCAGUUCUGAUUUCGUAGCUCACUUCAUCAUCUUCAUCUACUUCCCUGGUCAGAACGAUCCUAUCUCCGACUCUAAGGCCCUUCUCUUGCACAAGUGACAACCACUCUCCAGUGAUGGCUGGUUUUGGAUGGCCUUGAGCCCGAGUAGAAAUCUUAAGAUUCCAGACUUUCCCAAGAGUAUCUCGUGCAUCAAAACGCACUGAAUUAUGGCCCUGGGACAAUAGUGGAAAGGCCCCAAGACUCUGGGUUGGAUAAGCUAGACGGUUUUCUAGGUCUGUGCGCGUUAGGAUUUUAUUUAUGAGCUCCUCCGCCAUUGAUGCUAGAAAUGGAUUUCAAGAGCACUAAUCAGGUUUUUUGACAGGUUGAGAAACAGAUGAAUGUUGGAGGGCUAGCUAUUAUAGCAUUUUUAUAGGUGUAGAGAUUGCACGUUCACUGUUAACUCUUGUUCAUUAUCGUUCGAUAUCAACAUCCUAGAUUGCGUUGUCACAUUUGGUGGUUUGGUCGGCAAGGCAUUCCAUGGUCAAAAAGUUAAUCGGAGAUGUGAUUAUUUCUGAUCUUUGACAAAUUAUAACAAAUGCAAUGAUUUGAGUUUCUUGGUAAUCAUUUGUCCAAUGAGCAAUUCCAGUUGAUUUGAAAGUUGCAUAAACGUUUUAAUUUUAAAUCUUUUAACUUUUUAAAAGAAGAAUAUUAUCUCAUUAUAAGCAAAUCAUUUUUAGCUUAGAAAUUGGAUGUGGGUGUAAUUGUUGAAAAGUGUAUUAACUUUUUUAAAUUAUAAAAACACAAGAUUUUUUAAAAACAAUUCAAGAAAAUAACUUAUUUAUUAUAUAAUAAUAUAUGAAAUAACCCAGUCUCGUGAUUCGAAAAACAAAUUUAGAAGAUUUGCUCCAUUUAACUUAUUUAACUUAUUUUUUUUUUAAUUUUUUUUUUAAUUUUAUGAUUUAAUAUUAUAUUAUUGGGUUGCAGAGUUAAAGGAGUUGAAUUGAGUUUUUCUUAAUUUUCUUUAUUGAUUUUCUACUGUUUUGCUUUUAAUUAUCGUUAUUAUUAUUAUUAUUAUUUGCUUAAGAAUUUACCUUUAUUGUUUCUAUUUAGUUUAUUUUACAAGGUGUCAUCUGCCGUUAUAAAUUUGGCCAUGUAUUUAGCAUGCUCAAUAAAAUUAAUUUUUUGUCAUAUGCUUUUUUAAAAUUUGAAUAAAAUCAUAUCUCAAUGUUUUAGAAUGGGCUUUGAUCCUGUACAGAUAUAGAUAUAGAGAUUUAUUAGAUUAAAAUAUUAUUAAAAUAAAUUAAGAAUCAUCAUUUAAUAAUUAAAAAAAUUAAAGAUAUUAAAAUACGCACCGGCUCAUAUUAAGAAAAAUUAAAAGUCAUUACCUAGCAAUUAAAAGAAUUGAGAAUCCUAAAAUAUACAUUAACUUUAAAGAUUGAGGUAAAAAAAUUAGUUAUGCUUAAUAAAUAAAAAAAUGUCAUUUUUACUACCUUAUUUCUUAUGAAAUGUUUUAUUAUAUGUUUUUCUCCUAAGACAAAUUUGUCUGUUUGCAUCCAAUAUAAAAAAUAACCUUAAAAUAUAGAAAGUCAAACAAAAAAUUUUUAAGGAUAAAAAUAUAUCUACUAUUUAAGGAUAAAAAAAACUUUUUUUUGAUGAAAUAUGUUAGAAAGUCAAACAAAAUUAUUUUUGGAUUUAAAAUCACAUCUACAACUCUUAAUUUGAGAUAGUUAUUUAAGAGUAUUAUAAAAAUUUUAUCCAUGAGAUUACUUGAGUAGAAAAGUUUGUCUCAAUUGACACACCAGCGCUCUGAUAUUUUUGAGAGUGCAAUUGUGAUUGUUUUUAAAAAUAUUUUUUAUUCAGAAAUGUAUUAAAAUAAUUUUUUUAUUUUUUUUAAAUUAUUUUUGAUAUCAGCGCAUCAAAAUGAUCUAAAAACACUAAAAAAUAUUAAUUUGAAGCAAAGAAAAAAAAUAAAAAAAUUUACUUUUUUUUCAAAAUCAUUUUUGAAACGCAAAAACAAACAAUAUUUAAUUUUUUUUUAUGUCUAUAACUAUUAUUUUUAAUUGGAUUCAAUUUGUCUAGGGAUUUUGUUCUAUAAGAUUUAUUAUUUAAGGAUGAAAUUCAUAAUAAAAUAAUUGAGGCAUAAUAUAAAAAAGUUAAAGAUACAUCAAACUACUGACAAAAUAAAAUAUACAUACAUUAAAUAACUUAAGUUAUUGGGUUUAAAUAAUUUUUUGACAAUUAUUAUUAUUAUUAUUUUAUCUAAGAAUUGACCUGCAUUGUUUCUAUUUAUUUUAUUUUAUAAAGUGUCAUCCCACCCUUAUAAAUUUGGCCAUGUAUUUAGCAAUUAGAAUGCUCAAUAAAGUUAUUUUUUUUUAAUUUGAAUAAAAAAAAUAUCUCAAUGUUUUAGAAUUGGCUUCGAUCCCUGUACAGUUAUAGAGAUUGAUAAAAGAAUGUUGGUUGUGUUCCCUGCUCAAAUGGAGGCCACGAGAUGAAUGGAAGAUGUAUAUUUUUAUGUUUUGGAAAUUUUUUCUCAAAAUCAUUUGUAGAGAUUAAUUUAUAAAAUAUUAUUUGUAAUUCGAUUCAAUUGUUCAUUUCAUAUUGUUUAAUAAAAUAACUUGUUGUUUAUCAUGCGAUAACAGCAUCCUAAAUUGUUUGAAUUAAUCAUUUUCAUCCAAAAUUGUUUUAAAAAGGGUAUUUUUUUUUUCGGUCUUGUGAUGGAAUUAAAAAUGUUUCACACCUUGUAAUAUAGUGGUAAGCUAAUAAUGUACGCAAUUGAUUAUUUCUGAUCUUUCACACUACUGAAUACAACAUAGAAGGCCAUCGUCGCUCGACAAUUAAGAGAAGUUACCUGUAAACGAGCGACAAUCACCCUCAUGUCACAAGAUCAGUUUACAAACUCUUGUAUCUUUUUCUCCCUUAAUCCCAUGCGCUCGCUUACUUACUAUCAAGGUUAGGGUUUGUUUGGCAGUGUAGUUACGGUUGUUUUUCAAAUAGCUUUUCGUGUUAAAAUACAUGUUAAUAAUUUAUUUUUAUUUUUUAAAAAUCAUUUUUGACAUCAGCACAUCAAAAUGAUUUAAAAACACUAAAAACAUAUUAAUUUGAAGUUAAUAAAAAAAUAAAAAAAUUAAAUUUUAUCAAAAACGCUUUUGAAACGCAGAAACAAACAAGUCAAUAAAGAGACUUCAUCAACCUUAUCGUUUAGAUGUAAUCAUCAUCGUCCAAGAAAUUAAUUAAUGGAGCAAUUAAUGUUGGCAGCUUCAAAUCCCUGUCCGAAAUGUGGUAUGUUAUAGAUUAUACUAUGGAUAUCGUGCGAAAAUCCCCGUAUUCAAAGAGAAAAUUAGAGAGAGAGAGAGAGAGAGAAAUAGAAUGGCAAAAAAAUAAUCUUAUAAGACAAGCUAAGUGAUCGACGUGUACGAGAGAAGAGAAAUCCUAUGCCAUGUGCAGCAUAAGUUAAUUUGCAAGUUGCACAAAUAAUUAUUCGGAAGUGGCCAAAAAGUGAUAGGGACUGCCUAGUCCUUUAACUUUUUUAAAAACAAUAAAAUAACAGAAUUACCUAGAAAAAAAAUCAUAAACUUAUUGUCGGGUUUUUUUUAUUAUCUUUUUAUUAUAUUUUUUUUCUUUUAUCACAUGAGUUCAGAAGUGAUUUGAUAACUUAUUAUAUUAAAAUAUUAUUAAAAAUUAGUGAUUAACACGUAAAUUGCACAGCUUAAUGUUUGGGUGUGUUCAUAGGUUUUGGACAUUAUGUUUGGCAUUAUUUUUGAAAGUAUGUUUAUGAUUGUUUUUUAAAAUAUUUUUCACUUGGAAAUAUAUUAAAAAAAAAUUUAAAUUUUUUUAUUUUUUUGACAUCAGCAUAUUAAAAUAAUCUAAAACCAUAAAAAAAAAUUUAAUUUAAAAUAAAGAAAAAAAUAAAAAUUUUAAUUUUUUUAAAAAUACUUUUAAAAUCCAAAAACAAACAUAAUCUUAGCUAAAUAACCUAGAUUCUAGGGCAGCGUUGGAAAAUGUUUAGCAUACUCUCUAUGCUUUGAUGACAUAUGUGGUCAGUAGAUCAAUGAUUUUUUUUUCCUUGAUCCCUACACUAAACUUAGUCAUAGAAAAGUUUAAUUUCUAUAUGAAGUUUUAAACAUAACUUUAUAGAUUAGAAUGCUAAAAUUUAAUUGAAAUCAGUUGCAAUUUUGGUUUGUAAAAAACAAAAUAAAAAAAAAAAGAUAAUGAAAGUUUGAUUAGCCGCCAAUAUAUAAGAUUCUUUCUCACAAUGACUUUUCGAUCUGAUUCCAACUCCUUUAAUAAUUGGGAGAUAGAUGAUCACUUAUGGUAAGAAAACGUCAGCACUUUUUAAACAGGGCUUUUAGCUUUAAUCAAUAUCAAAAUAUAAAAUAAUUUUCCAAGUCAAAUGAUCGGAAGUAUCACUAGUGCCGGCCUUUUGAAUAUUCAAGCAUUGCACGCAUCAUAUAUAUAUAUAUAUAUACCAUGAUCACAAUCUAGAAGCUGGUGAUUGUCGAGCGAUGAUUAACAGAACAUUACAUGUAAACUUUCGAUCACCGCCUUAACAUCACACUAUGAUUAAGACUUCUCUAAUUUUUUAUUUCUCAGAUGUUCAUAUGAUCAUUACUAUAUAUACAAUCAUCUUGCAUGAACUCUCACACCACUAACCCUGCUAGCUUUAAACUUUAAUCCUUCGAACCAUUUGCUCAACCCGUUUGAUUGUACAAAAAAAAAUGGAGGUGAUGAACAAAAUACUAUCCGAGAGCGAUGCAAAAAAUAAGCGACUUGAAUUUCCGGCUAGGAGUCUCUCGGCCUUCCCCAUGCCAGAUGGUCAGAACUCGGUCCAAUUUGUGGCAUUUGACAUGCAAGAACACCAAUGGAGACUUAAGGUCUCCAUCCGCAAUGAAGGUAGGUAUCCGAAACCUUGGCUAAAGGGCGAAUGGCAUGACUAUGUUCAUCAGAAAGGGCUCAAGAAAGGAGAUAAAGUUAUCUUGACUAUGGAUGAGGAAGAGAAUGGCGAAAGAAUUUAUCGUAUCAGAGCUGAAAAAAAGCAUUUUGGUUUCUGGUAUUCAAUUGAUGAUCAGCAGUAAUAGCUCUCCAUAAAUCGAAGCAUGAGGCUGGGCUCAUGUUUAGUGUGGCAGGCAAGCAGAAACUAUCUUUUGGAUCUGUCUGAAUUAAGUUCACUCUGGUUGUGUAAUGAGUUAGGUCAAAAUAGAAUAUGUGUCUGUCUUGUAGAAGGUAAGUCCUAGCUAGUCGUAAGAACAAGUGUCCCUAUGAAUUUGUUUCCUUCAGUACUCUGCCUUGGUGUUCUGUCAUUGUUGUAUUUUGUUUUGGGUAUUAUGCUUAUUUAUGCGAGAUGUGCUUUGUGUUUGUUGGAGUGGAUACAGUUCUAACAUGUUUGACAAGAAUAUACCACUCACCAUAAUUUUUAAGCAUUUGGUUAAAGGUAAUGUUGAUUGUUACUUCUUGUGAACACCCAUUAGGUCAAAGAUAAUGUUGAUUGGUUUCUCUUAUGAAUAUCCAUUAAGUCAAAGAAAUUGUUGGUUAGCAAAGGUCCUAAUGUCGGCUAAGACGGCGGAUCCAACAUGCUUCAGUACUUCAACUUUAUUGCUUAUACGAGGGCAGUCUAACUUUAGAGUAUGACUGGGUUUGAUUGAUUUUUUUAGGUACAUGUAUGUCUGAACAAUCCAACAUAGUUCACUCAUAUAUGAUAGUCUUCAAUAAUAUUGUUUAAGUGAAGAACAUUUUAGAGUUUGCAUAGCUCUUUAUCACAUGAUACAUGAUUGUGAAUUUUGUUUUGAUAGGUGUUUUGUUUUUUUUAAUUGGAAUUGAAUGUUUUAGUUUCAAAGUGUUUCGGUGUGCUAUUUCAGGGUUGUAUUGUUUAUAUAUAUAUAUAUAUAUAUAUAUAUAUAUAUAUAUAUGAAAUACAAGAUAAAUUAAUUAUAAAUUAUGCAAUACAAACACAAUAUCAAAUAAAUAUAAUUUUAAAAUUUAAAAUAUUUCUAAAUAGUCAAGAUUAAAUAGAUCUUUAACUUAAAGUAAUUUAACUUAAACAAAAUAUCAAAAUAUUAUGAAAUUAAAAUUUUUUAACACAAAUAUUUUAAAUAUAAGCUAGGUCAAUGUUAUCAAGGCUAAUGAGAUCUAAAACAUCCCUUAUUUUGCUCAAAUUUCUACAAAAUAUAAACUUGAAAAAAACAACAUGAAUAUAAAACUAUAUAUAUUAGUGAUAAAUCUAAUUUUAAAAAAUUAAUAUUAUUAUUAAUGAAAAUAACUCCAAUCUCUAUCUCUUUAAAUCUAAUGUCCGUACGUGACAAAUCGGUAGCACUUUUGGCUCCUAAAAAACAAAAGACAAAAGAUAGAUUAAUGUUUGAUAAGGCGGCCCACAAAUAACAUUCUUUUUGGCGCCGACAUUAAUUUCAGGUUAUCUUUGUCAAACUUCACGAGUCCAAGAAAGAUAUAUGUUCACUUUUGGUAAGCAAACGUCAGCUAUAGCCAGUGUCCAAGGAGAUGAAACAUUAAUAAAUCUUUCCAUUUACUUCUCGACUACUCAAAUAAACGACCAAACUCGCACGGCCUUUUCUUUAGGGAGUUCGUGUGAUAUAUAUAUUUUUUUAAUUUCAGACAGAGUUAUCUUGCUUCCAAAUACAAGUAGAAUCAGUCAGUUUAAUAUAAUUUAUAUUAUUUUUUAAUAUAAACUUUAAAAUAAAAGUUUUUUAUACUUAAAACUUGAAUAAAACUAUAUUUUUUGUGAUAUUAAUUAAUCUCAAAUAAAAAAGAGAAUGAUAUUAAAAUCCAAAAUCUCAACAAGAUAGACAAGAAGAGAUUUUGCACAUUGUCGCACUACAAUUAAGAAAAGUUACGUUGGAACAAGCGGCAAUCAUCCUAAUAUCGCACGACAAGUUUGCAAACUUUUCUAUCCUUUUGGCUUUGAAGCUCAUGUGCCUACUUACCUUAGUUUUUUUUUAUUAAUAUACUUUACAAAUUAUUAUUUUUCUUAACUUUACUUGCAACUACAUUAAAAUUAUUUUUCUAUUUUUUUCUCAAUUUUUUUAAACAUUAUGACACCAUGACAUCAACUAGAACUUCCUUAAAGGGAAAAGAUAUAUAUCAAAGAAAAUUAAGAGUCUUCAACUAAUAAUUAAAAUAAUUUAAAAUUCUAAAAUUCACAUUGGCUCAUAUCAAGAAAAAUUAAGAAUCACUAUCUAGUAAUUAAAAAAAUUAAAAAUUUUAAAAUAUACAUUGAUAUAAAAAAUUCAAGUAAAGAGUUAGUUCUUUUUAAUAAAAAAACGACAUCACUUUUAGUGUAUUAUUUUUUAUAAAAUGUUAUUUUUAUUAUAUGUUUUUCUUCUAGAUUUAUCUAUAAUUAUUAUUACAUCUGUCGUAAUAACCUUUAAAAAUUAUAUUAAAAAAACAUCUAACAUGUUUUUUUUUUAAGGAUUCGCAACUCGAAUGUGUUACCGACAUGUAGGGCCCGAGUUUUUAUUUCGCUUUCUUUCUUUCAGUAUUUCAAGUUGGAAAAGCCACUCUUUAUGGAAGAAGAUAGUAUUAAUUAAUGCUGGAUCGUUAACAUCCAUCGGACUUAAGGAAGACUUGGCAGACGUUUGGAAGGACCCACUAAUCAUUUUCUUAAUUCUUGAAAGCUAAUAUCUUUCAAAGACCUUUAUGACCGUCAACAAAUGAGAUGCUCAUGAGUUUGAUUUCUAUCAAUUUUAUUUUUUUUAUUUAAUUAAAUUAAAUAAGUUUAAUACAAUGUAAUGGUGAGUAUAUUUAAUAUUUAAGGAUAAAAAAUUUUUAUUUGAUAAGAUGUGUUAGAAAACUUUACAAGUCCAAAAAAGAUUAUCACCAAACCACUUUCAACACCUUUAAUUAUUGGGAGCAGAGUUUUAAAACCCAGACAGGCUCGGCGGGUUGACUCGGGACCCGACCGACCCGGGUCUAGGACCGGUCCGGGUGGAGAUAAAAACUCGCUUGGGAGUUGGCCUAGUGAAACCUGAUCGACCCGCCGGGACCUGGUUCACCCGGGUGAGACCCGGUCUAUUUUUUCAAUAUCAGCAGUCAUUAAACGACGUCGUUUUAGCCUUUUAAAAGGCCAAAACACUGAAGAAGAACAAAGCAAUAUUAGGGAUAGUUGCAAACCUAAUUAACGAAAGAGGAAAUCAGCUCUUUGAAACCCAGCUAAAUGAUUUUUUGUUUUCUUGAAGUCCUAAUAGGUAAGGAGAGAUGGAAAACCAGAGACAGAGAGAGUAACAAUUGACUCUAAUUUAGAUCAAAAGAACCGGCGUCGGUUGCAAGAUGCAUUGCCUCUUGAGACCUCGUCUGGUCCGAAUUCUGCCAAGGUGGAGUCUGGUGGUGUGAGCAAAGAAAUAGACAAGAAAUCAAAUGAACACGGCGAAAGAAGCAAGCAUUGUUCUAAGCCAACUGAAGUGCCUUGGUCACAGUCUUUUUUUCAGGUUUGUUCUUUUUGAAGUAAUUGUUGAUAUGUGGAUUUGUGGAAUUUGUUCUGGUAUCUCAUUGUCAUUAUCUAAUGGAUGUGCAAUCUAGCGCGGUUGAGACAGUAAGUUCAGAAGCUAAGGUAUGCUUGGGUGCUUAUGGAAAUAGAAAAUUUGAGUUUGUAGCUAUUAUAAGACUUAGUGAUCUAAGAUUAUUUCUAUACUUUCCUGAAAUGCCAUUUAUACUAUAAAGUGGUUGUCUUUGUAAAUAUUUAUUUGCUUGAAUCAAAACAGAGCAGUUCAACUUUUGCAACAAAAAAAAAAAGAGAAUUUUUUUCCUUGACAAAUCUUUGGUAUCAUAGAAGUUUUUUACCUAAUGUGUUGCAUGAAUUCUUUUAAUGACUUGGAAGAGGUGUUUACAUUUGCUCACCUUAGGGCGAUAUGGAUCUCUCAUACAAUAGUAUUCUCUAUGCAUCCUUGUGCUUGUAGGACAAAAAAAUAGAUUUUAGAGUUUUGAAUUUAUGUAAUUGAUCAUUUGCUCUAGUAAAUGAGCCGUAUUUCUCUCGAUUUUAAUUAUUGGGUUUUUAUUUAGUGCAUUGAAAACUUUUUUCUGGGCUAAUGUUGUGUGAUUGUUGUCUGCCCCAUGCCUUCAAAAGCCUCCAUGUAUAUAACAAUCUUAGGCUUGCCUGUAUAUUUUUUUUUUUUGUUGAUCUGGGUCAACCCAUCUAAUUCAUGACCUGAUUAUUUAACCAGUUUGAUAAUCGGAUUGAAUUUCAAAAUUAUGAUUGGGAGAGCAAGGCAAAUAUAUGUUCACUUUUGGUAAGCAAAAGUCAACUGUAGCUUAGUAAUUAAACUUUUCAUAAAAUGAGUAAACAAGACAAAAAUAUUGAUAUUAAAUUUGGUUCGAUUAGGCAAAUUAAUUAAGUAACAUACUGAUUCAAAGUAUAGCCAAGCUCAAGUUAGGUUUAUUUAAAAACUAUUUUGGAUAUUAACUUUUUUAAAUUUAACUGGCCUAUAAAUUAAUUUAUUGCUUGAUUGACUAGUGAAACUUAAAUAAAAUUAAAUAAAUGUUUUUAUUUUAUUUUUUUAAAAUAAUAUUAUUUAAAUUAUUUUUAAAAUAUUAUUUUAAAAUUAAUUCAGAUUAUCACAAUCCAAUCCAAAGUCUCAAUUAGUUUUAAAAUAUUAUUGUUUUUACUGUAUUAAUUAAUGUCGUGUUUUUAGUCCUCAAGCAAAUAGGAUACUCCUAUGAAGCGUGCAGCUUAGCCGAUGCAAAUACCCUUUCUUUGUGAAGGAUUUUCCAAAUUGCCAACGAUUUAAUUAUUUCCUUAAUUUCGCAUUAAAAAUGAUUGAAAGGUGAAAUCAUGCAUAAAACGUCAGAUUAUGACAUCAUCCAUGACGUCAGAUUAUGAAAUCAGCUGACGUACCUGUCUCCCUUGAGUGGUGGCUGAAAUAAGAUAACAAAAACUGCUUUAAUGAUUCUUUUAAUUUUUCAAUAUGAUUAGUGGGUCCAAGGAGAUGAAACAUUAAUCUUUUCAUUUAUUUUUCGACUCCUCAAAUAAACGACCAAACUCGCACGGCCUUUUCUUUAGGGAGUUGGUGUGAUAUAUUAUUUUUUUAAUUUCGUAUAGAGUUCUCUUGCUUCCAAAUACAAGUAGAAUCAAUCAAUUUAAUAUAAUUUAUAUUAUUUUUUAAUAUAAUCUUUAAAAUGAGAGUUUUUUUAUGCUUAAAUCUUGAAUAGAAUUAUAUUUUUUGUGAUAUUAAUUAAUCUCAAAUAAAAAAGAGAAUGAUAUUAAAAAAGAGAGACAAGAGGAGAUUUUGCACAUUGUCGCACCACAAUUAAGAAAAGUUACAUUGGAGCGAGCGACAAUCACCCUAACAUCGCACGAUAAGUUUGCAGACUCUUCUGUCUCUGUGUCUUUGAAGCUCAUGUGCCUACUUACCAUUUUUUAAAUUAAUAAGCUCAUUUGCCUACUUACCAUUUUUUAAAUUAAUAAGCUCAUUUGCCUACUUACCAUUUUUUAAAUGAUUAAUACUAAUUUGAAUUAAAGAAUUAGAUCCAAUCAAAUAAUUUAUUGAAAGACCGAUGGCAUGAUAUUUCUAUUUAAAGAGUAUUAAAUACAUUUUUGUCUAAAAAUAUAUCCACCGUUUCUCACUACAAAAAAAAUUUACCGAUAAAAUUUUUUCCAAGAUCACUGAAAGUUUCUUGCUAGCUGCACUUUAUGUCUUCAAUUUUGCAAGAUGCGAACGAUUGAUAAUUUAUUGAAAGACAGCUUGAGAGUGUUGGGGGUGUGGGUCUUCACAUUUUGACAUUGAUGCUUGCCUCUUUGGCAGCUAGCUCGUUUAGAAUUUGUUUUUACGGUAUCAAAUUUAAUAGUUUCAUGGAUGAAAAUUUUUGUUUAUAUUUGUAAUUAUAAUUUAUCAGUAAGUAUUUUAUUAAUGGACUCAUAAAUAAAAACAAUCCAUUAAAAAAACUCUCAUUAGUAAUUUGUGAUUACAUGCUCCUCUUUUUCUUUUUUUAUCCACUGUUUAUGCAGUUAAUGUUGGGCCGAGCCAAUUUUGGCCCAUCCAAAUGAUAUUAAAAUACUUGGCUUUCUCUUAAAAAUUUCUAAAAAGUUUCAAAAAAAAUUAAAAUUUUUGAAUUAAUCUUUUUUUUUAUUUUUUUUUAUUUUCAUGCAUACGAUCAAAUCCUAAAAUUUUCCAAACAUAUUUUCUUAAAAAGAUAAACAUUGCACCUUUCUCAUGUUUUUAAAAUUAAAAAAAUGAAUAUCGUAACCAAUUUUUGAUUAUCCAUUAGGAUUUGAUCAAAAUAUCAAAAACACUUUACCAAUUUUUUUUUAAGAUCUAGAUAUAGACUUUAAUAUUUAUGGGGUGUAAAAUUACAUAAUAGAAUACACCAUCAAAUAUUAAAGAUACAAGGUAUAAAAUUAAUGCAAUAAUAAAAUUCAAAAUUUAAAACGAUUAGGAUUAAACUCGAUGAAGUAGAGACUCUCUCAUGAAGGAAGAUCUACCUUGAACCUUAGACGGGACCAACAAAUAGAAACCCGACCUAGAAAAAUAAUCAAACAACAAUGCAGCUUACUUUAGGUAGGGUGCACUAGGGAUGACUUAUCUUCCCCUUGCACAACUAGUCCCUUACCCAGACUCUUGUAGACUAUAGGUUCCUAGCAACCAUAAUAUAAUGUGCGCGACUCCUGAACUUUAAUAAUAAUUUUAUGAUUAACUCUAAAAACCUUCCUAACAACACACAUCUCCUCAGGAGGCACGAUAAACCUCGUCGUCACCUCGACAUCACGACACCCCCUCGACAACCACGACAUCACAACAUAAAUGAAAAGGGAUUGUUAAAAAAGCUGGAAAAUAGAAAAAUUAAUGAAGAAUGACAAUGUACCUUAGGACGAGAAGAGAAGAUGAUGCUUGAUUUUCAGCUUGGGUCGUGAACAAAAAUAAGAAAAUGAAGAAGAAGAGAGAAAAAGAGAGAGGAUGAAAGAAGAUGAAUGAAGAAGAUGAAACCUCGUCUAUUGUGUCCGUGGUUUUUUAUAUUAGGUUUUAUUGAAGAAAUUCCUGAUGGAAUAUUAAAUAUUAAUAUCUUUAAAAUUUUUAUUGGUGAUUCCGUAUGUGAAGGCAAAGUAAAAUAUUACUGACGACUUUUUAUUUUGUCGGUGAUUUUAUUGGUAAAAGAGUAAAUAGUCAACAGUAAAAAAAACAUUAAUUACUAGCGCAUUAGAAUUCUCAUUUCGUUGGUGAUUCCGUUGGGAAAGUGUACCACGGUAAAAAAAAGUAUUAAUUGUCAGCGCGCUAGAAUUCUCAUUCCAUCAGUAAUUCCUAAUUAUCACCGCCUUGAAAAGAGAAUAAUUAUAGUCCAAAUCAUUCUUGGAUUUAACUAAACUUUACAAACUUGAUUUUUGAUAUGUAAAACUUAAUUAUUGGUUCAAUUUCGCUCCCAAACUAUAUAUUUUUUUAUUGUUUUAAUCUUUAAUUUUUUUUUCAUUUUUAAUGAUUUUUUUCUAAAUUAAUUUAACACAUAAAAUCAAUAAAUGUGACAUAAAUAAUAAAAUGAUUAGAAUUGAUUAAAUUUACUGAAAAUGCAUAUUGUUUUUAAAAAAAAUUCUAUUUUUAUUUGAAAAGUAAAUGGUUAAAAAUUGAGUUAUGAUAUCUUAUUGAGGUAUAUAAUGGUGCGCUUACAUUACACAAACUUUCGAGUGAGAUGGUCUGAUAUCCAUUUCGAAUCUCAGUAACGUGUCUGUUUAUGAAUAAGAUAGAAUUGAUAUUUUAUCCAAACACUUAGAAGGUCUUCCAUCACACUUUACGCUAUAAGGACCCAGUCUUUAUUUCUUAAUUGAAAGAUAAUAUAUUUCAAAGGUUUUUCUUUUUUCAAACAGAAUUCUGUAAGUGUGAUUUUUUCAAUUAAUUAAAAGUUAUAUUCAAAAUGUUUUUUUUAAUUAAUUAAAAUGAUAUUUUUUAUAUAUUUUAAAAAAUAAUUUUUGACAUUAGCGCAUCAAAACAAUACAUAAAUACUAAAAAAAAAUAAUUUUUAACCAAAAAUAAAUAAAUAAAUAAAUUGAACGUGGAUACCGGACACUUAAUUAGUCUCAGUUAACGUGCAAUCUAAACUUGUUGUCAAGCUAGCCAUGGAAUAACAGGCUACUAACACACAUACUGAAAGCAUAUUAUAUUUCGUCUUUUCGGCACUGUCAUUUGUGUGUGUGUGUGUGUGUUUCCAAGAUUACUACACCAAGAUAAUAUAAUAUAAAAUUGACAAAGUCAUGAUGUCUCGGAGUCCGGGGCUAGUGUCAGGCAGAUCCUGACUUUCUUGGUCAGGUUUCGUAAGCAAAUACCCGCCGAAGUGUGCAUACGAUGAUACUUAAUUAGUGUGAACUUCAACGAACUUAGGAGUGAGUUGGUUUGGUAUGAUUUUUAUCCUUUAUAUCAAAAUCAGAUCAUAACUGUCAAAUACCAAUAUGAUAGUUGAAUGUUUGUAAUUUUUUUUUUUAAAAAAUGAUAGUUGAGUGUUAAUUUUCAGAAAUGAGUCACAUCUUCUCCCUUUAUCAUGCGAUAACAGCAUCCUAAAUUGUUUUAAGAAGGUUAUUUUUUUUGGGUCUUGUGAUGGAAUUAAAAAUGUUUCACACUUUGUAAUAUGAGUGACAAGAUAUCGAAUGGUCAAAAAGUUAGUCGAAGAUGUGACUUGUCUAUGUAUUAUAUGUCGAACCAUAAUAUAGUGGUAAGCUAAUUAUGUAAUCGAUUAUUUCUGAUCUCUCACAGUACUGAAUAUAAUAUAGAAGGCCAUCGUCGCUCGACAAUUAAGAAAAGUUACCUGUAAAUUAACGAGCGACAAUCACCCUAAUAUCACAAGAUAAGUUUACAAACACAGUUGUAUCUUUUUCUCUCUUAAUCCCAUGCGCUUACUUACGACCAAGGCUUAUAUCCUGGCGACCGACCAGCUUCGUUGAUUGGAUCAGUUCUAAAGAGAAUUCAUCAACGUCCUUUUCUUUUUUAAAAAAUUAUCCUCUUUAUCGUUUAGAUGCAAUCAUCAUCGUCCAAGAAAUUAAUUAAUGGAGCAAGCAAUGUUGGCAGCUUCAAAUCCCUGUCCGAAAUGUGGUGUGUGCUAGAUUAUACUAUGGAUAUCGUUCGAAAAUCCCCGUAUUCAAAGAGAAAAAAUUAGAGAGAGAGAAUCUUCACCCACCACGAGAACUUAAUCGAUUUCGUAAGUUUGUGAGCAUAAUGUGUUAGACUCUCUUUGACUUUGUUUUAUAUCACUUGGACUGAAAGUAAUCUUAAUCACGAGUAUACAAAUAAUUAAUAAAUUGUUCGUUCUUCAAAUAAAUUAAAAAGAGAAACAUUGGUCAAAUCACAUGUCUGGCUACAAAUUUAGCUACAUUAGGCUUUUAAUUCAAUUGGGAAAAUAUUUUAAUCGGACAAUAUAUUGAGAUCAUUUUCUCAAUUCAAUGUCUUCCUUAACUAUCAAAGAAGAAGAAGAAGAAGAAGAAAACAAUAGCAAAGAUAUUAAUUUUAUUUCUUUGUUACCAUCUUAAGUAUUUUCUUAUCUUAUAUAUGACGUACAUUGAAUAGAAUAAAACUAUUUUUUAACCUUAUUUAAUCUUGAGUUUUUUACUUGAAUGGUAAUUUGUCUUAGAAACAAUGUUUUUCAAGUCAACAUUGGAUCAAUCAUUGUCAAAGGUGUUCUAGUGUAAUAAAAAGUAUUUAGGACACCAUUUUCAACAUUGGAUCAAUCAUUGUCAAAGCUGUCCUAGUGUAAUAAAACAAUUAAACGAGAAUCCAUCAAUGUCAUUUGCGAACUUGGAUUUUUUUUUUAUUCUUUCUUCUUCUUUUUUCCCUUCGGAUUAUUUGGGGAUUUUCGAACGACAUCCAGAGAACAAGCUCGACAAGCAACCAAAAAACACAAGUGAAUGCGGCCAGAUAAGGACUUAGACCUUCCAACAUUGCCCACUGAUCAGUAUAAAUAACGACACUAGCUCUUCUAUUUUCAUACCAAAAUCCCUACAAAAGAUUCCAUAUCAUUUGGCAAAUAGAUUUCUAAUUUUCUUUUAUAAAUUUUUCUCAGCCCUUUUAAUUUGCUAGAAAUGGAGCAGGUGGCAAUGGAAAAAGCAUUGUCCAAGAGUGAUGCAACAAAUAAUCGAAUGGAACUUCCGAUGGAAAGCCUUGGAAAUUUCCCCAUCCCUGAUGGUCAAAAUUAUUUCGAAUUUGUUGCAAUGGACACGGGAGACCAGCCAUGGGAAUUCAAGGUCUCCAUUCGCAACGAGGGAAGAUAUAAGAAGCCUUGGAUGUCUGGCCAAUGGGGGAGCUAUGCUCAUGAGAAAGGGUUGAAGAAAGGAGAUAGAGUUAAGUUGAUUAUGCAAGUGGAGGGAAAUGUUGUCAGGAGUUAUCGUAUCACGGCUGAAAGAAACCUGACGAUGGGCAUGUGGAUUCCAGUUGAACAGUUUGCAAACUAAAAAUGGAAAUACUUUAAGGUGUGUUAUAUGUCUUGAUUAUAAGAAAUGUUGCCCCUCUUUCUUCCUUGAUGUUAAGUCUUGUUGUUGUAAUUUUGGUAUUAAGUUAAUUAGCCUAGUGGCUUUGUACGCUGUAUCCUUCGUAGUUGUUUGCACCAUUAAUCACUGGUUCCUGUACUUUAUGUGCUGUGAAGACUUACCAGUACAUGGAGGUAUGUUGUGUAUUAAUUUCCGUUUUUUCUUUUAUAAGAAAAGGGCAUGCUGUUAUGAGUUUUUUUGGCUUGUAAUUCUAUAUUUGUGGGUAAUUUUGGUGUUUUUUUUCCCAAUUUGUUUUAAGCAUUGUAAGACCAUGACAUCAACUGGAACUCCCUAAAAUUAAAGGGGAAAGAUAUAUAUAAAGAAAAAUUAGAAAUCGUUACCAAGUAAUUAAAAAACCUGGAGAUCCUAGCUCAUGUCAAGAAAAAAUAGAAAUCAUCAUCAGUAAUUAAAGAAACUAGGAUUUUAAAAUGUACAUUAAACAAACUGCUGAGCUAGGUGGUCUGAUAUGUCAUAUUACCUUUGCUUUUCUUUUCUUUGAACUUUUUGAAUACAAUAUAGAAGAAUCCCAUUGUCACGCGACAAUUAAGAAAAGUUUGAUGUAAACGAGCGACAAUGACUCUAUCAUGACAAGAAAGAUUAUUACCAAACCAAUUCCAACUCCUUUUAAUUAUUGGGAGAGCAUGGCAGGUAUAUGGUCACUUUUGGUAAGCGAACGUCAGCUCUAGCCAGUGUCCAAGGAGACGAAACAUUAAUCUUUCCAUUUAUUUCUCGACUGCUCAAAUAAACGACCAGACUUGCACGACCAAGAUUAGUGACACUUUGAUUAAUAGCUCAAGAAAAUUAAAUACAUUUUGGUCUAAAAAAUAUGUCCACCGGUUCUCACUAGAAAAAGAAUUUGCCUAUGCAAGCUAUUGUUUCCAAGAUCACUGAAAGUUUCGAGCUAUCUGCACUUUAUGUCUUGAAUCUUGCAAGAUGCGAACGAUCGAUGAAAGGCUAAAUGCAAGAGUCUACACAGCCUGUGAGUGUUGGGGUGUGGGUCUUCACAUUUUGACCUUAAUGCUUGCCUUUUUGGCAGCUAGCUCAGCCUAACAUCAAAAUUUCCAAAAGUAGAACAACCCCAAAUCUCUUGCCCUUUUUGCCGACCACAAAAAGGUUUUAAAGCUUGAUCGUUUAGAAUGUCUUUAAUACUGAUUGAAAUGAUAUCACAAGGUUAGCAAUGAAUUUUGCGGCAGUCAUUUGGUCUUGGUAAGGAACAACUUCUUUAUAAAAUAAACGGGAUUUAAACCUCGUUUGUUUGCUGGAAAGUAGUUUUUUUUUUAAAAGUGAAUUCCGGGAAAGUGAAUUAUUUUCUGAUAUUUGGUAGUGUAAUGAAAAAUAAGUUGAAAAACACUUUCUAAUAUUUGGUUAUGUCAUGAAAAAUGAGUUGGAAAAUAACUUAUUAAUGUUUUAUUUUUCUCAAGUUUAUUAAAAUAAUGCAGAACAAAUCUUACAAAUUAAAAAGUUGAAUGAGAAUGAAAUUGAAAAAAAAUAUAAUUUCAUAAAUUAUCUAAAAUAAAAUAAAUAAUAAAAAAAAUAAUAGAUAUCAAAUCUAAAAAAUAAAAAAAAUGAAAGAUGAAGAAAUUAAAAUAAUAAUAAUUAACAUUUCAUAAAUUAUUUCAAAUAAAAUAAGUAACAAUUAAAAGAAUGAGGACCAAAUUUGAUAGAUAAAAAAUUUCAAUAAAAAAAUGAUAAGGGAAAAGCAAAUAACAAUUAUAAAAAUGAGGACCAAAGUUAAUAUAAAAAUUAAAUUUUAAGAGAUGAAAUUGAAAAAUAAAUAUUCAAAACAAAAUAUAUAUAGCAAUCAAAAGUUUGAGGACCAAAUUUGAUAUAAUCAGCAAAUAAUAUGACAUUUCUAAAUUUUUUACAACUUCCGAAAAGUGUUUUCCGCCUAAAUUUUUCAGGAAAACACUUUCCUGAAAACCAAGUCAAAUCUUUCUUUGACUGAAAAGUGUUUUCCACUGACAAACGUUUCUAAUGGCAAAAAACACAGAAAAGUUUGGAAAGUAAUUUCCCGAAAAUCAUUUUCUAGAAAACAAACACAACCUUAGAUAGAGAAGUUGAAGAUACAUCAAAUAUAUAACACAUCAGUACUACGGACAAAAUGAAAGCUCCAUGUAUCGUGAAUUGCUACAAUAUGUUGAUAUUUUUGCUGGGAGGAAGAGAAAGGAACAACUAUAUUCUGAUAAAUAAAAUGAAAAACUCGUCUUUUCAUAUAGGUAAUUAUGUCCGUAUUUAUAUAAAUACAAGAAGUGGUUUUCUCAUUUAAUAACCCUAAAUACUUGGAUCAGACUCAUCGUACAUAGACGAACCAGACCUAACCCAAUAACCAACAAUCAGAAUUAAAUUAGCAAUCUUAUUUUUUAAGAGUGAAAAAACUGAAUUACUUUUAAAAAGCAAAAAAAAAAAAAAAAGCUCAUAUCCAGGGCUACAUGGUCUUUUAACUUUUUUAAAAACAGUAAAAUAAAAAAAAUUAUCAUUGAAAGUAAAAACUCCUUAAACUAUUGUCAAGGACUUUUUAUCUUAUGAUUAUGUUUUUUUUUCUUGUUAUUAUCACAUUGGCUAAGGGGUGAUUUGAUAAUUUAUCAAAUUUAAAUAUUAUUUUAAAAAAUAAUUAUUGUGUGCAUUGCAUACGUUAGCCUUGAGUGCGUAUGCAGGUUUGGAAUGACGCGUAUGACAUCACCCUUUGACCAAAUACCUUAGAUUUCAAAGUGGCGUUGAAAAAUGCUUGGCGGCCGCUCCAUGUUUAGGCAGUGCGUGUGGCAAAUGGACCACAAGUUUGUCAUGUGCAAAACCUUUCUAUUUUUCAGACCCACCCUUUAACUUGGUUUUUCUUCGAAUUUAGUCCUUGGUUUUUUUAGUUACUAUUUGUUUUAUUUGAAAUCAUUUAUAAAAUUAGAAUGUUUUUUCAAUUUCAUCAUUCUUCUAUUUUUUCACCUACCAAACUUAGUCCUUAUUUUUUUAAUUGCUAAUUUUUUUUAUCAUUUUCUUCAUUUAUUUUAUUUUUCAAUUAAUCCCUCAUUUUGUUAUUUCAUUUAAUAUUAAUACUAAAUUAAUUCUUCGUUCUUUUGACUGCUACUUUCUUUUUUUUAUCAUUUUCUUAAUUUAUUUUAUUUUUCAAUGUUACCCCUUAUUAUUUUAUUUCAAUUGAUUUUUAUACCAGAUUUGGUUCUCGUUUAUUUAAUUACUAUUUAUUUUAUUUUUAAAUUUUUGAUAAUUGAGAAUUUUGUUUUGUGAUUUUUUUACGUCUAUCUUCUAUGGUGUAACCUGGUCUCAUGAUUCAAGACAUGAGUUUAAAAGAUUUGCCCCAUUUAAUUUAGGUUUUUUUAAUUUUUAAUUUUAAUUUUAUCAUUCAAUAUUAUAUUAUUAGGUUGUUGAGGUAAAUGGGUUGAAUCAAGUUUUUCUUACUUUUCUUUAUUUUUCUGCAGUUUUGCCUUUUAUUAUUAUUUUUGGCCUAAGAAUUGACCUGCAUUGUUUCUAUUUAGUUUAUUUUUAUAAACUGUCAUCCCACCCUUAUAAAUUGGCCAUGUAUUUAGCAUACUCAAUAAAGUUAUUUUUUUUUAAUUUGAUUAAAAAAUAUCUCAAUGUUUUAGAAUUAGCUUCGAUCCCGAUCCCUGUACAGUUAUGGAGAUUGAUAGAAGAAUGUUGGAUGUGUUCCCUGCUCAAAUGUAGGCCACGAGAUGAAAGGAAGAUGUAUAUUUUUAUGUUUUGGAAAUGUAUCUCAAAAUUAUUUGUAGAGAAUUUUUAUUUUCUCUUUAAUUUGUAAAAUAUUAUUUUUAAUUCGAUCCAAUUCGUCAUUUGGUAUUGUUUAAUAAAAUAACUUGUUGUUUAUCAUGCGAUAACAGCAUCCUAAAGUGUUUGAAUUAGUCUUUUUCAUCCUAAAUUGUUUUAAAAAUUAAAAACGUUUCACACUUUGUAAUAUAUUGAGUGACAAGAUAUUGAAUGGUCAAAAAGUUAGUCGAAGAUGUGACUUGUCUAUGUAUUAUAUGUCGAACCAUAAUAUAGUGGUAAGCCAUGUAAUCGAUUAUUUCUGAUCUUUCACAGUACUGAAUACAAUUUAGAAGGCCAUCGUCGCUCGACAAUUAAGAAAAGUUACCUGUAAACGAGCGACAAUCACCCUAAUAUCACAAGAUAAGUUUACAAACACACUUGUAUCCUUUUCUCUCUUAAUCCCAUGCGCUCGCUUACCUACGACCAAGGCCUAUAUCCUGGCGACCGACCAGCUUUGUUGAUUGGAUCAGUUCUAAAGAGAAUUCAUCAACGUCCUUUUCUUUUUAAAAAAAUUAUCCUCUUUAUCGUUUAGAUGUAAUCAUCAUCGUCCAAGAAAUUAAUUAAUGGAGCAAUUAAUGUUGGCAGCUUCAAAUCCCUGUCCGAAAUGUGGUGUGUGCUAGAUUAUACUAUGGAUAUCGUUCGAAAAUCCCCCCGUAUUCAAAGAGAAAAUGAGAGAGAGAGAGAGAGAGAAAUCUUCACCCACCAUGAGAACUAAUCGAUUUUGUAAGUUUGUGAGCAUAAUGUGUUAGACUCCCUUUGAAUUGUUUUAUAUCACUUGGACUGAAAGUAGUCUUAAUCACGAGUAUACAAAUAAUUAAUUAAUUGGUUCGUUCUUCAAAUAAAUUAAAAAGAGAAACAUUGGUCAAAUCACAUGUCUAGGUUUUUAACCAAUUAAUUAAUUAUUAGGAUACAAAUUUAGCUACAUUAGGCUUUUUAAUUCAAUUGAGAAAAUAUUUUAUUUGGAGAAUAUAUUGAGAUCACUUUCCCGAUUCAAUGUCUUCCUUAACUAUCAAUUUAAGGCCUUCCUUAAUUAAUAUUUCAAGUCAGAUAUCAUUUACAUAAAUUCUACAGAUCAUUAUCAAUUAAAUUAUUUUGAAAAAAAUAAUCUUAUAAGACAGGUUCUCUUUGACUUUUUUUUUAGGAAAUGAAACUGGCAAACUUUACGAAACAUUAGAAUGACAAGAUGGUCUCAGCAAGCUAAGUGAUCCACGUGUACGAGAGAAGAGAAAUCCGAUGCCCUGCGUGCCAUGUGCAGCAUAAGUUAAUUUGCAAGUUGCACAAAUAAUUAAUCGGAAGUGGCCAAAAAGGUUCAGGGACUGCCUAGUCCUUUAACCUUUUUUAAAAACAAUAAAAUAAUAAAAUUACCCAUGAUAGAAAAAAAAUCAUAAACUUGUUGUCAUGUAUUUUUAUUAUGUUUUUUUUUUUUUAUCACAUGAGCUACGGAGUAUAUUAAAAUAUUAUUAAAAAAUGGUGGCUAACAUGUGCAUCAUAGACGUGAGUGCUUGGGUGUGUUCAUGGGUCUUGGACGACAUGUUUUGCAUUACCUAUUAGCCAAAAUAGCCUAGAUUAUAGGAUAGUGUUAGAAAGUGCCUAACGUCCCCUUUAUGUUUUGGCGACAUGUGUGGUUAAUAGAUCAUUAAAGCUUUUUUUUUUCCUCUUGAUUCUUGCACUAAACCUAGCCAUAGUAAAAUUUAAUUUUUAUAUGAAGUUUUUAACAUGAAUUUAUCGAUUAGAAUGCUAAAAUUUAAUAGAAAUCAGUUGCAAUUUUGGUUCGUAAAAGACAACAUAAAAAAUAAAAGAAAAAUUGAGGUUCGAUUAGCCGCCAAUAGAUAAGAUUCUCUCUCACAAUGACUUUUCAAUCACUUAUGGCAAGAAAACGUUGGCACUGGCCAGUGUCUAAGGAGAUGAAACAUUAAUCGGUUUGGUUAGGUUGGAUAUAAUCGGUUAGUCACGCGACAAUUAAGAAAAGUUAGAUGUAAACGAGCGACAGUCACCGUAACAUGACUAGAUAUCUCUAUCUCUAUCUCUUUAAAUCUAAUGUCCGUACGUGACAAAUCGGUAGCACUUUUGGCUCCUAAAAAACAAAAGACAAAAGAUAGAUUAAUGUUUGAUAAGGCGGCCCACAAAUAACAUUCUUUCAGGUUGUAUAAUUUCAGGUUAUCUUUGUCAAACUUUACGAGUCCAAGAAAGAAUAUUACCAAACCACUUCCAACUCCUUUUAAUUAUUGGGAGAUAUAUGUUCACUUUUGGUAAGCAAACGUCAGCUCUAGCCAGUGUCCAAGGAGAUGAAACAUUAAAUAUCUUUCCAUUUAUCUUUGACCUACUCAAAUAAACGACCAAACUUGCACGUUCUUUUCUUUAGGGAGUUGGUGUGAUAUCAUUUUCUUAAUUUCGGACAGAGUUAUCUUGCUUCGAAAGACCAGUAGUAGAAUCAAUCAGAUUAAUAUAAUUUAUAUUAUUUUUUAAUAUAAUACCAUCUUAUGUUAUUAAUUAAUCUCAAAUAAAAUAGAGAAUGAAACUUGUGAGAUUCGAAUAUGUAAUUAUGUGAGAUUUUGCACAUUGUCGCACCGCAAUUAAGAAAAGUUACAUUGGAGCGAGCGGCAAUCACCCUAAUAUCGCACGACAAGUUUGCAAACUCUUCUAUCCUUUUGUCUUUGAAGCUCAUGUGCCUACUUACCAUUUUUUAAAUUAAUAAAAAACAAAUAUCCACUAUACGACAAGAGAUCUAUAUCCUAGCAAUCAGCGUCGUUGAUGUUUUCUUCAAAGAAGAAAAUGGAUUGGAGUUCCCAUAAAAAAUCAUCAAGUUUUAAUUCUAUCUUUUUUUUUUCGCUUCGGAUUAUUUGGGGAUUUUCGAACGAUAUCCACAAAACCCAAGUGAAUGCGGCCAGAAAGGGACUUGGACCUUCCAACAUUGCCCCAUUGGUCAGUAUAUGAGGAAGAGAAUGGUGAAAGAAUUUAUCGUAUCAGAGCUGAAAGAAAGCAUUUUGGUUUCUGGUAUUCAAUUGAUGAUCAACAUAAAUUUUUCUCAGCCCUUUUAAUUUACUAGAAAUGGAGCAGGUGGCAAUGGAAAAAGCAUUGUCCAAGAGUGAUGCAACAAAUAAUCGAAUGGAACUUCCGAUGGAAAGCCUUAGAAAUUUCCCCAUCCCUGAUGGUCAAAAUUAUUUCGAAUUUGUUGCAAUGGACACGGUAGACCGGCCAUGGGAAUUCAAGGUCUCCACUCGCAACGAGGGAAAAUAUAAGAAGCCUUGGAUGUCUGGCCAAUGGGGGAGCUAUGCUCAUGAGAAAGGGUUGAAGAAAGGAGAUAGAGUUAAGUUGAUUAUGCAAGUGGAGGGAAAUGGUGUCAGGAGUUAUCGUAUCACGGCUGAAAGAAACCUGGCGAUGGGCAUCUGGAUUCCAGUUGAAGAUUUUGCAAGCUAAAAAUGGAAAUACUUAAGGUGUGUUAAAAGAAAUGUUGCCCCUUUCUUCCUUGAUGUUAAGUCUUGUUGUUGUAAUUUUGGUAUUAAGUUAAUUAGCCUAGUUGCUUUGUACCUUGUAUCCUUUGUAGUUGCUUGCACCAUUAAUCACUGGUUCCUGUACUUUAUGUUUUUUGUAGACUUACCAGUACAUGGUUGGUAUGUUGUGUAUUAAUUUCCGUUUUUUCUUUUAUAAGAAAAGGGCAUGCUGUUAUGAGUUUUUUGGCUUGUAAUUCUAUCUUUGUGGGUAAUUUUGGUGUCUUUUUUUUUCCAUUUUUUUUAAAGUAUUAUGACACCAUGACAUCAACGAGAACUUUCUGAAAUUAAAGAGCUACUUAUGUUUAAUAAAAGAACAACAUCACUUUUAUUGUAUAAUUUCUUAAAAAUAUAUUUUACUAUAUAUUUUUCUUUUAGAUUUAUCUAUAAUUAUUAUUACGUCUGAUAUCAUAAUAACCUUUAAAAAUUAUAUAUAAAAAACAUCUAACAUGUUUAUUUUUUUAAGGAUUCGCAACUCGAAUGUGUUACCGACAUGUAGGGCCCGAGUUUUUAUUUCUCUUUCUUUCUUUCAGUAUUUCAAGUUGGAAAAGCCACUCUUUAUGGAACGAGAUAGUAUUAAUUAAGUAAUUAAUGCUGGAUCGUCAACAUCCAUCAGACUUAUGGAAGACUUGGCAGCGUUUGGAAAAGCCACUCUAAUCAUUUUCUUAAUUCUUGAAAGCUCGUGUCUUUCAAAGGCCUUUAUGACCGUCAACAUAUGAGAUGCUCAUGAGUUUGAUUUCUAUCAAUUUUAUUUUAUUUUUUUAUUUAAUUAAAUUAAAUAAGUUUAAUACAAUGUAAUGGUGGGUUUAUUUAAUAUUUAAGGAUAAAAGACUUUUAUUUGAAUGAUAUGUGUUAGAAAGCUUUACGAGUCCAAGAAAGAUUAUUACCAAACCACUUCCAACACCUUUUAUUAUUGGGAGAGCAUGGCAGAUAUAUGAUCACUUUUGAUAAGCAAAAGUCAGCUGUAGCAUACUUAUAAUUAAACUUUCCAUCAUAAAAUAAGUAAACAAGACGAAAGUAUUAUUAUUAAAUUUGGUUUCAUUUAACAAAUUAAUUAAAUAACAUGUUCAAAGUAUAGCUCAAUUCAAGUUAGGUUUAUUUAAAAAUUAUUUUAAAUAUUAACCUUUUUAAAUUUAACUGGUUGAUAAAUUAAUUCAUGACUUGAUUGACUAGUGAUGAAACUUAAAUAAAAUUUAAAUGAAUGUUUUUAUUUUAUUUUUUUAAAAUAAUAUUAUUUAAAUUAUUUUUAAAAUAUUAUUUUAGAAUUAAUUUAGAUUUUCGAAAUCCAAUCCAAACUCUCAAUUAGUUCAGGUACUGAGCCGGGCAUGACAAAUGUGGAGGUGAAAAAAAAUAGCAUAUAGCAUAUACAGUGCAUAAUUGAUGGGAUUUAUUUAAUCAUAACUACAUAUUACACUUGCGAUGAUUUGUUCUUUUCUUUGUGGUGUGAAAAAAAAAAUUAUUAGAGAAAAAAUCUACUACUAACACUGAGCCUAAUUGAACAUGCUUCGUAUUAGUAAAAAAUCCUAAGAUUUUUUUUUAAAUAAUCUCAUUUUAUAAUUCUUAAAACAAGUUUAGGUAAAUUUUAUUGACAAGAUCAUUUUGGGAGUUGACCCGGAUUUGGUUUUAUAUCUAAUGAAAAAACUAAAUCGCAAAGAUAAUUAAAAUAUUAUGUUAAUGAUGUAAUAAUGAGAUAAAUAGGGGAUUUGCAAUGACUAUUAAAUAAUGUUGUGAUUUUAGAAACUGUUUUGGAAUACGGUGCAAAUCGUGUUUUUAAAAAAAUUAUUUUUUUUUGUUAAAAUUUAAUAUGUUUUAUAUAUUUUAGAUUGUUUUGAUGUGCUGAUGUUAAAAAUAAUUUUUUAAAAAUAAUAUUAUUAUCAUAUAUUUUAGCAUGAAAAGUUAUUUGUUAAAAUUUAAUAUGUUUUAUAUGUUUUGGAUUGUUAUUUGAAAACCAACCACAAGUUUUGGACAAAAUACUCCCAUGAAGCGUGCAGCUUUGCCAAUGCAAAUAAAUACCCUUUCUUUGUGAAGGAUUUUCCAAAUUGCCAACGAUUUAAUUAUUUCCUUAAUUUCGCAUUAAAAAUGAUUGAAAGGUAAAAUCAUGCAUAAAACGUCAGAUUAUGAGAUCAUGCAUGACGUCAGAUUAUGAAAUCAGCUGACGUACCUAUCUGAUCACUUGUCUGAAAUAAGAUAACAAAAACUGCUUUAAUGAUUCUUUUAAUUUUUCAAUAUGAUUAGUGGGUCCAAGGAGAUGAAACAUUAAUCUUUUCAUUUAUUUUUCGACUCCUCAAAUAAACGACCAAACUCGCACGGCCUUUUCUUUAGGGAGGUGGUGUGAUAUGUCAUUUUCUUAAUUUCGUACAGAUUUAUCUUGCUUCCAAAUACAAGUAGAAUCAGUCAAUUUAAUAUAAUUUAUAUUAUUUUUUAAUACUUAAAACUUGAAUAGAACCAUAUCUUUUUGUGAUAUUAAUUAAUCUUAAAUAAAAAAGAGAAUGAUAUUAAAAUUCAAAUUUAUACAGAUAUUAAAAUCCAAAAUCUCAACAAGAGGACAUUUUGCACAUUGUCGCACCACAAUUAAGAAAAGUUACAUUGGAGCGUGCGACAAUCACCCUAAUAUCGCACCAUAAGUUUGCAAGCUCUUCAAUCUCUUUGUCUUUGAAGCUCAUGUGCCUCCUUACCAUUUUUUAAAUUAAUUAAAAAAAAAGCCACUAUACGACAAGAGAUCUAUAUCCUGGCAAUCAGCGUCGUUGACGUUUUUCUUAAAAGAAGAAAAUGGAUUGGAGUUCCAAUAAAAACAAAUCAUCAAAGUUUUAAGAAAAUAAUAAGAAUUCAUCAAUAAGGGUUGUUUUUUUAAAAAUAAUAAUCAAUGUUUUGAAGUUACAGAUGGAUAUAAAAAGAUGUUGGUCGUGAUCCCUGCCAUAUAUGUGAAGGUCAUUGGUGGCGGAUAUCAUAUAGAAAAAGUAUUUUAAUUUAAAAUUUUAAGAUAUUAAAUAAUAUCUUAAAAAUAACUUUAUAUUAUUUUUUUAUAAGACCUUCAUUAAUCAUGAGCAUCCUCUCUCUCUCUCUCUCUCUCUCUCUCUCUCUCUCUCUCUAUAUAUAUAUAUAUAUAUAUAUAUAUAUAUAUAUAUAUAUAUAUAUAAUAACGUGUUAUAUAGUUUAAAACGACCUAUUAGCUUUCCAAAAUGUGGAUUGAAAUUUAGAAAUUAAUGAAAGAGGAUUUUUCCUGACGCAAUGUACACUGAGAAUAAUAGAAUUAGAAGUUAUUCAUGAGUUUUAUCUUUAUAACUCAAAACCAUAGAAAAUUUUUUAACUAAUCUUUUCUAAUAAAAUUUUUUUAGGAAAAACUUAAAACAAAUAAAACUCUACCAUGAUUAUAAAAAUUAUUUAAGGUUUUGAAGAUUUGGCUUAAGCAAAAUUACAAAUUAAUUAGACAAUAAUUUUAAAAGGUCCAAAAUCCUACUAGCAACCUACCAUGAUUCUUUUAAUCUAUUGAUCAAAUAUCAUAGUAUCUUAAGAAAUAAAUCUCAUGUAAUUAAUUACCAGUCAACUCAUUAAUUAAAAUUAGUAUUAGUCAAUUAUCAGACAACAUGGUCAUGAUAUGAUUUGAUGUAUAAACUUUUCAGAAGUGUAGCUAAAUGUACAUGUGUCACAUGAUAAUUGAUUAAUACUAAUUUGAAUUAAGGAAUAAGACCUAAUCAAAUAAUUUAUUGAAAGAUCGAUGGCAUGAUAUUUCUAUUUAAAGAGUAUUAAAUACAUUUUUGUCUAAAAAUUUAUCCACCGUUUCUCACUACAAAAUUUUUUUACCGAUGUAAGCUAUAUAUGAAUUUUUUUCCAAGAUCACUGAAAGUUUCUUGCUAUCUGCACUUUAUGUCUUGAAUUUUGCAAGAUGCGAACGAUCGAUGAUGUUUUUAUUUGUAAGUGUGGUUGCUGUUGCAAUUGCAGUUCAAAAUGUUUUUUAUUUAAAAAUAUAUUAAAAUGAUAUUUUUUAAAAAAAUUAUUUUUGAGAUCAACACAUCAAAACGAUCCAAAAACAUAAAAAAAUUAAUUUUUAACAAAAAAAAAUUGAUUUUUUUAAAAAUACAGCUUAACCCAUAUUUCCAAACUACACCAAAAUGCAAGAGUCUAGACAGCUUGCGAGUGUUGGGGUGUGGGUCUUCACAUUUUGACCUUGAUGCUUGCAUCUUUGGUAGCUAGCUUAAUGGUUUAGAAUUUGUUUUAUGAUAUCAAAUUUAAUAGUUUUAUCAAUAAAAAUUUUUGUUGAUAUUUAUAUUCAUAAUUUUUGGUAAGUAUUUUACUAAUAGAUUCAUGAACAGAAAUAAUCUAUCAGCAAAAAUCUUAUUAGUAAUUUUUGGUCUGUUGGUAAGUCCGUCAAUAAUAAAUUUAUCGAUGAAUUUACAGACAAACAAAGUGGGUCAAAAACAAUUUAUUUGCUUCAUUCAGUCAGUAUUUCCCUCGAGAAUUUUGUCAUAUAACCAACAAAAUAUCAUAUGUAAUUUCAUCGGUGUUUGUACAUCAGUAUAUUCAUCGAUAAAUACAACAUAUCACUGACAAAAUAUCAUUUGUAAUUUCAUUGGAGAGUUGACAGUAGUGGUAAUAUUUGCAAUAAUUCUUUUCCAACUCUCUGAAAUAUACUAACAAUGUGGUUCGUCGGUAACCCCGUCAGUAUUAUUUUCAAAUAUAUAUAUUUUUUAAAAAAUAUAUUGCACAGAAGUAGAAAAAUAAUUAAAAUUAAAUAUAUAAAAAGAAAUUAAAAUAAUAGAAAAAUUAAAUAUUUAUUACAAAUUUAAACAAUUUUACAUUCAAAUAAAAUAAAUCUAAAACAAAGACGGCGCUGAAGGAGGAGGAGGUUGGUCGUCGUCGAGACCGUGAGGCCAAUAAGGAGGAGCACCUAGACCACCCAUUUGUGAUCUCAUCUCCAUUAACACUUGGCGGAGUUAUUCAUAAUCUACAAUGAGUCGUUCGUAUUUUUUGUUAGGAUAGGUCGUCUGAUCAUGUAUUCGUUGGUCUAACAUUGCCUCAAACUCGGGAGUGAGUGCUUGGAACCAAUUGUGAGCAUCCAACGGUCGAAACAUUAUGGAUUGCCCACAAGUUCUUUGUUGUAGUGUUAAAGAGUCCAUACACCCGAUUUUUAUCGGGCCCACUAGACGAUCUUGUGUCCAAUCACAAAUCUAGAUCGAGAUCCAAAUGGGUCGAAGGAUCGUCCUCGUAUCUCUCCUUCAAGUAACUGUUAUAUGUAUUCUAAAAAGAAAAAAUAAAUUCAUCAAAUUGAAGGAAAUUAUAACUUAAUAAAAAAAAUAGUUGAAAACCAACAUACCACAAAGUGCUAAGCUCAACUAUCAAUGAACUGCUGCAUCUCUUUUUGGCAGUCAUCACUUCGCAUAUGAACAAAAAGUUUCAUCCAACUUAACUUAUGUUCAAGAAUCGUGCAUGCAAGAUAAAAAUGUUAUCAGUUAAAUAUAUUUAUAAAAAUAAAAAAAUUGAAGAAUUAAAAAAAUAUUACCUUUCGCUUCGUAUGCGAAACAAACGGAACAGAGUCGUUGGUGUGCGUGGUAAUAGAACCAUGAACACGCCGGUGUCGAUUCUCCAUUCCGACUGUUACAUCACGUGUUGAAUUUAGUCUACCCAUACAACCUUUGAAAUAUAUGGCUAUCUGAAAUCCUUUCAAUAAACUAACCAAAUUAAAAUAAUAAUAAAAAAAUAAGUUAAUACUAAACUUAAACUUUAAAACUCAUGCUUUGAAAUGCGGUUUCCAUUUAAAAUGUUUGGAAAUUUGAAUUUAUUAAAACAAUGGAAUUUUCAUUGACAAUUUAAAGACCGAUGUUAUUGUUCUUGAAACUUCAAUGUUUGUAAACCUAAAAUUACAUUCAUUAAAUAAAAUUAUUUUUUAAAAAAUAUUAAACAUGUCGUUAUGAAAUCAAAUAAAACUUACAUUGAAAAGUCAUUUUUCCAUUAGGCCUUGUACUUGCAGGUAAAUGGAUCCUGCUGUGAAUGGAAGCCCCCCUCAAUGUUGCAGUAUCGCACUUGGCAACCCCAUGUCGUGAGUCGUUGCAUGUGCCUUAGGUAUCUGUAAUUGGUCGGCACCUAAUGAUUUGUUGUCGUCAGCAUCGCUGCUAAAAGAAUUAGCAGUGAUCAUGUCCUCACGAUGUGCAAUAAACUUUCCCUUAGGCAUCUAUAUAAAUUAAUAAAUAAAAAAAUUAAAUGAUUUCUAUUUUUUUAAAAUUCAAUAGCACCUUCCCUAUAUGGGAGGCUACUCAAAAUUUUUAAACCUGAAAAUACACAACAUGUAUACCGCAAACCAGUUGAUUUUGCUCAAAAUUCUCAUUUUCUAAGUGGCAAUAUAUUUAAUCCUAAAUUUACAAAAAAUUAAUCUAAAUUAAAAAAAUCAAAAUAAUAAUUAAAAUUAAUCCUACACAUUUAAUUGAAAUUGAAAAAUAAAAUUGGAAAACAAAUAACUAAAAUUCUUCAAAAUAAUGACAAAAUUAUUUAAAUAACAACUAAAAUUAAACACAAAAUUGAACAAAAAUAAUGACAAAAAAUGCAAAAGAAAACAAAUAAAGAAGAAAAAGAAAUGAAAAAUUCUUACCUUUAUGGCAUGUAUAGUGUCAACUGAGAAUUAAAAAAGAAAAACAAAAUAAAUUGAUGCAACUAUAUUAUUCGAUAGUUUUGUCUAUAUUUACCUAGUAUUUUGUUCAUGUUUUAUAUAUAAAAUACCUUGAUAAUCUUUGUUUUAUGUUUUGAAGGCACUUUUGGAUGUAAGAUUCGAAAAAGAGUAAAUUGGAGAUAAAAUUCAGACCAUGUUCCAACUCGUGUCGAAUAUUGGCAGAUUUGACCUCUGAUUGAUGUUUUAUGUAGAAAUUGAGUUGUAGUGGUUGAAUUGAAGUGAUUCUAUUGGAAUUAGAAAGCUAACAUCUAUAUCUUUCUAUAUAUAUAUGGCAAGAAAAAGAAGAAGAAGGGGGAUGGAAAUCACAGCAUUCAAAGACAAGUCUCACAUUCUACCAAUUUUAAUCUUUGACUAUUCCGACUUUAAUAUCUUGCAUUAGAGAUGUCCAUUUCAUGCACACUCAAUUUUUUUGGAUUCUGAACUCAAAGACUUAUCAACCUACCAAAUUGCAGUAUAAAAAAAGCUGAUAUGAGAGAGAUAUGAUUUUUUUAAGACAACCCAUAAAUUAUGUCAGCAAACAGGUUUUAUGAAGAAAUAAGUCCAACUUACUUACAAAGCAUCCAAACCGACAUGACAAUUGUUUCUUCGUAUGGAAAAAGGUCUUUAAUUGAGCAAGUUAAUUUCUCUAAGUCCAAUGUCAAAGCUUAAAGAUUUUAUGCAAGACUAUUUUUUUUCUUUUUAGAAAAAUAGUUAUUGUACUACUUAAAUGUAGAUUUUCUACUUUGAAAAGGAUUAUUUUUAUUUUUUAAGGAAAAAAAUGGAUUAGAGGGAUGUGGGGAUUAGGGUUUUCUAUUAAAUAAAAAGAAAGAGAAAAAAAAAAGAGAAUGGUAGCCAAAAAGAAGAAGAAAACUCCACCCUUUUCUCCUAUACUUGAAAUUAUAUUCUUAUAUGUUCUCUUAAUUAGUUUUUUAAUGGACAUGCAAUGCUAAGUUAUUUUUCUUGGUUGAAAGGAUACAAAAACCAUCAGAUUUCAAAAGACUGUGAGAUCUAUUUUAUCUUUUCGUUUUAGUUUAUAUGAUGAAUAUGAAUGUUUUUCUAUGAUUAGUUAGUUUCAUUGUUAGAGCGGACUCUAAAUUAUUAUUUUAAACCAAUCUACUGCUAAAUUUGCUAUCAAAACCAGAGUUGAGAUAUUUAACCUUCUGAAGUGACUAGGUUUAAUAAUUAUGAUGGAUCUAUGUUGUUAAUCUUAGGGAAAAUAUUCAAUUACAUCGAACAUAGAUUGCAGACAGUUAUGUUGUCUAGAUUUAUCAACCUAUUUAGUUCUUAAGGUUGCCAUUGAAUUAAAUUACUGGUGCGGACACUAUGGUUGUUUAAUGGUUAGGGCUAGUUACACUGUAGAUUGGUUAACUGAUUAAUGUUAAGGAAAGAUAGAUAUUUAGAAGAUAAAUUGACGUAUCGUUUCAAUAAUCAAUUUUGAUUUUUAUAAGUGAACGUUUACUUGAGACCAAGGUUUUUCUCUUGAUAAGUUUCAUAUUUAUUUAAUUUAUCUUUAUUAUUUUAUUCUAUUUACCAUAACAUAGCCUAGAUAACCUUAAAAUCCCCUAACUUUGAAUCAUGUAACAUAAAUACCUGAACUAGAUUGUCCUCAUAGGAAUGACCCUUUACUUCCUUCCAUUAUACUAUCUUGUUUGUUUAAACAAGGGUAAUUAAUUUAUGUGACCACUGUCAUAACCGUCAUAACCCAUUUCAGGGUUAUUCCCUAAUAUUACACAUUUUUCCUUCCAAAAUAAAAUUAAGAAAUAAAAAAUAAAAUAAAAUAAAGACUGACAACGUGGAGAAAGCAGACCGAGGAGGAUUUCAAAAAUAUAAAAAAAUCAAACUACAAUUUUGGAGGAAAUUCAAGGCCUAAUUGUAUCCUAAUAUACCCAAAAAUAGUGAAACAAUGCAAAUUCAAUGUCAAAUUAAAUGAUUAUUGAAUGAAUUGAUUUAAUCAUAGGCCAAAUUGAAGUUUAAUUAUGUUUAAUAAUUAAUUUGGAUCCAGUUAAAGGAUUUAAUUAGGUGCAAAAACUUAAUUAUACUUUAAAAGGGUCAAAUUAAUUUUAUUAGGGGCUUAAUUGGUGAAAAUUAAGUUUAAGAGCUCAAUUUAGGCUUAAUUGAAAAAAUUGAAAUUUUGAAAGACCAAGUUUAAUUUUUAACAAGUUAAUUGAUUGAAAUUAAGAGCAAAAUGAUAAGAAAAUCAAAGUUUUUGGGUCAAUUAGGGGUCAAAUUAAAAACUUUCACAGUUAAGGAUCACUUUGCAAAGAGUAUCAAACUAUAAAGGCGAAAUUGAUUGAAACCGGGGUGAAAUUGAAAGUUUAAUAAUUAAUUAAGUGUCAAAUUGCAUAAAUUCGAGACUAAGGACCAUAGUGAAAAAGACACGUAAAUAUUUAGGUGCUGAUAUUGAAGUUCGAUAGGUGCUAAAUUGCACUAAGUCAAACAUUUAAGGUCAAUUAAGGGUGCAACUAAACAAUAUUGAAAGCUGGAGGACUAUAGGACUAGACGACGUGUCGUGUGGUAACUGUUCAUUGUCUUUCCUCUUUUUUUUCAGCCAAAAAGUUACCUAGGUGACUAAUUUUCAGAUGCAUUUAAUGCUUCAUAUGUCCACCAAAUUUGACAACACCUGAACCAAAAUUAUCACCUGACAUCCUUCUAAUCUCGGGUAAGUCCAGUUUAGGUCGAAUGACACCAUAACGGCCCUAGCGCUGAUCUAAAGUGACAAACUAAAGCAGUCUUAUGGCCUGAGUAAGGAGUUCAUAGUGCCUACUUUGAACUAACAGGUAGGAUCCUUCCCAACCGAAUCAAGGGCUAAUAUGUUUUUCUAGUGUAGACAAGAUUGUUCUCUUCCAUCCCCUAUAAAUAAGGGAGGAUUUCAUGACCCGAGUAGGGAGAAAUUCAAGUCCAAAGUCGGCUGAAAACCAGAUUCCCCCAUUUUUUUUCCUCUGUAACGAGUUCUCUCUUUUUUUUCUCUCUUUGAUGUGGCCUUCGGCUACCACCACACUCACCAUUGGCUUGACAACCAUCAAAUCCACCAACCCAACUCCUCACCAACGGUAGAGCAGCCACCGUGAACUCCUCUCUCUCCUCUACAAGCUUUUUUUCUUUUUCUUCCUUCUUUGCCACCCGUCACCCGCACCACUGCUGCAACCACUGGCCGCACGCCAUCAUUCACGACUAGACCACCAUCGCUCCAGGUAGCCUGCUCCUCUUCCUCUUCUUUUGUCCAAUGUUCAUGCAGUGAACAUUGGGUCGAGCCAACUUUGGCCCCACCCAAAUGGUCGAGCCAGGCCAGACCCAAAAAAAGAAAAAAAAAAGAGAUAUGUUGGGUUGAGAUCGGCCCAACAUUUUUUAGGCUGAGUCCGGUCUAGUUAGUUGGGUCAGGCCAGCCUGCAUAUUUUAUAAUAUUUAAUUAUAAUAAUAUAAGAUUAUAUAUUAUAAUAUUUCAUAUUAUAUAUUAAAAACAAAAAUAAAUAAAAAAAUUCAGAAAACAAUUUAAAAAAAGAUCCUUUAAAAAAUUUGUGAUUUUCUUGCAUAUUUUUCUACAAAAUUUGCUUAAUAUUGGGUUGUAUUUUUACACUGUAGAGAUACAAACCUGAUAUUAAAAUACUUGGCUUUCUCCGAAAUAUUUCUAAAACAUUUCUAAAAGUUCAAAAAAAAUUAAAAAUUUUAAAUUAAUCUCUCUUUAAAAAAAAUUAUUUUAUUUUCAUGCAUACUCUCAAAUCCUAAAAUUUUCCAAGCAUAUUUUCUUAAAAAGAUAAAAAUUGCAUCUUUCUCAUGUUUUAAAAGUAAAAAAAAAUGGAUAUAGUAACCAAUUUAUGAUUAUUCAUUAGGAUUUGACCAAAAUGUCAAAAACACUUUACCAAUCUUUUUUUAGGGUCUAAAUGUAGACUUUAAUAUCUGUGGGGUGUAAAAUUACAUAAUAGAAUACACUAUUAGGUAUUAAAGAUACAAGGUAUAAAAUAAAUGUGAUGCUAAAAUUCAGAUUUUAGAACGGUUAGGAUUAAACCCGAUGAGGUAGAGACUCUUUUAUGAAGGGAGAUUUAUCUUGAACCUUAGAUGAGAUCAACAAAUAGAAACCCGACCUAGAAAAACAAUCAAACAAUAAUGCAGCUUAUCUUAGGUUGGGUGCACUGAGGGUGAUGUGUCUUUUCCUUACACAACUAGUCCCUUAUCCAGACUCUCGUAGACCAUAGGUUCUUAUCAACCAUAACACAAGGUGGUGACUCCUGAACUUUAAUCAUAAUUUUAUGAUUAAAUCUAAAAACCUUUCCAACAACACACAUCUCCUCAAGAGGCAAGAUAAACCUCACCGUCGCCCUGACAUCGUGGCACCCCCUCGAUAACCACGACAUCACAACAUAAAUGAAAAUAGAUUGUUAAAAAAGCUAAAAAAUAGAAAAAUGAGAAAAAUAAAGAAUAACAACAUACCUUAGGACAAUAAGAGAAGAUGAUGCUUGAUUUUCAACUCGGGUCGUGAACAAAAAUAAAAGAAUGAAGAAGAAGAGAGAAAAAAAGAAAGUGGAUGAAAGAAGAAGAAUGAAGAAGAUGAAUCCUCAUAUGUUGUGUCUGUGGUCUUUUAUAUUAGGUUUUACUGAAAAAAUUCCCGAUGAAAUAUUGAAUAUUAAUAUCUUUAAAAUUUUUAUCGGUGAUUCCGUAUGUUAAGUCAAAGUAAAAUUUUCAAUUCACACAAAAAAUUUCAAAAACCCCUCCAAAUAUUACUGAUAAUUUUUUAUUUUAUUGAUGAUUCUGUCGGUAAAAGAGUAAACAAUCAACAGUUAAAAAAAAAAAGCAUUAAUUACCAGCGCAUUAGAAUUCCAUUUCGUAGGUAAUUCUAUUAGAAAAGUGUACCACAAUUAGAAAGAGCAUUAAUUGUCAGCGCGUUAGAAUUCUCAUUCCAUCAAUAAAUUUAUUAGUAAAAAAAACAUUAAUAAUCACCGUCUUGAGAAAUGAACAAUUAUAAUCUAAAUCAUUCUUAGAUUUAACUGAACUUUCCAAACAUGAUCUUUGAUAUGUAAAACUUAAUUAUUGGUCCUACUUCACUCCCAAACUUUAUUUUUUUUUCUUGUUCUCAUCUUCUUCUUUUUUAUUGCAUUUUUUAUGAUUUGUUUCUAACUUAAUUUCACACGCAAAAUCAAUAAAAGUGACAUAAAUAAUGAAAUGACUAGAAUUGAUUAAAUUUACUGAAAAUGUAUUUUUUUAAUUUUCUAUUUUUAUUUGAAAAGUAAAUGAUUAAAAAUCUGAUAUGAUUUUUUUAAGGUAUAUAAUGGUGCGCUUACAUUACACAAACUUUCGAGUGAGAUGGUCUGAUAUCAAUUUCGAAUCUCAGGAUAAAAUUUGAUCAAACUGAAAAGACUAGUGAUAUUUUGCUUUGAACUUGUCAACUUUGCAACCAUCCUGUGAAACGAUUUGGAUCAUGAAUACAAUCUACAAGGCCAUUUUCGCGCACCAAGUCACCUGUAAACGAGCUACAAUCACCCGAUCGACCCCGGUUUUUCUUUUGCUUUCUUUCUUUCAGUUUUUUAAGUUGGAAAAGUCUUUGUCAGUUUUGUAACGUGUCUGUUUAUGUAUCUUUUCAACUACCAGUAGAAUAAGAUAGAAUUGAUACAGGAUCAUUGACAUUUAUUCAAACACUUAGAAGGUCUACCAUCACACUUUAAGCUAUAAGGACCCACUCUUUAUUUCUUAAUUGAAAAAUAAUAUAUUUCAAAGGUUUUGGAGUCCGGGGCCUGGAGUCAGGCAGAUCCUGACUUUCUUGGUCAGGUUUCGUAAGCAAAUACCUGCUCAAGUGUGCAUAAGAUGAUACUUAAUUAGUGUGAACUUGAACGAACUUAGGAGUGCGUAGGUGUGGUAUGAUUUUUAUUCUUUAUAACAAAAUCAGAUCAUAAGUGUCAAAGACCAAUAUGAUAGUUUAAUGUUUGUAGUUUUUUUUUUUUUAUAAAAAUGAUAGUUGAUUGUUAAUGUUCAGAAAUGAGUCACAUCUUCUCCCUUUUUAUAUUCACCGGUCAUCCACUUUUUAAACAUGCUUUUUAGCUUUAAUCAACAUCAAAAUAUAGAACAAUUUUCCAAGUUAAAUGAUCGGAAGUAUCUCUAGUACCCUUCUGAAGAGCAUUGCAUGCAUCGUUAUGAUCACAAUCUAAAAUCUGGUCAGUGUUGUGCGAUGAUUAACAAAAAUUGACAUGUAAACGUUCGAUCACCACCUUAACAUCACGCUAUGAUUAAGACUUCUCUAAUUUUUUAACUCUCAGAUGUUCAUAUGAUCAUAUAUAUAUAUAUAUAUAUAUAUAUAUAUAUCACUAUCUUGCUUGAACUCUCACACCACUAACCCUUCUUUGAACUAUAAUCCUUCAAAACCAUUUGCUCAACCCGUUUGAUUGUAACAAAAAAUGGAGGUGAUGAACAAAAUACUCUCUGAGAGCGACGCAAAAAAUAAGCGACUCGAAUUUCCGGCUAGGAGUCUCUCGGCCUUCCCCAUGCCAGAUGGUCAGAACUCGGUCCAAUUUGUGGCAUUUGACAUGAACGAUCAGCAAUGGAGUCUUAAGGUCUCCAUCCGCAAUGAAGGUAAGUAUGCGAAACCUUGGCUAAAGGGCGAAUGGGAUGACUAUGUUCAUCAGAAAGGGCUCAAGAAAGGAGAUAAAGUUAUCUUGACAAUGCAUGAGGAAGAGAAUGGCGAAAGAAUUUAUCGUAUCAGAGCUGAAAGAAAGCAUUUCGGUUUCUGGUAUUCAAUUGAUGAUCAGCAGUAAUAGCUCUCCAUAAAUCGAAGCAUGAGGCUGGGCUCAUGUUUAGUGUGACAGGCAAGGAGAAACUAUCUCUUGGAGGUGUCCGUAGUUCACUCCGAUUGUGUAAUGAGUUAAGUCAAAAUACAAUAUGUGUCUGUCUUGAAGAAAGUAAGUCCUAGCUAGUCGUAAGAACUUUUGUCCCUAUGAAUUUGUUGCCUUGGGUCUGCUUUGGUGUUCUGUCCUUGUUGUAUUUUAUUUUAUUGUAUUGUAUUAUGCUUAGAUAGUUGCUAUGUGCUUUGUGUCUGUUGGGGUUGUUACCAGUUCCUCCAUAUUCUCUUGUUAGGCUUGUUCUACUGCCUUUGUAGACAUCUCGAGCAGGGAUGAUUCUUGUAUCUUUACUUCUAAUUAUUAUAUAUAUAUAUAUAUAUUAAAAAAAAGGGUCUUGUAUGUAUGCAUGCUUUUUAGUUCCCGUGCAAUUUCUCAUAUUUUUGGGUAAAAAAAAACAGAUUUUCUGCUGCUAAAUCUAGUUUCUUUCCAGUUAAUUUUAUCUUGCCAAUUGUUGGCUUCCGUGUAAGAUUUAAUCCUUCACAAUUUUUAAUAUCUAUAUUUUAGAACCAUCACCCGCCAUAAGUCUUGAGCCAUUUGGUAUAAUCCAGACUCAAAUACCAAAUUCAAUACUAUAAGAUUCAUGUUACAAUGCUAUAUACUUUGUUUUUUAGCUCAAACUUUACCCAUCAAUGAUGUGAUGAAUAAAAAUGCUAAUUGGUACUUAAUUCUUAUGAGCAUCCAUUAGGUCAAUGAUAAUAUUGAUUGGUACGUUUCUUGUGAAUAUGAAUAUCCAUAAGGUCAAUGAUCAAGAUUUAAUCUAAUGUUAAUUGUUGGUUAGCAAUAGUCUUUGUCACACCCGACAUCGCGGCGGCCUUAAAAAUUUUCUAAUUUCAUGAAAAGAAUAGAUUUCUGGCAUUCUAUUCUUUGAUGGGGAACGAUUUUGUUUAAGGAGUCGCCACCUAGUAGUAUGGUCACUAGGAACUCUAACUGGUCAACAGAGAUUCUAUGGUUCGGGACUGGUUACGUAAAAAAAAAGAUAUUAUAACUCCUUAAAUGUUCUGCCUGAAGCAGACUGCAUUGCUGGUUUUAUCUUAAUUUGCUAAAUGUUUGUUAAUUUAUGCUAUGAUGAUUUGCUUAUAAUAUUCAUGACUCUGGCGCCAGAGAAUAUUCAACUACAGAUACUUCUAACUCUGGCAUUGAUAAAUAUUACAUAGUUAUAAAUUAAAAUAAAUUUAAAUCCGUAUUUUUAUUUUUGACUCUAGAAAUAGUGAAUAAAAACAAAAAUAAAAUUUAUUUUUUUGCAUACACAUAUUUUUUUAUGUAGCUAAAUAAAAUAAAAUAAAUUUAAAUCAAUAUUUUUAUUCCUGACUCUGGCGUCAGUGAAUAAACCAAUAAAUCUAUAUUAUUUUUUUUAUUUAUGCAUACACAUAUUUAUUAUUUUUUUAUUUUUAUUUUUUGGAGGCGGGGCCCAGCUCAGCCCAUAUAAGCUGGGUAGACCUAGCUAGCCCGGCCCAGUCACUGGCCCAAGCUAGUGGCCUGGCUGGGCAAAACAACAGCACGCAUGACGCAUGCGGUACAGUAAAAGGGUUAAUAAUAAUUCAAAGCAAGGUUGUCAAUUCCAUUCUGUUUCACCCGGAAUGGCCGAAACAUUCCAUACCAAUUCAAAAACAGAACAAAACGGAACAAAGUUCAUCUCAUUUUAAAUCUUGGUCCGUUUCGGAUUUUUCGGCUAAAUUCCGCCUGGAACGUUCCGGUUUCAUUCCACAUGUUCCGUUCCGUUCUUGAAAAGCCAUUGAAUCAAAUUGAACCUUGUUCAAUUUAAUUAAUUAAACCAUCCAAUUAUAAAAAGUUAUUUUUCAUUAGUAUUUUCAAUAACAAUGAUAUUAAUAAUAAUAUUGAAAAUUAUUAUUACUAUUUGCAUUAACAAUGAUAUUAAUUUUUUAAAAUUAGAUUUAUCAUUAAUAUAUAUGGUUUAUAUUCAUGUUGUUUUUUUCAUGUUUAUACUUUGUAGGAAUUUGAGCAAAACAAGAGAUGCUUUAGAUUCCAAUAGUCUUGAUAACAUUGACCUAACUUUAUAUUUAAAAUAUUUGUGUUAAAACAUUUUACUUUCAUAAUAUUUUGAUAUUUUGUUUAAGUUGAAUUACUUUAAGUUAAAGAUCUAUUUAAUCUUAACUAUUUAGAAAUAUUUUAAAUUUUGAAAUUAUAUUUGUUUGGCAUUGUGUUUGUAUUGCAUAAUUUAUAAUUAAUUUAUCUUGAAUUUGAAUUAUAUUUGUUGAAUAUAUAUAUAUAUAUAAACAGUACAACCCCGAAACAGCACGCAGAAAUACUUUAAAACUAAAAUAUUUCAUUUCAAUUGAAAAAACAAAACACCAACCAAAACAGAAUUUCCAACCUUCAUUCAAAGCUAUAAUGUCUAAUGAAUUAAAUUGCAGAAUGGGAAAGGAUGAACUUACCUGGUCUGGUGUGCUUGACGACGAAGACGAAGUUCGGGGUGAUUAGUGCACUGGUUAGGCAACGCCUCGUUCUUCCCUUCUGUCCUCCUUUGCUUUCUCUCCUGGUCUUGGUUUCUUUUCUCUCUAGGUUCUCUCUCUGUAAAAUUAUGGAUUUGUUUUCUUCGUGCUCUGUUUUUUUUUUCUCUGUUUGCCCAAGUUCCUCUUCUCAGUUCGUCCUCCCUGACUCUCCUUCUUCGUCUGUGUAUUUGUUCCUCUGUGUUCGUUCUGGUCUUCCGCUCAUCGUCCCUGUGUUUUUUUUUGUUUCGAUUCGUGCUCUGCCUCUCCGUUUUUUCUCCGGUUCUCCCCUGUUUCGUUCCUUUUUUUUUUCCGUUGCCUCUGCUCUGCCUUUUAUAGAGCCAGAGAGCUUUCCAAAACCAGUCCCUGUUACAGUCCUGCAUUUACAGGACUGUUAAUCAAUCCACGAUCGGGAUCGUGGGCAAAAGAUGUGGUCCAUGAACGGAUCGAAUUGCUGCAGUUUUCCCUGUUGAAUAGGCUUUCUCCGCGCGAAAUCAAAGGGAUAGUGAACAGCUCUUCAAAACGGCGCCGUUUGUGUCCUUGGGAAUGACUAUUUUUCACUUUGGUCCCUGAACUUCUGAAAUGUAUCAAUUAGGUCCCUGAUUCCAUUAAUUAAAUAAUUCCAAGUCCAAUUAAGUCCCCAAACUUUUAAAUUAUGUUGUCUUGGCCCAAAUUUCAAUUUAUUCCUCAUUUUUAUUAUUUCAUAUCUUUUUUUUAAUAAAACAAAAGGAGUAAAAAAUUAGGUUAUGAAAAUUCUAAUAUCUAAUGUCGGCUAAUUAAGAAUCUUAGAAGAUGGCGGAUCAAACAUGCUUCAGUACUUCAACUUUGUUUCUUAUUCAAGAACAGUCAAACUUUAUUCUUUCUGUUGAUAUAUUGUUCACAUGUAAAGAAGUCUGGAAAUAACUAAAUAAGUAUGUAGCAUCUAUAUAUAUAUAGAAUCAGUUCGCUGUCUUAGCUGAGCAUUGUAGUCUAGACUAGAGUGUUUAUCACUUGUACCAGGAGCUUCCUACACUUGUUUUUUGUCAAAGGAACAAAGAUUUAUGUUUUUUUCACAGCAUACAGAGAACAAAAGAAAUAGCAGACAACCAAAUACCUGUAUUAAUCAUAAUAGUUAUAAGACCCGUUUAAUGAGUAGGUCAAUCAUUAAGUCGACAAGUCGAUGGGUUAAUCAAAGUUUUUUCUUUUCAAAACAUGUUAUUUUUUCUUAAAAUGGGGUCUGCUGUUAAGACAAACACUUUAAAACGUCUAAGCUAGGGAUGCAGUAUCUGGCUCUGGAACUUGGUUGAGGAAUCAAUUAGGACAAUGCACCAGAAGAGGGUGGAUAUGGUGAUUUUGAGAUGUCCAUUUUUUAUAUUGUUUGUCUCUCAAUUAUUUAUUAAAAGCAAUAUAACUCUCAUAAGUAUUUUUCAGAUGAGAAGAUUUGGGUUUUAUUUAUAUUGUACGUAUGAUCAUUUUAUUCUAAAAAAUAUUAUGUUAAUUUAAAUAUAAAGAAAUUAUAUAUAAAUUAAAAUUAAAAUAUUAUUUUAUCUUUAAUAAAUAAAACAAAAUAAAAUAUAUUUUUUAAUAAAUAUCAUAUCAAUGAUUCGCAUAAAAUAGGUCACUUUUUUAAACGAACGUCAAACAAUCAAUCUCUCCACACAUGUUCCAUCAAGAAGUGUUAAUGAUAUAUAUAUAGAUUUUUUGUCAUAGUCGAUUAUAUUAUAAACUAAAUUGUUAAUGAUAUUAUAUAUAAAAAACACGAAUCUCGUGCUCAUAACUAUUUGAAUUUGAGCAUGAGAAAUAGAAAUAGAAGAAGAAAGCAGACUGUGGGAUCUGUAUUUGUUUUCUUUCUGAGUGCAUCCUUCGAGGUUUCUUAUAGUUUGGGUCCUCCUUGGUUUCUUAUCCUUGGAAUCUAUUCAUUGCCGUCCAUUUUUGGUUUAAUUUGGAAGGAUUAUCUCCGAGUUUUGCAUAGUUUCUUGAUCUAGCUAUUAGAGCUUCUCUUAUAAUUAAUAAUAAUCUUCCAUUGUUUAUAAAAAAAUUAAAAAUAAAAAACACCAAAAUUAUUUUUUUUAACCCACAAAGAUAGAAUUACAAGCUAAAAACCUCACACUAGAAUUCCCUUUUUUAUUUAAAACAAAAACGGAAAUUAAUACACAAGAACCAGCCACGUACUGGUAAGUGAAUACUACACAUUAAGUACAGGAACUAGUGAUUAGUGGAGCAAUGUCGGCAGGUCCAAGUCCCUCACACUAACGAGCCCUUUCUUUAGUAAAGUUAACAAGCCCAUUUCUUUAUGAAUAAUAAUAAUAAAAAGAAAUAAAGACACAGGAACCAACGUACAAUGCUGGUAUACCUAUGCUACACAUGAAGAAGAACAAGCCCCGGUGAACGGAACUAGUCAUCACACAUUAUAAUCCAAGACAAUGGUGCAAACAUCUCCAAGGGACACAAGGCACAGAGUAUAUAAGCAAAUUAAAUACCAAAAUAACAAGAAGGAUUGAACAUCAAAGCAGGUAGAGGCAACAAUUCUCAAAGGGACAAUUACCUUCCGCACAAUAUCUAGACACACAGCACACAUUAAAAAAAAAAUAUUAAUUUCCAUUUCUAGCAUGCCACUCUUCAAUUGGAACCCACAUGCCCAUUGCUAUGUUUCUUUCAGCUUUAAUUUGAUAGUUUCUUACUCCAUUCUCUUGCAUAGCCAUAGUUAACUUCACUCUAUCUCCUUGCCUAAGCUUUUUCUCACGAGCGUAAAUCCCCCAUUGACCAUGUAUCCAAGUUUUUCGAUACCUUGUCGGACGAAUGGUUGAGACUCCAUGACUCGCCUAGAACGUCCAAUGCUUCAAAAACGAAUGACCUGCUAUAAGCAGAAAUGGGGAACCCUCCUAGACUCCUGGAUGGGAAUUCGAGUCGAUCAUUGGUCGCAUCACUUUUUGAUAGCACCUUGUUCAUUACCUCCAGCGGAUCCAUUAUUUUUAGUGAAACUAACUGCACUGAAUUAUAAUGCAUGGUGAAUCCUUAUAUACUGGUUCCGAGAAAAAAAAUCUAGGGCUUAUCGAACUUAUUCAGCUGUUUGUUUUUGCUUUGUUGAGCAUGUGUACCAUCGUUCCGAAUUGUCCUCUUUCUGUACCUUUUUUUUUUUUUACGAAGACGAGGGAUUCUAAAAUGAAACAAGAAUGGAAAGGCGAGCCUAGCUUGAUCAAACGAAAUGAUAACGGCUUGUCCAAGUCUGAAAAUGAUGACUUAAGAUGAAAGUGACCUUGAUAACAAAUGCAGAUUAAUUAAUUUGUCUUAAAUUUUUUGUGACUCCAAUUAUUACGUAGGAUGCAUAGUAUUCAAUUUUUGACAUAAAAAUAAUUAUUUUUAUUGUAUUACUUCUUAAUUGAUAAAAUUUUAUAAGAUUUGAUAAUUUUAUUUAAUUAGACAAGUGGUUUAUUAAGGAAUUAAUAAUAACUUUAAGAUUCUAUUUUUUACCUAUUUUGUUUUUUUAUUGAGUAUCAUUAGGAUUUUUUAGUUUUCUUAUUUAAAUGGUUAUAACAAAACAAGAAAACUUUAAUAAAUAAAAAUUAAAUAUUUUGAAUGCUUCUUUAUAAUGAUGUUCUUCAUCUUUGAAAAUUUUAAUUUAUAUUAACCAUUAUUAAUUUUUGUUAUAUGUCGUGUCAAUUAAUAUCAGAAUAAAUUGAUUUAUUUGACGAACAAAAAUAUUGGUAACAUCUUCAUACCCCGAUGAUAAUGGAGUGGGAACCAUCUAGGGCGAUGUAAAGACUCGAGAGGUUGCUCGGAGAACCAUAUCGUAAAGAUUUAAUUGGCUGGAUCAACUGCAAAAGGGAGGCACGAACAAAGAUUGUGAUGAGGAGAGAGACAUAUCUAGACACCUACCGUGUCUUCAAUUCCUCAGGCAAACCACACCCAAAUCCAUUCAUAUAAACUCAUAUAAGGAUCAUGUCAAUGGAAAAGUGGUAUUUAUGACAAGCAGAGAACUGAAGAUUUGGUUUGCAAUCAACCUUUUUGUUGGUGCAUUUCUAUUUUUCAAUAAAAUUCCUUUUUUGAUAGAUUUUUUUUAAAAAAAUAUUUAUUAGAAUACAGUUGUUGUAUUUUUAAUUGAAGAGAAUUUCUUUUUAUUAGAAGGUAGGAUUUGCAAGACUCAAAUUUAUUCAAGGUGCUGAAGAUUAGUGGAAUAAUAUUAUAGAAGAUAGAGUUCGUGGCCUAUACUUUCAUCAUGAAAAACUAUGAGAAAAUUAUUAGUUUUGAACUUUGUACAAGAUAAUUAUGAAAUAAUUUUAUCCUAGACAUAUAUGUAAGUAAUUAAAUUAUCAUUACUUGUCUUCUAUUUAACCUUCUCAAAUCACAAGGAUGCAAAGCACAGAGGAAUGCUAUUACAAAUCCACAAGGAUGCCAUACCAUAAAAAGAAGCAAAAGAGUAACAAUUAUCAUAAUCCUUUGAGGAAUUGCUAUAGAAAGAACAAAAAAUGAUUCUGAAGAAGCCCUUGAUCAGAAAUCACAUAAGCCAUAGAAAAUUCUUCCUAUUAAAGAAUCAGAAUAAAUUGAUGCAAAAGACACUGAAGAUUCAAUAGAGUAAAAAAGAAUCAAUAAACCAAGGUCAGCAAACACAGAACAAAAAAGAAACAGACGAGAGGAGAUCGGUCAGCCUGCACACCAUCAUCGGCUUAUUCUCUAUCAGACCAGGUAAGUAUCUCUUCUCUCUUUCCCCGUCUUGAAACAUUAAAUCAAGUGUCACUGUGCAUUUCAAUUUUAAUUACUCUUGUCAUUUUGCAUACGUGCCUUAACAAUUCAUUCAAGUUUGCAGCUAAAAACCAACCAGAUCACUAGCAUGAGCCAGACCUGGUUAGAUUGAAUCAGAUUCAUCCUAAAUAAAUAAAAAUAAAAAAAAACAAAAAAACCUGAGGCUAGGAUGGGCCUCAGGCCCAGCCAACACAAUCUAUUUUAAACCAAAGAUGUAUUUGAUAAAAUAUUCUUAUGCCUUAUCCCUUUUAUUCCACCCCUUUUGAUUUUAAUAUCCAGCUAAACAAACUUUUUUAAAUUUAUUUAUAGAUCUCUUGUGUUUUUUUAGGUAUUUCACUGUAUAAUUGAUUUGUGAAUUUUUAAUGUGAAAUACAAAUCCAGUAUACAAUACAUUUUUUUUCUUAAAAAAAUAAACAACUAUUUAUGCAUUGAUUUAAAUUCAUUUUACUGAUUUAUUCACUGACGCCAGAGUCAGGAAUACCAUAUGUUUUUUUUACUACGUAAUAUUUAUCUAUGUCAGAGUUGAAAAUAUCUGUAAUUGAAUAUUCACUAACUUCAGAGUUAAGAAUAUUAUAAACAAAUCAUUGGUAACGUAAACCAACAAACCCUUAGCAAUUUAAGACAAAACUAGCAAUACAGCUUACCUCAGGUAGAAUGCUUAGGUGGUGAUAAUAUCUUUCUUUUUGCAUAAUCAGUCCCAUAACAUAGAAUCUAUGUUGACUAGUUAGGGUUACUAGUGACUAUAAUAUUAGGUAACGGUUCCUUAAAUAAAACAUUUCCCAUAAAAAAAAAAGAUGUUAAAAAUAUGUUUUUUUUAAAAAAAAAAUUAAUUUUUAAAAGGUUGUUGUGAUGCUAGGUAUGAUACCGAGCACAAAUAUUUUUGUGUCUUCAAAGAAUAAGAUCAAUUCUAUCAAGAAAAUUAAGUGAUCGAAGUCAUUUUUUAAAAUCAAAUGAGGUCAAAUAUCACUAUCACAAAAUUUCCGAGCUCUUGUGUAUAUGGAUAUCUUUAAGCAAAACAAAUAUCAAAAUCAAGUCUAUAAGGCCUCGAAAGAUUUCAUUAAAAGGAAGGUCACAAAGUAGUGAAAAGUGUGGAAGUUUUUUCAAGAAACCCAGCAAUUUCUGCCGGCAAUGUAACUAUUUCGACUGGACCACUCAAAGGAUUUAGCAAGUGAUUAAUCAGACCAUUAGAUAUAUAUACCGAAAUAACUAAGCUACAAAACCAGCACUCUGUUUUUGGUCACCCUCAAAUUUUACCAUGGGAAGGCUUGAUUGUGGCCUCUGUGAUCUGCUAGGCUGUGUAAGCUCUGCAAGUGCAAGGCUUGAUUUGGUUAAGGUCCAAUUGACCCCUCUGAUUACUAAGUGAAUCUUUAACAGUAAAAUAAUAAUAAUUUUUUAGAGUUAUGCCAUAGCUUUGUACCUUUACCUUAUACGUUCUUAUUUUGGACUCGGAAGUGUUUUUCUCUGUCCCUUUUCAACUAUUCUCAUAUUGAGCUAUGCUAAUAUACUUUUGGGCAUGGUUAUAAGAAUUCUCUCAAGACUCGGAUGGGAAGUUAGUCGAAUCAAUUUACAGAUAGAUGAAUUAAUUUAUUUUUUUAUUAAAAUAAUAUCAUUUCAUGCUUUUUUAAAUAAAAUAAUUUUAUUUUUAUUUAAAAAAUAUAAAUCAAAAUAAAACUCAAUCCAAAUUAAAUUUUAAAUUAAAGAGUAAUCACAAGGUUUUAGUACAAUGUUUUAACUAUAUUUUGGAUCUAUAUAAAAUAUGUUUUCUUAUUUUGAGAAGCAGAAAAUAGGUUCUCAUGCUUUUAUUCUUAAAAAGAAAGGGAAUUCUUUCAGGUUAAUUGGAAAAUUAAUUCAUUAAACCGAUUUUUGUUCAAAUUGAAACAAAUAUAAUAAAUUUAGAAAAAUACUACUAGUGAUGAAUUUUCGGGUCCACUGUCGGUUCCAGGCAGAAGCAGAGAGGCAACUUGCAAGAAGGAAGCUGAAAAGAAAAGAGAGAGAAAUAUGGGAAAAGAAAAAUCCUUUCCAUGUUAUUUGCUCAAUUCACCAUUCAUUUUGUGUCUGCUUGCAGAUUGCUAGAAGAUCAUCAUGGAUGCUUUAGUAGUAUCUCCCCUUUUACAAGUUGUGUUUGAUAAGUUGGCUCUUGUGAUCACCAGAAAGUCAACGACUCGAGGAGAGUGCGAGAAGGAGAUGCAAAAGCUGCAGGAUAGGCUUCCCAUAAUUCAAGCUGUGAUCGAAGAUGCAGAGGAGAGACAACAUGGAUAAGAAGAUCAAGAUUUGGCUGCAAAAACUUAAAGAUGUGGCCUCUGAUGCAGAAGAUUUACUGGACAUGAUCCAUGCUCGAGUUUUGUCCAAACAAGUGCUCGAAAGUGACCGCUUCACAUAUUCUCCGAGUUACGACAUGGGAAUACUCGGUAAAGGAAAGCUUCUGGCAGAGGAAUUUGGUGAGCUGAUGAAUAGAAAGGUACGGUUGGCUUCUCAUAUUGUUGAAUCAAUUCCAAAUCAUUUCAUAAACUUGCGCCAGCUGAGAGAUGUUAGGGAGAGAUUGGAUGAUAUAUCGAAGGAGAUGGGUGAGUUCCAACUUAAGGAAGUUCUCAUUUCGAGACUACCACAGACCGGUAAUAGAGAAGGGAGAGAAACUGGAGCUCACAUAGUUGAGUCUGAAGUUUGUGGUAGAAAAGAGGAUGUCGAAAAGGUUGUGAAAAUGUUACUGGGAUCUAAUACUGAUGUCAGGGUGAUUUCAAUAAUUGGGAUUGGAGGUAUUGGAAAAACAACCGUUGCUCAAUUGCCUACAAUGAUGAGAGAGUGAAGAAGCAUUUUUAUUUGAAGAUUUGGAUCUCGCUAUAUGAUGAUUUCAAUCCUAGGAAGAUUAUGAGUGAAAUGUUGGAUUAUGCUGUGAAGGGCAAGUAUUAUUCGAUGUCCCAGAUGGGUUUACUGCAGUCACAAUUGAGGACAGCAUUGUACGGAAAAAGAUAUCUCCUUGUGUUGGAUGAUGUUUGGAAUGAGGAUCCAGAUGAAUGGGAUAAAGUAAGGAAUCUGCUAGGGGAUGGUACAAAUGGAAACAAAGCUAUUGUCACCAACCGGAGCCAGAAAGUUGCAUCCAUAAUGGGCAGUAGCCCUGCUUACCAUUUGGAAGCCCUGUCGAGGAUGAUUGUUGGACCUUGUUCAAGCAGCGAGCCUUUCCUGAUGGAGAUGAAAAUGGUUUUCCAAACUUACUACCUGUUGGAAAACAGAUCAUUGACAAGUGCAAAGGAGUGCCUUUGGCAGCCAAAGUUCUUGGAAUCUUAAUGCGGUUCAAACGCAAAGAAAGUGAGUGGUUGAGGGUGCAAGGGAGCGAAUUAUGGAAUAAUGAUGGAGGGGAGAAUAAAAUACUACUGGUCCUAAAGUUGAGUUUCGAUCAUCUGCCAUCACAUUUAAAGAGAUGCUUUGCUUUUUGUGCGGUUUUUCCGAAGAAAUUUGAAAUAUGCAAGGAAAAGUUGAUCCAUCAAUGGAUUGCCGGGGGUUUAGCUCAACGUUCUGCUCAUGAUCGGGUGUCCAAACCUGAAGACAUCGGCUCCGACUAUCUCAAUGAUCUGCUAAGGAUGUCUUUUUUGGAAGUGGUGAGUGGAUGUGGUGACAGCAGCACGACAAGGAUUAAAAUGCAUGAUCUUGCUAUAUCAGUUGCUGGUAAUGAAUUCCUCGCUGCAGGGAAGACUGAACAACAAGGGACCUUGGAACAGAGCCACUCCUUGCCAAAAGUGUGUGAUUUCUUCACAACAACUAGACAUGCUGUGGUUGAUUGCAAUUCUUCGUCCGGCCUGAUUCAUAAAGCCUUGUACAGAGCAAAGGGAUUGCGUACCCACAAUUUGUUGUCUCUAGGAGAUGCAUCGGAGAAAGCCAUCAGGAAUUUAAUUUCAAGCUUCAAGUACCUCAGAAUUUUGAAUUUGAGUGGGUUUGGCAUAAAACAUUUGCACAAAUCUGUUGGUGACUUGACAUACCCGAGAUAUCUUGAUCUCUCCAACACUCCAAUUGAAAAAUUACCAGCAUCUAUUUGUAACCUUCAAUUGCAGACACUAGAUUUAUCAAGUUGCUAUAAUCUUCAAAAGUUACCCAAAAAGACGAGAAUAAUGACCAGCCUGAGACAUCUGAAGAUAAAAAACUGUACAAGACUUGCUCGCUUGCCAGGUUUUAUUGGGAGAUUGAGAAAUCUUCAGAGCAUGCCUAUAUUUAUAGCUGGCAAAACAUGGGAGGAAGGCAUAUUGCAGUUACUAGAGCUACAAAAUCUUCCAGGUGAACUGAAAAUAAAACACCUCGAGAAUGUAGAACGUCGCCAUGUUGCAAGAACAUGUUUAAUUUCAGAAGAUCUUCCUGGGAAUAGACGUGACUAUUGUUUGGAAAAUAUGCAACUUAACUCGUUGGGAUUGUCAUGGGGAGAUGCUGAUGAACAUAAGCUGAGUGUUAGCAUGAGGGGACCAAGAAGCCAAACUGGACAUCAUAGUGUUGAAACUGCAAGGAUUUUACUUGAUUCAACAUUGAAGCCAAACUCCAGGAUAAAGAAGUUGUUUGUGAAUGGCUAUCCAGGAACUGAGUUUCCAAAUUGGAUGAACACAGCCGCCCUCUGCAAUCUGAUACAACUUGAGUUAGCCAACUGCACAAAUAGUGAAAGCCUCCCCACGCUUGGGGAAUUGCCGCUGCUGAAAGUUCUCCGUAUCCAAGGAAUGGAUUCUGUAGUGAACAUCGGCAAUGAGUUCUUUGGUGGCAUGAGAGCUUUUUCAUCAUUGACCGAGUUCUCUCUCAAAGAUUUUCCCAAGUUGGAAACCUGGAGCACCAAUCCGGUGGAAGCAUUCACUUGCUUGAACAAAUUAACUAUCAUCAACUGCCCAGUUUUGAUCACCAUGCCAUGGAUCUCUUCAACAUGUAGAGAUCAGAAACUGCCACCCAGUGAUGCUACGGUCAGUAGCACAGCUACGAUCAAUCUCCACUCUCAUUAUUGGCAAUUCUCCGGAGUUACUCUAUAUACCAAAAGCACUCAUAGAAAACAACUUGCUUCUCUCGUCUUUGACAAUUUCCUCCUGUCCCAAACUUCGUUCAUUGCCUGCAAAUGUUGGGCAACUCCAGAACUUGAAGUUUCUAAAAAUAGGCUGGUUUCAGGAGCUACACUCUUUGCCACAUGGUUUGACAAAUCUGACUUCUCUGGAGUCCUUGGAGAUUAUUGAGUGUCCUAAUUUAGUCUCCCUGCCAGAGCAAAGCCUAGAAGGAUUGAGUUCGCUGCGAUCACUCUCCAUUGAGAAUUGUCACAGCUUAACUUCUCUGCCGAGUCGGAUGCAACAUGCCACAGCCCUUGAACGCCUAACUAUUAUGUAUUGUUCAAAUCUGGUGUCUUUGCCAAUUGGCUUGCAACAUCUCUCUGCACUUAAAAGUCUAAGCAUUUUAAGCUGCACAGGGCUGGCAUCUCUGCCUGAGGGACUACAAUUUAUUACAACAUUGCAAAACCUGGAAUUUCACGACUGUCCAGAAGUCAUGGAAUUACCAGCAUGGGUGGAGAACCUGGUUUCACUUCGAUCUUUGACAAUCUCAGAUUGCCAAAACAUCUGUCCUGAACUCGAAAAACGAUGUCAGAGAGGGAACGGAGUGGAUUGGCAAAAAAUAUCUCACACACCGUAUAUUUAUGUUGGAUCAUCAACAUUGCAGCAGAGACGUGACACCUGCUAGCAGCUCUUCAACUUCAUAGGCACACCUCUUCCAGGUCUUAAUUCGUGUAAAUUUUCUAUUCCAAAACACACUUAAUCAUUGAAUAAUCAAUAAAUUUUAAGUUCUCUUGCAACAUUUCAGGUCCGAAACCAUUGAAAGGAUGCUCUUUAUCCAAAGCACCAAGAAUCCGUCCCACAAGGGGGUACUCUGCUCUGUCAUUUACUUGUAUUUGUAAAAUACAAAAUAAGGUACAUUUUUCUAUUGAAUGUUGCUUGGAUUUGUUGCAAGUCAAAGGAUUCCAGUUAGUGCAUUUGUUCUUCAGAGAAUUCAGUACCUUGUUUUCUGCUUGUGUAACAUAUAUUUCAUGAAUAACUAGAGCACUCUGUCAUUACUUCCUCUUGUAACUUCACUUUCAAUAAUUGUUUACAAGAAAAAUAAUAUUUGCCCUUGUUGGAAGGAAAAAAGAACAAACAAAAGAAAUGUCCUCUGUGUGUUCAAGUGUUAAUUAUUUCAUCGAAUUAUUGAGCUCCAACAGACAACACUAUGAUUUGAUAAAUUUAGAAUAUUAAUAAUUCUAAAACGUAAGUUAAACAUUCCUAUUUAUACCAUUUUUACAUCGAAAUCCUAAUCAGAAACGAAUCUUUAUUGAAAAGCUAUAUAGCUAAUAUAUAAUCUAAUUAGCAUUAGUAUCUCUAAAUAGGAUAAAAAGUAAAAUAAUUACAGAAGUAAUACAAUAAAUAUGUAAAAAACUCACUCGAUAUUCGUCUGCCCUCAUUCAAAUAUAAAAAACUGUUGUAUUUGUGUAAAUAUCUCCUCCAAUUAUGUGACUGAGAAUGUAUGAUUUUGACUCCAAUUUGUUUGUUGGGUAGAAACUCUAUACAAUUACAGAAAUCCAAUCUCCAAGCUUCAUUAGUCAGGACCCUGUCAGUCUCUUCAGCACCAAGCCCAACCUACCAAGAAACAGCUUACAAACCCAGAUCCAUUGAGAGUAGACAAUAAAUGCGCCAACAGUGCGAGCAUUGCAUUGCAAUAAUUUAGUCACUGGCAACGCAUGUUUGAUCCGCCGCCAUCAAACAUUCCUGGAAAAAGACGGGUUGAAGACUAAUAUUUCUUGGUCUCCUUUAUAUCAUAAUUAAAUCUUAAUUUGCUGACUAGAUAGACAUUAAUUAUAGCAAUUAUCCCACUUCCUUUUCGUCUUCUUUUACUAAGGAAAACCAUUUGUUAUAAUAAACUAAAUAAGGUGUUCUUUGGUAAAUGUUUUUUUUUAAUAUUUUUUUAUUUUAAAAUGUAUUUUUUUAAAAAAAAUUAAUAACAGUACAUCAAAAUAAUCUAAAAAUAUAUAUAAAAAAAUUAAUUUAAAUAAAAAAAAUUCAAAAAUCUUAAAAGGCACAACUAGGCUUCAAAAACAAAUUGUAACUAAGUAAAGUAGCGUUGGGAUAUAAAUAUUCUAGAAAUGGGAACUUCUUAUGAUUAACUUGUUUAUGAUUAAUCAAAAGAGUUUAUUAAUUAGAUAAAUAAAGCUACAACAAUUAACCGAGGUAGAUAUUGAUGGAUUUUAACCUCUAUGAGGUGAAGGUGGAGUCGUGUAAAUUCAUGACUUAUUAGUUAUGAAGGUCGGUAGGAUAAUAUAUAUUCUCUUAUUCAAUGAAACUCCAUAUUCAAAUUUAUAAAUAUAAAAUUUUAUUUUAUUAACAAUUCUUUCUAUAUACUUAAAAGGGAAACUUUUAUUGAGCAUUUUGUAAUUUAAUCAUUUUGAUCACUUUGUCUUUAUUUUAUUUUUUAAAAUUACAAUUUACAUCUUGGAUGAAAGUCAUUUUUUAAUUUUGAAAAAAAAUACAUUUAUUUUCAUAUAUAAUACAACAUAAAAGGAACAAAAUAACAUAUCACUUAAAAAAAAAAUUAUCUGCGCAAUUUACGAGUGGAAAAACAAUUAAUCACGCUUUUUUAAACCCUAAACAAACCCAAAAUUGAGAUAACUCUAACUUUCAAAUUUUUGUUAGGAAAAAAGGAUUUGGUUCGCUGAGGAGGCUGCUAAUGAGAAGGAAGAUAGGGGAAGUAAGAAGUCUCGAUCCUAGUGAAGGUACGACAAAAAGUUGAAGCCCAUUUGAAAGAAUUGCCAUGAAAGCAUAUGUGAAGGGGCGGUGGUGGAGUAAUGAGGUGUUAGUGGUUGUUACAGCGGUGGUGAAGCAAUGGUAAUGGAAGGUGGCAUUAAUAGAGAUAAUGGUGGUUCGGUGGUGGUGGUGGAGAAGCAGUACCAGUGAUGAAGGUGAUGGUGGAUAUUAGCAGUAGCUGCAAUGACAAUGGAGAUGGUGGAGUGCUGGUGAUAAUGAUUUAAAUCAUUAGGAGAUAUUUUGAAUGAACUACUAUCCCUAAAAUGUUUUUUAUAAGACUUUAUGAAUCAAAAAUGUUUUUUUAACUUAUAAUUUAAAGAUUCAUUAAAAUAUUCAUAUUAACUUAUAAUUUUAUAAAAUAUUUUAUUGAAAACAAGUAGAAUAAAUUUAGGAAAACAUAUUCCAGUAAAAUAUUUUAUACAAAACAUGCCGAUGACUUAUUAUUUUGAGAGAACUUAAGGUUAAAUAUACUUUUGCUUAUUUGUUUUAUGGAUCCACUGAGAGUAGAGAAAAAACUCAAAGCACAUGUAGCCUGAAUUCUAGAAGACCGCUCACUCCUGGAUGAAUGCUAUUGCUUCUUCUUUCUAUUUUCUUUUUUAUUCAAUAUUCUAUUCUCUCUGGUUAUUUAAUUAUCAGUAAAUUAUUCUAUUAAAAAUUUUCACUCUAAUUAACCUGUUAUAUAAAAAGUUACUCUUAUAACUCUAUCAAAAAAAAGAAUCCCAUAACUAAUGCCGAACACAAUUUUACUUCUGAGAAAUGCGCACAAAUUUCAACUUGACAUAAUUCACUAUUCUACUAUAAUACGACUUCCACACUUGCUCUCAAACAUAUUCCUACCACAAUCUCAUGUACUCGUCUACAGAAAACCACUAUUGAUCAACCUGCGCCGGAACAUAUUCCUGCCUCAAUCUCAUGCACUCGUCUACAGAAAGCCACUAUUGAUCAAUCGAAUACCAGAAGCCGAAAUGCUUUCUUUCAGCUAUGAUGCGAUAAUUGUUGGCACCAUUCUCUUGAUCAUGCAUAGUCAAGGUAACUCUGUCUCCCUGCCUAAGCCUUUUCUGAAGAACAUAGAUGCCCCAUUGACCAGAUAUCCAAGGUUUGGGAUACUUACCUUCGUUGCGAACCGAUAUCUUCAGUCUCCAAGGUUGGUCUAGCAUGUCAACUGCAUCGAAUUCAACUGAAUUUUGACCAGCGGGCAAGGAGAAAGCCCACAAGCUCUCGGUCGGAAAUUCAAGUCUUUUAUUACUUGUGUCACUUCCCGAUAACAGUUUGGCCAUCACCUCCAUUUCUAGGGUUCGGCUGAGAAAAAUGUGCAGAUGGUUAAUUUGAAGAAUUUCAAGGAGGGAUAGUGAUAUGGAAGUUGGAUAUAUAUUGAUAGAUUUAAGUCGUAUUUAUAAAGUUGAUCUUUAUGAACCUCAAUCUCCCCGAUUAUUAAAUUCUAGAACUUGGAUUGGGACAUGCACAGAAGUUUCUGGUGAUCUUUCAAAUGGUCAUUGACCUGAGUUUUUUUUACUUUAAAAAUGAAAGUGGAGUCAAGUGGCAUGCAAGGUUAAAAAAUACGGUUCAAUUAUAUGAUUAACUGUUAAUAAGAAAAUAAAUUCUUAAUUACAAUUGUUUAUAGUGUAGGUUUCAAUUGUUUAUUACAUAAGUUACUUUUAAGAUUUGAAGGAUGAACAAAGAUAAGGCCUUCUUCUAGAAUAAUAAAAAACACCUUUGAAGUUUAUGAUAAGAAGAAGAAUUGGAAAACACGCAAAUAAAAGUUCGAUUAUAGAUAAAUUACAGAGCUAAAUAAAAUUAAUUACAAAUAUCAAUCCUACCCACAUAUUUGCUUAGCUAUAAAAAUACCUAAAUAAAAGUAAUAAUAAUUAAGGGUCCACUAGUUUCAGAUAAAAUAAUUUUUAAUGUUUAUCUUAAAAAGUAUUUUUACAUAAAAUAUUUUAUAUGUAAAAUGUUCAUGAUGAGAUGGUAAUAAUAAUUGUGCCAUAAUAGUUGUUAUAAAAAAUAAAAAAUAAAAAAGAUGAUAGUGAAUUUUUUUUGGAGGUGGUUAACAAUAAGAUGGUAAUAAAAAAAUAAUUAUAAUAUUAGAAUAAUGGUGACAUGGUGAAAAGAUAUAUAGUAACAGUGAUUGAUUGAUAAUAAUAUUAUAAUGAUGAUAGUUACAUGAAUAAUAUUUAUCAUGCAUGCAACGAAAGGAAUAUCGUUUUCAAUUGUUUAUUACAUUCGUUUGCAAUUAAGAUUUGAAGUAUGAAAGAAAAGAAAAUUUAAGGCUUUCGUGUAACACCUUGAAAAAAAAACAAAUUUGAAUAUAAAUGAUGUCAAAAUCAACAUCACCGUUGGCUUUCAGUGUUGCUUGUUAUAAUAGUGAUUUGGUGACAUUAACUGACUGGUUGAGAUUGUAGUUUUGAUUGUUUUUUAAAGUGUUUUUUUGUGUUAAAAUGUAUUAAAAUAAUAUUUUUUUUAUUUUUUAAAAAUUAUUUUUGAGAUCAGCGCAUCAAAACGAUUCAAAAUAUACAAAAAGAAUUAAUUUUUAGCAAAAAGAAUUAAAUUUUGGUGGAACGCGGGCCCUCUAAAGCUAAACAAUUUUGGUUUAUGUGUUAAAAGCAUUUUAAAAAAAGUUUAAUUUUUUAUAUUUUUAUAUUAUUUUGAUUUAUUAAUAUCAAAAAUAAAUUUUAAAAAAUAAAAAAAAUUAUUUUAAUAUAUUUUCAAAUAAAAAAUACUCAUUAAAACAACCGCUACUAUAAUAUUAAAUGAGAUUUAAUGGAAUUAUAGGUUAUUUUAUUUUAUUUCAUGGAAUUGGAUUCAACAAUAUUUAGGACUAUAUAAUGUAUAUUUAUAUUAAACUCUAGCUUUAGAAUAGGUAUUAGUAAUUUUUAAUAUAUAUCUUUAGCAUGCAGCUCGACUCUGCUCGGUUCACUUCACUCCUCUCGCUCUGCUUCCCCAUGCUCCAGCAUCUGUAUAAAUGAGGCACAAACUACAACAAUUACAUAUCAAUCCUUAUAGGGCUGCUUUAUAUAUAAUUCUCUCUGUUACUAAAAAAAUAAAAAAAUAAAAACAGAAAGGUUGAAACAUUGAAUAUCAAAACCAGAUAUACUCUCAUUGCUCUGUUUUGCUAGAUUAGCAGCAACAAAAUUGCCUUGUCUAAGUACAUGACUAAAAGGUGCCCUUUUCACUUUUUUUUUUUUAUUAUUAUUAAUAUAGAUAUCCGGACUAGUUUGUGCGUAUCUCAAUUAAUCCCACAAGUCUUAAAAUUAUUAAUCAUAUAAGCUUCCGGUGAUCCUAAAAUUUAUGAAAUGUGAUGUACAAAUAAUAUUAAGUUUCUUAGCAUUUAACAAUUUUUAAAUAAAAUAUAUUUAUUAGUUUACUAGUUCGAGAGAGAGAGAAAAUACAUAAAAGACAAUAAACAGUUCCUUUAAAAUUUCUUACCCCUCCUUUCUAAAAAAUAUUAAUAAUUAUCCUUGUAAAAUUUAACUUCAUUAGUCUAAGUGUUUUUGUUACCAUUUUUUUUGUUUUGAAUUUAACUCUUAAAAAGAUGAUAAUUAUCUUGUAAUUAAAUAGAUAUAGGUUUCAAUUGUUUAUUAAAUACGUUGCUAUUAAGAUUUGAAGGAUGAAACAAAUAUAAGGCUUUCUAGUGUAAACCCUGACCUCUGCACGGUCAUCUGCCCUAUCACCACCACCAAUCUACCUCGCCACCACCGAUAACCAUCCUUCUUUCGGGCCACUGCCUUCUACACCACCCUCCAACUCCACUUCCGACCAUCAUCAAACCCUCCCUUCAAACCAACCACUACUGGAGCCCAGCCGCCACAACCCACUGUCCAGCACCCACACACAAAUCACCAUCGCCAACCAGCUGUAGAUCCAAACAAAAUACUAUAUGCAUGCAUCACUAUCUUUCUUGAACUCUCACACCACUAACCUGGCUUUGUACUUUAAUCCUCCUACUCACUUGCUCAACUCAUUUGAUUAUAACUAGAAAUGGAGGUGAUGAACAAAAUUCUCUCGGCCUUCCCCGUGCCUGAUGGUCCGAACUCGGUCGAAUUUGUGGCAUAUAUAUGACAAACUAGAACAGCAAUGGAGACUUAAGGUCUCCUUCUGCAGUGAAGGUAACUAGGGAAGUAUCUGAAACCUUGACUAAAGGGCGAAUUAAUGAGAUGACUAUGUUCGUCAGAAGGGGCUGGAGAAAGGAGUUAAUGCUAUCUUGACCAUGCAUGAGCAAGAGAAUGGCGAAAGAAUUUACUGUAUCAGAGCUGAAAGAAAGUUUUCGGUUUCUGGUAUCCAAUUGAUGAUAAGCAAUAAUGAGGUAUGUUUAUUUUUAUGUUUUAAAAAAAUUUAAAUUUUUUUUGUUUUUUUAUUUCAAAUUAAUAUAUUUUUUUUAUUUUUAAAUUAUUUUAAUGUUAUGAUAUAAAAAUAAUUUUAAAAAAUAAAAAUAUAUAUUAUUUUAAUAAACAAUGAUCUUAACUACAUUCUCAGAUACUCUCCAAACAAAUUGAACAUAUCCCCAUGUCUAGUGUGAUAGGCAAGCAGAAUCUAUCUUUUGGAGCUGUCUGAAUUAAAAUGCAAUACGUGUCUGUCUAGAAGAAAGGAACUCCUAGCUAGUCGUAAGAAUAACUGUCCCUAUGAAUUUGUUGCCUGCAGUAUACCUGGGUGUUCUGUCCUUUGGCUUUUUGUUGAAGAAAAUCUAACUAUCUUUUGGCUUUUUGUUGAAUAACUGUCCCUAUGAAUUCGUGAAAGUGAUUGGGUACAAAAUCUAACUAUCUUUUGGCUUUUUGUUGAAGAAAAAAAAACAGAGAGGAGGGGCAACCAGAGAGAGAGCAAUAAACAUACACACUUGGUCCACCAAUUCGAAUAUGAACACAAGAAAAAGAAAAGAAAAGGUGACAUGUCAAUUAAAUGCCAAAGCAGAUGAAAUGUUCAGAACAUUAAUAAACAAAUAUGUUCUUUCUGUUUUUUCUCGCAGGCAAAGAACAUCAAUUUGACGUAAAUUGUGAGUUUUGAUGCAUGUUUUCCUCAUUAUCACGACCAUUCGUCGUGAAAGAUCCAAUAAAGAAUAGAGAUAGAAGAAGAAAGCAGAUUGUGGGCUACAUUUGUUUUCUUUCUAUCAUAGUGCGCAUCUUUUGAGGUCCUACUUGUUUUUGACGGAUGUGCAAUCUAUUCAUUGCUGAUAAAGUUAGUUAUAAUUGUUUUUUAAAAUAUUUUUUAUUAUAUUAAAAAUAAUAUUAAUAUAUCAAAAUAAUCUAAAAAUAUUAAAAAAUAUUAAUUUGAAAAAAAAAGAAAAAAAAAGCUUGAUGUAUAUGUUUGCAUAUUCAGUUUGGUGCAUUAAAAAGCUGAGAUGGUAUUGGAAUACCAAUUUUCUUUUUUUUCCGGAUGUGUUAAUGGCAUGGUUGAUAUAUAUGCUUGACUUUUAAGUUUAGAAGGUUAUCUCUAGUAUAAUAAUAAUUAUUUUUUAAUAUAUUUUAUUUUGCUUGAAAAUAUAUCAAAAUAAUAUUAUUUUUUUAUUUUUAAAAAUUUAUUUUUAAUAUCAACAUAUCAAAACUAUAAAAAAAACAAUAAAAAAUUAAAUUAAAACAAAAAUUAAAUUAAAAUUUAAUGUCAAACAUAGUGUGGACACUUUCACUUCUUUUUCUUUAUUUCUUGCUGCCAGAACCCCUCAUUGUCUAAUCAGACCUUAAAUAAAACAACCUUCGUGUUCGUCGUCGUAUAUUCGGCAACAAGGGCCAGUAUUGCAGUUAAUUUAUUCAACAAAGAAUCAUGUUGCAAUUACUGAGAAAGGUUAAGCCAUGUUAAAGAAUCAUUUCAACCCAAUAGCUUAAACUGUUAGGUAAGGUUUCAGGAUAUGAUUUAUAUUAUUCUCUAACACACCCCCUCAAGUGAAAGCCCUUUGGGCUUGAAACUUGCACAAGUUCACAUUACCUUGUGCUUAAUUUUUAUCAAAUAAAUAGGUAUGGUGAGAUUCGAACUCGUGACCGCUUGGUCAUCAAGGCUCUGAUACCAUGUCAAAGAACCAUCUCAAUCCAAUAGCUUAAGCUGUUAGGUGAUGUCCCAGGAUAUGAUUUAUAUUAUUCUCUAACAAGCCACAUGCAUAAACAUUAAAAAAAAAAAAAAAAAAAAAAAAAAAAAAAAAACACCGAUGAAAAAGAGAUGGAAUCUGUGUUCUAUCAGCUUUUGUCACUUUUUUCUAAGAAAAAAGAAAAGGAAGUUAGAUAUAGACCUUCCUUUGCCCUUUUUGUCUCCUGUCACAUGCAUGCCCAUGUUUUUUUCUCCGCGUAUAUUUAAUUAGAGACUUUACUUCAUUGUUUUUAUUUGUUUACUUUGGGUGGAAGUUUUUACUAAUUUUAUAAAUGAUUUAGAUUUUCUUGAGUUUGUUUUUUUCAUUAUUUAUUGAAUUUUUGUGGCUAGUUUUUAAAGUUGAUAUUUUUCAAUUUCAUCUUUAAAUAUUUAAAAUAUUUUUUAAUAAUUUAUAAAACUAGAAUUAUUUUUCAAUUUCACCUCCUUUAAUUUUUUUUAUCUUUCAAGUUUUGGUCCAUAUUUUUUAUUGUUAUUUGUUUUUUUAUAAUAAUUUUAAAAUUGAUUUUCUUUUCUUACAAUUUCAUCUUCCUUAACCUUUUUCAUUUUACUAUCAAUUGUUUAUCACAUACAUAUGCUAUUAAGAUUUGAAGGAUGAAACAAAAGAAAAAUAAAGUUUUCUAGUGUUAAACCCUUAAAAGAGAAGCAACAUAUUGAAGUUGAUGAUAAGAAAACGUGAUGGAAAAUGUCAUAACCCAUUUAGGCCUUUUCUGGGAGACAACCCCAAAAGGAUAUCAACCCGGAAAGUACUAGUGAUCUCUCAUAUUCAUACAAGGCUAAGAUUGUUGAAAGAAAGGUUAUUGAUCAUGAUUGGCCAUGUUUGUUUGAUUAAAAUUAUGCUGAACUCACUAUCCUUAUAUUACAUGUUCAUCUUUCUUAUGCCAAAGGGUGUUGCUCAAGUGAUAAGUUCCAUUUAGACAAGAUUUUUAUGGGCUAGAGUCUUUGAUGCAUGAGAAAUUUGUAACAUUCCAUGGAAUAUAGUUUUGAGAGAUGAGAAAAGGAGGCUUAGGUGUGAGAAUUUUUGUAAGUAAAAGAUAUAGCCAGGUUGUUUAAAUGGUUGCAGAGGGUAAGAGAUCAGAAUAAAAGGAACUAUGCAAAGGAAUAGUUCCACCGAAUAUUGCAAUGUUCUUGUUAGAGGAAAGUUCUAGCAUUAGGAAAUCCUCAUGUUUUCUUAUGAAAUUUUGUAGGAAAUUUGGCUUUUUAGAAAUAAAUUGAAUUUUGAUAAUGAGAUGCUAGAUUGAAAUAUAGUUUUUGAGUUGAUUCUUCAUUGCUUAGUAUCAUUGUUAAAGACAAUGAAUGGUAAUUUUAAUUAUAUAGGAGUGGACUUAGUCAGAAGAUGAGAUUGAAUACUGAAAUGGACAAAUAAGUAAUGAUUUCAUUAUAUGGCUAUAAUCCUAUUUUAAUUUUAAUGUUCUCAUGUAAACCUUUUAUGUUUUUCUUGUUUUUGUUGGUCUGUUUUGUUUCAAUUAUGCUUGUUAUUCAUAAUGUUGUUUGUUGGAAUGAAAAAAGCGUUUUUUAGAAGCCUUAAAUGACUAUGGGAUUUUGGGUUUUCUGGACAUAUUAUGGAUUCAUAUUCUUCAUGUUCAUCCAAAGAAUAAUUUCAUAAAUACUAGUUUUAGGGUUUAUUUUGAUUCAAUUCUAGUUUCUACAAGUUAGUAUAUCAUUAUUAAUAAAUAAUCUAGGAGUGCUAAUACCUUUCAUAACAACUAGUCUAAAAAUAAAGAUAAUUAAUAAACAAAUCUCAUUCCUUUUUUCCUGGGUUUGAAGGUCAUCUAAUUAAUUUAUUCUUUAACUAAAGUUUUUUUUUUUUUUCUGUGAAAGACUUGAAGAUACAUUUCAACGCGGUGCAUUUUUAUAAUAUUGGUUUCAAAAUCUAAAUUAAAAAAAGUUAAUCAUCAUAUUCAUCCUCUUAAUCAAUGUUUAUACCCGACUUUGAAUUCCAUAUUGAAUUCCAUAUCUAAGACUACAAACAAAUGCAUGAACAAAAUCACUGAAAAAUCUUUUACGUACCCAAAAAUAAAGAAAAGAAAUUGUCAUGUCCAUGGCUGUCAUGAGAUUGGGUGUAUUUAGACUAGAAAUGGUGAAAAAGGAGAAAAACGUGUGCCGACAGUGAUCUACGGUUGAUUGGGCAAGACUUUAGGAUGACGAUGAACAUAGGACAGCCAGGCUGUAUAACAUUCAUUAUCUUUCAUACUUUUUUUUUUUAUUAUUAGAUUUUAUUUUCAAAGGUCUUUUUAAUAUAUUAAAAUAAUAUUUUUUAUUUUUAAAAAAUUAAUUUUUUAUAUCAACAUUUCAAAAAAAAUUAAAAAUAUAAAAAUUAAUUUUAAAUAAAACAAUUCAAGAUUUUAUUUGGCCCUAUUUGUUUUUGCGUUUCAAAAGCGCUUUUGAAAAAAUUUAAAACUUUUUAUUUUUUUCCUUACUUCAAAUUAAUAUGUUUUUGAUGUUUUUAAAUUAUUUUGAUGUGGUAAUAUCAAAAAUAAUUUUUAAAAAAUAAAAAAUAUUAUUUUGAUAUAUUUCGGAAUGAAAAACACUUUAAAAAACAAUCGCAACCACACUUCCAAAUAGACCCUUCUUAGUAUUUGUUGAGAGUAAGUUAUUGUUGUGUUUUGGUACAUUUUAAAAAUAUAUUUAUUUUAAAAAAAUUAAAUUAAUAUUUUUAAUUAUUUUAAUGUGUUAAUAUUUAAAAUUAAAAAAAUAAUUAAAAAAUAUUUUUAAAAACAUUUUUUUAUCAUAAUAUUAAACACAAACUAGGUCUAACCUCAAGCAUGCAUAAAAAAACAUUCUAGAAAGAAAUUCUGAUGGCCAAUAUUAUCCAUAAAAGCUGAACAUACUCGAAUAUUUCAAAACCUUUUCAAUUGUGUUGAUGUCUAAAAUUAAAAAACAAAAGUUAUUUUAAUAUUUUUAAAAACAUUCUUAAUCGUACCAUGAAAUACACACUGCGUCUAGCGUCAAACAUGCAUAAAAAACACUCUAGAAAGAAAUUAUGUUGGCCAAUAUCCAUUAAAGCUGCACAUGCUUGGAUAUUUCAAAACCUUUAUAGACAAAUAUAUAAAGCUGCACACUGCAUGAAAUAUACACUGCUCUGUUUCAUUUUUUGUUCCUCUUGGCCAGUUCCUUUUGUUACUUUUUAAAUAUUUUUAAUUCAACAAUAUAUAUAUAUAUAUAUAUAUAUAUAUAUAUAACCAACAAUUUUGCAAUCUAGCCUUUUCUACAUAAUAGUAAAAGCUAUUAUAAUUACAAACACAAACUUGAUAAAUUAAUAAAUAUAAUUUUUUUCUUUUGUAAAGCUUAUUAUUUUCAAAUUGAUUUUUUUUCAAACGAUCUUAAGACUCUUUUAUCCUCUUCAUAUAUUUAAAAGAAUAAAAAACCUUAUCUUUUGUAACUUUCCAGGAGGUUAAUUUGUAAAUAUGCUAUUUUAUUCAUAAUAUUGUACUCCUUAAUCUAUCAGUUCAUAGCGUGAAACCCUCACAAUGGACAAGUUCAAAAUCACAAAAUGAUUGCUGUUAGCCGCCACUUCUUGGGCUGGGCUGCAUGCCCAAGUAACAACCAUCAGGCUUUCUAUUAUAGAAGGUUUGGUUAUAUUAAAUUAUGUUUCAUAUUUCAUCCGUAUUAUCAGUAUUUAUUUGCGCUUCCCUCCUAUUAUAAUUAUUUUAGAUUAAUCAAAUAAAAUUUUGUUUUAUCAAAUUAAAUAUCAAACGCGGAUCAAAAUCUUUAUCACACCAUCACGAAUCCUCAUAUCAUUAAAAAAACACUAUUCAAUUCAAUCUCAAAUAAAUUUAAUGUGAAAGCAUUAAUUGUUUUUGUUUUUUUCUAAAUUAAGUGACGAAAUAAAAAGGUUGAUCUUUCUCCUGUCCAUGUCCUUGAUUCUUUCAAGAAAAAAAGGUUAAAUAUUUAUUUGUUGUUUAAAUUUGAUCCUUGUAAUUUUAAUUAUUUUUAAUUAAUAAAAUUUCAUUUAAUUUUACUAAACAAAGCAUCAAAAUAUUUUCAAACUCAAUCCCAAAUAAAUAGAAAUCCAAAGGAACAAAUCGAAAAAAAAAAGAUCAAAUGAAAAAAAGCCAAAGGAACAAAGAAGAAAAAAAGAAAAAGAAGAAAACAUUUCGGAACAUUAUUAUAAUCCACACCCUUUAUUUUUUUUUUCUUGUAAGAUUUACAAACAUAUAUAGAUUGUUAAAUGCAUAUAUUGUAGUAAUUAACUAGUUUAUAGGUAAGUGCUAUACUAUGGAUUAGAUUAAAAUAUUUUUGUAUGUAAAAAAAAAUAUUUUGGUUGUAGAGAACUAUUUAGCAUUGUUAUUAAACUCGGCCCAACAUGUCAACCUUGAAACCUCCUGAUUCGACUCCUUAUCUCAUUCGAGUUUAAAAUUAAAUUGUGUUGGAGUUUUUCUGACAUGAUCCAGUUGACUUGGCCGGUCUAAAGUCAACCUGAUCAAUUGAUAAAAAUGCAUGAAGAUGAAAUUGAGAAAAAAAAUUGAUGAAUUUGACAGAAAAAAUCUCUCAACCCAACUUCAUGCGAAACCUAGGUUUAAAAUGAAACCAUGUGAUAGUUGCCUUGAUGUGGUUCCAUCAACUUUGUUGGUCCAAAGACAACCUGAUCGAUCAGUAAAAAAAUUUGAAGAUGAAAUUGAGAAUAAAUAAUGAGAUUGAUAAGAAAAAAUAUCUCUCGAUCCAACUCCCUUUCUAGCCCAAGUUUAAGAUUAAACCUUGUGAAAAUUAUCGUAUUGUUAUCUAAUCAACUUAGCCGAUUUAGAAUGACUCUUGCUCCUACUAAAAAAAUAUGAAAUGUAAAAAAAUUGAAAAACAAAAGUUAAAUUGAAAAAAAAAAAAGCCCCUUUAAGUUACCCAAGUUUUUUUAGUGCACGAGGGUAAUUUAUCAUUAGAAUUCAUAUUAUCAAUCAUUGGCAACAUGUCCCCCAGAAUGCUGCUCAAAACUGAAUUUUCUUUCUUUAUUGUUGAGAUCCAAUUAUUUUAGUUAUUGAAAUUAGUGUUAAUUUUGAUUUUCUUUUUUUAUUAUUGAGAUCCAGUAACUCUUUCUCUUCUCUGUUAAACCAAGAACUUAAAAAUAAAAUAAAUGAAGUUUUGGAAUGAAAUUGAAUUUGUUCUUAAAUUUUGAAAAUUGGAGGAACAUAAUAUUUAUAAUUUGAAAAGGAUAAGGACUACAUUAAAUAUUUUACCCAAAGUUUGAAAUAGCCACUCAUUUCCUCAACGGUUUUCACCUUGGACACUGUUUUUUAAUCUCACUCUUUUCUAAAAAAGUUAAUUUAAAUUGGCUUAUAAUUCGAUCCUAUAGAGGUGAAGAAAAAUCAAUUUAUAGUAUUUUGUAUGGAAAUUUAUAGUGCAAAUUUACAUAGUGAAUUCCCCACUUAUUUUAGAAUUUUUUAAUUAUAAAGAAUGUGAUGUCUGUAGAAUUUUAAAUUAUUUAUCAUUUAAUAAUUUUUAAAUAAAAUAUGUUUAUUAGUUUGAGAAUGAGAGAAAAAAACAUAAAAGACAAACAAUUCCUUAAAAAUCUCCUACGCAUCCUUCCUUUCAAAGGUUAAAAUCCCCUCCCUCAACCCUUAUUUACACCUUUUAAAGGUUAAAUUUUAACCACCUUAAAGAUUGCCCUCCCCCAUUUUUUUCUCUAAACAAUUAUAAUAAUUAUCCCCAUCAAACACAUUCUAAGUGUUUUUGUUACCAAUUCGUUAUUUUUUAGAAUUUAAGUCGUAAAAGGAUGAUAAUUAUCGUGUAACUAAAUAGAUAAAACUAUACGUGAUGACUAAAUAAAAUUAUUUACGAAUAUCAAUCCUACCCACUUGUUUGCAGUACCUAAAUAAAAAUAAAAAUAACUAAAAUUAAGAGGUUCUGCCGAUAUCAAAAAAGUGUUGUCCAUGGUAGCUUGUGUCGCACGUGUGCGGCGUCGUAGCAAAAAUAUAUGUCUCACUUUAAAUCUAAAAUGUAAAUCUAUUUGGCAAAUAUGAGGAGACAAGAAAUUCUUGUUGUUUAUUGGUAGAAAAUGAAUGGGAGUCGCCACCUAAUAUUUUGGUCACUAGGAACCCUAACUGGUCUUAGAGAUCGGGUACGGGGACUGGUUGCGUAAAGGGAAGGUAUUAGCAUCCCCAAUACGCCUUACCUAAGGUAAGCUGCAUUGUUUGAUUGUCUGAUAAAAAACUAAGGUGUUAUCCUAUUUCAAUUGUUGGUCUAUUUACGGUUCAAGAAAAGUCCUCCUCAAUGAGGAGGUCCUUAUCUUAUCGGGUAAAAUCGUAACCGUUCUAACAUCUAUAUAAAAACUAUAUUUUUAAUGUCAGGAAUACGUUUUACGUAUAAAUUCAUAAUUCCCAAUACUAAAGGAAGACAAAAAGAUUUUUUUUAGAAUUUUUGAAAUAUUGGUCUAGUUCUCGUGGUUCUAACAAACUUAUUGUUAAAGCCAAAGUGCAUGCUAAUACAUAUAUUUUUUAAAAUUUCUUUUGUUGUAUGAAAAUAUGAUGUUAUGAUUUUUAAAAAAAAAUUUGGAGAGACUAGGCCGUAUGCAUUAAAAUAAAAACAUCCUUUUAUAUAUAUAUAUAUAUAUAUAUAUAUAUAUAUAUAUAUAUAUAUUUUGAUGUCUUGACGAAAAUUGAGUAUUUUAAUACUGGAUUAAUAGUAAGCCAUUUUGAUAAAAAUAUGCAGGAAAAUCAACGAUAUUUUUUAAGGAUUUUUCAGAAUUUUUGAAAGCAAAACAUUUUUUUUUUAUGUUUUAACAAAAACCGGGUAUUUUAAUACUGGAUUUGUAUCUUUACGGUAUAAAAAUACAAACCAAUAUUAAGCCAUUUUGAUAAAAAUAUAUAGGAAAAUCAAUAAUAUUUUUCAAGGAUUUUUCAGAAUUUUUUUAAUUAAUUUGUUUUAGAUAUAUAUCUAUAUAUAAAUAAUAUAUAAUAUUAGGUGGGCUGGGCUGGGCCGACCCAACUAACUGGGCCGGACUCAGCCUAAAAAGGGUUGGGCCGAUCUUGGCCCAGCAGAGAUUGGGCCGAUCUCGGCCCAACAAAGUCUCCUAUUUUUGUCUGGGUCGGACCUGGCCAAAACAGCAGGGAUGGGCCAGAAUCAGUCUGGCCCACAAAACACAUGGCUGGGCCAGAACCAGUCUGGCCCAGAGAAGAAAAUACCAACAAUGCUGGGCCAGAAUCAGCCUAGCCCAGCAACAUAACAUCAGGGGGGGAAUUAUUUCCCCCCUCCCCUCCUGCAUGCAGAACGUUGUUCGUUCUGCAUGCAGGGGAAAAACAACGAAGGUGCAGACAAUUAGGGGGGAGAAAAGUUACCUGGCGUGGAGGAGGUGAUGCGUUGCUGGUCUGGCUGCUUCGCUGGUGGUGCUGUGGCGGAGGCUGGUGGCGGUGUUGUGGCUCACGGGCGGCGGCUCCAAACAGUAAUGUUACUGCUUCAGGCGGUGGAAAAAAAGCUUUUGUUCUUCCCUUCUCCUCCGUUCUCCUUCUCUCCUUCUGCUGCGUUUCCUUUCCCCUUUGGUUUGCUUUGUAUCUUUACUGUUUUUUUUUUUUUGGUUUGCUUUCCCUUUCCUCUAAUCCUCACAGUCCCUCUCCCGUUUGUGUCUUCCCCAGUUCUUUCCUUUUUGGUCCGUUUUUAUCCCUCUCAAUUUGGGUUUACUGGUGGUUCCUUUUGUUUCCGGUUCUUCUUCCUCUAUUCACUUCCCCUUUUCUUUUUCUUUUUUCUCCCCUCUGUUACGUUACUCUCCUUUCGGUCACUUUCUCUCCUCUCUGCGGUUCGUUUCUUUCUCUCUUUUCCUUUGUUAUUUCUCUGCCUCUCCUCUUCCUUUUUCUUUCGCGUGCUGGCGUUGGGGGUAUUUAUAGGGCAAAAGAGAGCGGGGGCGUCCCUAUUGCCACCCUAUGGCAGCGCCUGGGGAGCAGGGCUUUGCUGCCCUACCACAGCGCCGAGUUGGCUGGCCAAUGGGCGAAGCUGGCAGGGCGCGGCUCCCUUGGUUUUUUCAUCAUGAGAGUGCAUGGGGGGUCGGGUUUCGGCAGGGCAUGCGGCGUCCAGGGUUUAAUGAAGAAAGAAGAGAAAAAUAACACUACCUUCCCCUGCUGCACGUCCAGGGGAAGGAGAAAGGAGAACAGUGUCGUUCAAAACGACACUGUUCUGCCCCUCUUUUUUUUUUUUUACAUGAAACGGUGUCGUUUUGGACAAAACACGCCGUUUCAUUUAAAUAAGGCGCCACACGUCAACUUCCAAAUCAGUCCUUAAUUUAUCUUUUGUUCAUUUCAAUUGCAUCCCUGACAACUUCAAUCUUCGCCCUUAUAGUUGGCUGCCUUUCCCACUUUGGUCCUUGGUCUCUAAUUUAUGCAAUUUGACCCUCAAUUGACCAAUAAACUUCUAAUUUCUUCAAUUUGGCCCCUGAUUGGGUUAAUUACAGCCCCUCUAUUUACGCGCCUUUUUCAAUUUGGUCCUUGGUUUCAGAUUUCCUCAAUUAAGUCCCUAAUUGGCCAUUAACCUUCAAUAUUUAUGCAAUUAAGCCCCUGAUUUGACCAAAUCAACUCUCAAAAAUUAUAAUUUGACCCCAGAACUUUAAUUUCUUCCAAUUAAAGCUCAAAUUGACUUAAAAAUCAAUUUUUCUUGCAAUCAAACCCUCUAUAAAUUCAAUUAAACCUUCAAUAAAAUCCAAUUGAGUCCAUAAACAUCCAAUUUUGGACUUUUCUCUUCAAAUUAAUUUUUCUUUUCCAACAAGGCUCUCAUCAUUCAAGUAUAUACUGUAAAAUUUCACUCCUUGUAUUUUUGAACUUCCUUAAUCAAUUUUUCUGAUCCUUUUCUGAACACUCCAACCUCCUAUUAUUUUUCUAAUUUCUUCCAGCUAUAUAUUUAUAUAUUUAUUUUUAUGGGGGAUCCAAAAUGGGUUACAACAGCUUGUACGUUCAUCGCCAAAAACACCAUUGGCUUUCAGUGUUGCUUGUUCUCAUAAUGAUUUGGUCCUGUAUCAUUAUUCAAAGCUAUACAACUUAAUUUGUCUUUAGCAUAUCUUAAUGGAAGGUGGUUUAUUUUAUUUAUUUAUUUAAUGGAAUUGCAUUCAAAAUUCAUUAAUUAAUAUAUAGUAAAUUACUUGCAAAGAAAAAACAGAAAGGCUACUCUUAAAUGGUGGUCUCAGCGCAAAAGACUUUUUUAGUGAGAGAGGAAUUAUUAUCUAUGAGAAAGGUCUGUCCUUUUUGCUGCAAGGAUAUUAAAAUUAUACAUCAACUUUUCCAUCAUUCUCUUAUAACAUAGUUUUUUUUUUUUUUUGAUAAAUUCUUGAAUUGGUUUGGAUGUUUAGAUUAUUUGCCUAGGGAUCCAAAUCAUAACUUGCAAGAAUGGUUCGGCUCCAUAAAAAAUAAUUUUUAGUGUCAUGCAAUUAUCCUUCUCCCUAAAGGACUUGACUGAUCUAUUCGAAUAACUCGCAAUCGUCUAAUAUUAGAGUCUAAGACUCCAGAUUGAGAUGUGAUUUUUUACUUUAUCUUUUACUAUUUGAUCUUUUGGUUAAAGUUUUCAGUUAGAAAUUUCAGCUACAUAAGCUUUAAUUUUUUUUAGAAUCCUUUAUGUAUCAUGAACUAGACUAAUUAGUUUGUUCUCUUGUUUCCUUGCUUUCCUUUUUUAUUUUAUCUUUGUAUUCUUCUUUUUCUUUUAGCUUCCUUUUACUUAUAGAACUGCUUUAUAUAUAAUUCUCUCUGUUACUGAAAAAAAAAAGGUUGAAACAUUGAAUAUCAAAACCAGAUGUACUCUCAACGCUUUGUUUUGCAAGAUUAAUUAGCAGCAACAAAAUUUUCUUGUCGGCCCCGUUUGUUUACUGGAAAGUAUUUUUUUUUUAAAGUAAAUUUCGGGAAAAUAAAUUAUUUUUCAAUGUUCGGUAGUGUAAUGGAAAAUAAGUUGAAAAAUAUUUUCAAAUGUUUGGUUAUGUCAUGAAAAAUAAGCUGGAAAAUAACUUAUUAAUGUUUUAUUUUUUUUCAAGUUUAUUAAAAUAAUGAGGAACAAAUCUUACAAAUUAAAAAGUUGAAUGAGAGUGAAAUUGAAAAAAAAAAUUCAUAAAUUAUCUCAAAUAAAAUAAAUAAUAAUCAAAAUAAUAGAGAUCAAAUCUAAAAAAUAAAAAAAUUGAAAGAUGAAGAAAUUAAAAUAAUAAUAAUUAACAUUUCAUAAAUUAUUUCAAAUAAAAUAAGUAACAAUCAAAAGAAUGAUGACCAAAUUUGAUAGAUAAAAAAUUUCAAUAAAAAAAUGAUAAGGAAAAAGCAAAUAACAAUUAUAAAAAUGAGGAUCAAAGUUAAUAUAAAAAUUAAAUUCUAAAGGAUGAAAUAUUUAAAACAAAAAAAAUAUAUAUAUAUAUAUAUAUAUAUAUAUAUAUCAAUCAAAAGUUUGAAGACCAAAUUUGAUAUAAUCAGCAAAUAAUAUAACAUUUCUAAAUUUUUCACAACUUCCAGAAAAUGUUUUCUUUCCAAAAUAAAAGGAAAACACUUUCCUGAAAACCAAGCCAAAUUUUUCUUUGACUGGAAAGUAUUUUUCAUUGACCGGAAAGUAUUUUCUGUUGACCAACUUUUCUAAUGGCAAACAAACACUUAAAAAUUUAAAAAUUAAAUUUUUAAAUAUUAUUUUCCGAAAAACAAAAACACAUGAAUAAAAAGUUUCCCUUUUCAGCCUCCUUGUCAUCAUGGUGAUUAUUUAUUAUUGAGGCAAUUAAUAGAAUUUGUCUGAUUCCAAGAUUCAAUUAAUGGAAUUUUAAACACCUUAACUAUUGUGCCCUCUCACGUUUUCUUUCUCUAAAAAAUAUUAAUAAUUAUCCUUGUAAAAUUUAACUUGUAAUGAUUUAAAUCAUUAUCACCAGCACUCCACCAUCUCCAUUGUCAUUGCAGCUACUGCUAAUAUCCACCAUCACCUUCAUCACUGGUACUGGUACUGCUCCUCCACCACCACCACCCCGAACAACCAUAAUCUCUAUUAAUGCCACCUUCAAUUACCAUUGCUUCACCACCGCUGUAACAACCACUAACACCUCAUUACUCCACCACCGCCCCUUCACAUAUGCUUUCAUGGCAAUUCUUUCAAAUGGGCUUCAACUUUUUGUCGUACCUUCACUAGGAUAGAGACUUCUUACUUCUCCUGUCUUCCUUCUCAUUAGCAGCCUCCUCAGCAAACCAAAUCCUUUUUUUCCUAACAAAAAAUUGAAAGUUAAGAGUUAUCUCAAUUUGGGGUUUUUUUAGGGUUUAAAAAAACGUGAUUAAUUGUUUUUCCACUCGUAAAUUGCGCAGGUAAUUUUAUUUUUUAAGUGAUAUGUUAUUUUGUUCCUUUUAUGCUGUAUUAUAUAUGAAAAUAAAUGUAUUUGUUUUCAAAAUUAAAAAAUGACUUUCAUCCCAGAUGUAAAUUGUAAUUUUAAAAAAUAAAAUAAAGACAAAGUGAAAAAUGAUUAAGGCCUCGUUUGUUUGCUGAAAAGUAGUUUUCUUUUGGAAAGUGAAUUUUGGAAAAGUGAAUUAUUUUCUGAUAUUUGGUAGUGUAAUGGAAAAUAAGUUGAAAAACACUUUCCAGUGUUUGGUUAUGUCAUGGAAAAUGAGUUGAAAAAUAACUUAUUAAUGUUUUAUUUUUCUCAAGUUUAUUAAAAUAAUGAGGAACAAAUCUUACAAAUUAAAAAGUUGAAUGAGAAUGAAAUUGAAAAAAAAUAUAAUUUCAUAAAUUAUCUCAAAUAAAAUAAAUAAUAAUCAAAAUAAUAGAGAUCAAAUCUAAAAAAUAAAAAAAAUGAAAGAUGAAGAAAUUAAAAUAAUAAUAAUUAACAUUUCACAAAUUAUUUCAAAUAAAAUAAGUAACAAUCAAAAGAAUGAGGACCAAAUUUGAUAGAUAAAAAAUUUCAAUAAAAAAAUAAUAAGGGAAAAGCAAAUAACAAUUAUAAAAAUGAGGAUCAAAGUUAAUAUAAAAAUUAAAUUUUAAGAGAUGAAAUUGAAAAAUAAAUAUUCAAAACAAAAAAUAUAUAUAGUAAUCAAAAGUUUGAGGAUCAAAUUUGAUAUAAUCAGAAAAUAAUAUGACAUUUCUAAAUUUUUCACAACUUCCGGAAAGUGUUUUUUGUUGACCAACUUUUCUAAUGGCAAACAAACACAAGGAAGUUUGGAAAGUGAUUUCCCGAAAACCACUUUCCGGAAAACAAACAUAGUCUAAAUUACAAAAUGCUCAAUAUAAUUUUCCCUUUUAAGUAUAUAGAAAGAAUUGUCAAUAUAAUAAAAUUUUAUAUUUAUAAAUUUGAAUAUGGUGUUUCAUUGAAUAAGAGAAUAUUAUCCUACCCACCUUUAUAACUAAUUAAUAAGUCAUGAAUUUCACCUCAUAGAGGCUAAAUUAAAUCCAUCAAUAUCUACCUCGGUUACUUGUUGUAGCUUUAUUUAUCUAAUUAAUAGACUUUUUUUUUUACUUAAUCAUAAUUAACAAGUUAAUGUGCUUGUUCUAUUACUCUUCAUUGUAUUAUUUUCUUGGCUUUCCAAACUGAAAUAAUUAAAUUAACCACAUUCACAUUGUGAGAUUGAAAUAAUCAUAAGAAGUUCCCAUUUCUAGAAUAUUUAUAUAUAUCCCAACGCUACUUUGCUUGGUUACAAUUUGUUUUUGAAGCCUAGUUGUGCUUAAGAUGUUUAUUGAGAGAGAAACAAAAAAAAAAUGAGAUAGAAAUAUUUAAAUAACAUUAGGUGAGAUCAAUUGAGUUUUCUCUCUUAUUUUUAUGUCUUUUUGCUCGCGUGAUGAGAAUAAUAAUAGAUAAUUAACUAUAUUUUAAAAAAAUCAUCUUAUCUUUCUUAUUCAUAUCUGAAAUUUAGAAACAUCUCAACUGCAUUUAUUUUAAUUUGAAGAUAAAAAGUUUGCAUAAAAAUAAUAAACAAAAUUCGAAUUUGACCUCAGACUUGAUAAAUCCUCCAAUAGCUUUAAUUAACAUCUUGAAGGUACUAAUAUAUAAAAAAAUUAUGUACUUUAAUUACAUAAACUAAAAAAAUUUGAAAAAUUUCAACGGAAAAUUAGGGAAGAUUAUAUCGGUUAUGAAAAUUACUGAUGGACACAACAAUGGAAUAUCUCCUUUGAAAACUAACAUGUUAAGUUUUUUAUUUCGUUUAUAAUUUCAUUUGUAGUUUUCAAUAUCAAUAGUUGAUGAAAUAUUGGCAUCUAAAAAUCAGUUUUAAUUAUCUUUUUUGUCAGAAUUGAAAAUUACAGACAGAAAAAUUAAAUUAGAAACUGUCACUGAUUUUUUAUAGCUAUUUAAUGUCACUUGAUAUACUAAAUCUUUCAACCAAAGAAGCUAAUGCUAAUGUAAUUCCAAAUUCAAAUGUGUGAAGGAAGAAAUUUGAUGAUGACCUGAAACAGAGUGCAAUGGAUCUGGGUUUGCAAGCUGUUUCUUGGUAGGUUGGGCUUGGUGCUGAAGAGACUGACAGGGUCCUGACUAAUGAAGCUUGGAGAUUGGAUUUCUGUAAUUGUAUAGAGUUUCUACCCAACAAACAAAUUGGAGUCAAAAUCAUACAUUCUCAGUCAUAUAAUUGGAGAUAUUUACACAAAAACAACAGUUUUUUAUAUUUGACUGAGGGCAGACGAAUAUCGAGUGAGUUUUUUACAUAUUUAUUGUAUUACUUCUUUAAUUAUUUUACUAUGUUAUCCUAUUUAGAGAUACUAAUGCUAAUUAGAUUAUAUAUUAGCUAUUUAGCUUUUCAAUAAAGAUUCUUUUCUGAUUAGGAUUUCGAUGUAAAAAUGGUAUAAAUAGGAAUGUUUAACUUACGUUUUAGAAUUAUUAAUAUUCAAAAUUUAUCAAAUCAUAGUGUUGUCUGUUGGAGCUCCCUAAUUCGAUCAAAUAGUUAACACUUGAACACACAGGACAUUUCUUUUGUUUGUUCUUUUUUCCUUCCAACAAGGGCAAAUAUUAUUUUUCUUGUAAACAAUUAUUGAAAGUGAAGUUACAAGAGGAAGUAAUGACAGAGUGCCUAUGAAGUUGAAGAGCAUCCUUUCAAUGGUUUCGGAUAAGACCUGGAAGAGGUGUGCCUAUGAAGUUGAAGAGCUGCUAGCAGUGUCACGUCUCUGCUGCAAUGUUGAUAAUCCAACAUAAAUAUACGGUGUGUGAGAUAUUUUAUGCCAAUCCACUCCGUUCCCUCUCUGACAUCGUUUUUCGAGUUCAGGACAGCCUCUGAUGGACAAAUGCUGGAGUGCGCGGAGUCGUUGGAGACCUUGUGGGAAAGACUUGAUGUUUUGGCAAUCUGAGAUUGUCAAAGAUCGAAGUGAAACCAGGUUCUCCACCCAUGCUGGUAAUUCCAUGACUCCUGGACAGUCGUGAAUUUCCAGGUUUUGCAAUGUUGUAAUAAAUUGUAGUCCCUCGGGCAGAGAUGCCAGCCCUGUGCAGCUUAAAAUGCUCAGACUUUUAAGUGCAGAGAGAUGUUGCAAGCCAUUUGGCAAAGACACCAGAUUUGAACAAUACAUAAUAGUUAGGCGUUCAAGGGCUGUGGCAUGUUGCAUCCGACUCGGCAGAGAAGUCAAGCUGUGACAAUUCUCAAUGGAGAGUGAUCGCAGCGAACUCAAUCCUUCUAGGCUUUCCUCUGGCAGGGAGACUAAAUUAGGACACUCGAUAAUCUCCAAGGACUCCAGAGAAGUCAGAUUUGUCAAACCAUGUGGCAAAGAGUGUAGCUCCUGAAACCAGCCUAUUCUUAGAAACUUCAAGUUCUGGAGUUGUCCAACAUUUGCAGGCAAUGAACGAAGUUUGGGACAGAAGGAAAUUGUCAAAGACAAGAGAAGCAAGUUGUUUUCUAUGAGUGCUUUUGGUAUAUAGAGUAACUCCGGAAAAUUGCCAAUAAUGAGAGUGGAGAUUGAUCGUAGCUGUGCUACAGACCGUAGCAUCACUGGGUGGCAGUUUCUGAUCUCUACAUGUUGAAGAGAUGGAAACCAUGGCAUGGUGAUCAAAACUGGGCAGUUAAUGAUAGUUAAUUUGUUCAAGCAAGUGAAUGCUUCCACAGGAUUGGUGCUCCAGGUUUCCAACUUAGGAAAAUCUUUGAGAGAGAACUCGGUCAAUGAUGAAAAAGCUCUCAUGCCACCAAAGAACUCAUUGCCGAUGUUCACUACAGAAUCCAUUCCUUGGAUACGGAGAACUUUCAGCAGCGGCAAUUCCCCAAGCGUGGGGAGGCUUUCACAAUUUGUGCAGUUGGCUAACUCAAGUUGUAUCAGAUUGCAGAGGGCGGCUGCGUUCAUCCAAUCUGGAAACUCAGUUCCUGGAUAGCCAUUCACAAACAACUUCUUUAUCCUGGAGUUUGGCUUCAAUGUUGAAUGAAGUAAAAUCCUUGCAGUUUCAACACUAUGAUGUCCUGUUUGGCUUCUUGGAUCCCUCAUGUUACCACUCAGCUUAUGUUCAUCAGCAUCAGCAUCUCCCCAUGACAAUCCCAACGAGUUAAGUUGCAUAUUUUCGAAACAAUAAUGAUGUCCAGGCCCAGGAAAUUUUUUUGCAGAUAAUACAUUCUCGAGGUGUUUAAUUUUCAGUUCACCUCGAAGAUUUUGUAGCUUUAGUAACUCAUAUAGGCCAUCCUCCCAUGUUUUGCCAACUAUAAAUAUAGGCAAGGUCUGAAGAUUUCCCAAUGCCCCAAUAAAAUCUGGCAAGCGAGCAAGUCUUGCACAGUUUUCUAUUUUCAGAUGUCUCAGGCUGGUCAUCAUUCUCGUCCUUUUGGGUAACUUUUGAAGAAUAUAGCAACUUGAUAAAUCUAGUGUCUGCAAUUGGAGGUUACAAAUAGAUGCUGGUAAUUUUUCAAUUGGAGUGUCGGACAGAUCAAGAUAUCUCAGGCAUGUCAAGUCACCAAUGGAUUUGUGCAAAAUUUUUAUGCCAAACCCACUCAAAUUCAGAAUUCUGAGGUACUUGAAGCUUGAAAUUAAAUUCCUGACGGAUUUCUCUGAUGCAUCUCCUAGAGAUAACAACUUGAGGGUACGCAAUCCCUUUGCUCCGUACAAGGCUCCAGGAACCCGGUUGGAUGAAGAAUAGCAAUCAACCACAGCAUGUCUAACUUUUGUGGAGUGGCUCAGUUUCAAGGUCCCUUGUUGUUCAGUCUUCCCUGUAGUGAGGAAUUCAUUACCAGCAACUGAUAUAGCAAGACCAUGAAUAAGAUCAUGCAUUUUGAUCCUUGUUGUGCUGCUGUCAUCACAUCCACUCACCACUUCUAACAAAGACAUCCUUAGCAGAUCAGUGAGAUAGUCGGAGCCGAUGUCUUCAGGUUCGGACACCAGAUCAUGAUCGCAUUGAACUAAUCCCCCGGCUAUCCAUUGAUGGAUCAACUUUUCCUUGCAUAUUUCAAAUUUCUUCGGAAAAACCGCACAAUAAGCAAAACAUCUCUUUAAAUUUGAUGGCAGAUGAUCGAAACUCAACCUUAGGAUCUGUAUUAUUUUAUUGUCCUGUCUAUCAAGAUUCAAUAAUUCGCUCCCUUGCACCCGCAACCACUCACUUUCUUCGCGUUUGAACCGCAUUAAGCUUCCAAGAACUUUCGCUGCCAAAGGCAAUCCUUUGCACUUGUCAAUGAUCUGUUUUCCAACAGGUAGUAAGUUUGGAAAAUCAUUUUCAUCUCCAUCAGGAAAGGCCCGCUGCUUGAACAACACCCAGCAAUCAUCCUCAGACAGGGCUUCCAAAUGGUAAGGGGGGCUAGUGCUCAUUAUGGAUGCUACAUUCCAGCUCCGGCUGGUGACAAUAACUCUGCUUCCAUUUGUACCAUCCCCUAGCAGAUUCCUUACUUUAUCCCAUUUAUCUGGAUCCUCAUUCCAAACAUCAUCCAACACAAGGACAAAUCUUUUUCCGUGCAAUGCUUUCCGCAAUUGUGACUGCAGCAAACCCAUCUGGGAUAUCGAAUAAUGCUCGCCCUUCUGGACAUAAGCCAACACUUGACUCAUAAUCUUCCUAGGAUUAAAAUCAUCAUCAUAUAGGGAGAUCCAAAUCUUCAAAUCAAAAUGCUUGUUCACUCUCUCAUCAUUGUAGGCUAAUUGAGCAACGGUUGUUUUUCCAAUACCUCCAAUCCCAAUUAUAGGAAUCACUCGGAAAUCAGUAUUAGAUGCCAAUAACAUUUUCACAACCUUUUCCACAUCCUCUUUUCUACCACAAACUUCAGACUCAACUAUGUGAGGUCCAGUUUCUCUUCCUUCUCUAUUACCAGUCUGUGGUAGUCUCGACAUCAGAUGGAACCCGCCCAUCUCCGUCGAUAUAUCGUCCAAUCUCUCCCUAAUCUCUCUCAGCUUACGAAAGUUUAUGAAAUAAUUUGGAAUUGAUUCAACAGUAUGAGAAGCCAACCGUACCUUUCUAUUCAUCAGCUCACCAAAUUCCUCUGCCCAAAGCUUUCCUUUACCGAGUAUUCCCGUGUCGUAACUCGGAGAAUAUGUGACGCGGUCACUUUGGAGCACUUGUUUGGACAAAACUCGAGCAUAGAUCAUGUCCCAUGGGAAGCGGUCACUUUCGAGCACUUGUUUGGACAAAACUCGAGCAUGGAUCAUGUCCAAUAAAUCUUCAGCAUCAUAGGCCACAUCUUUAAGUUUUUGCAGCCAAAUCUUGAUCUGCUUAUCUCCAUGUUGUCUCUCCUCUGCAUCUUCGAUCACACCUUGAAUUAUGGGAAGCCUAUUCUGCAGCUUUUGCAUCUCCUUCUCGUAAUCUCCUCCAGACGUUAACUCUCUGAUGAUCAGAAGAGCCAACUUAUCAAACACCGCCUGUAAAAGGGGAGAUACAACUAAAGCAUCCAUGAUGAUAUUCUAGCAAUCUGCCAGUAGACACAAAAUGAAAGGUGAAUUGAGCAAAUAACAGGGAAAGGGUUUUUCUUUUUCCUUAUUUCUAUCUCUCUUCCUUCCAGCUUCCUUCUUGCUUUUUGCCUCUCUGCUUCUGCCUGGAACCUUCCGUGGACCUUGAUGAUAAGACUUUGACUGCUGUCCACAAAAAUUCAUGUCUAAUAUUGUUUUUCUAAAUUUAUUAUAUGACACCAUUCUAAAAAAUUAUUGUUUUUAUUCGACUGCUAAAUAUUAAACCAGUUUUUUUUAAUUAAUAUAAAUAUUCGGAACAGCUUGUACGUAUCUCAAUUAAUUUCACAGAUUCUAAAAUUAACAAUCAUAUAAACCUCAAGUGGUCUGAGGUUUGUAAAACUCGAAAAGAAUAAUUUUUAAAGAGCAAAUUCAAGACCUAACUAGUUAAACUACACCUCUCAAUAUUAAUAUUAAACCUCUGUUUGCUUGGCUUUGUAGUGUGAUAUAUUGAUAUUUUAUAAAAAUAAUUUUUAAUUAAAAUAAUUUUUUUUUUCUACAAGUAGAUUAAAACAUCAUCUUUUUCAUCAUUCUAGUCUUUUUGGAAAUUUUAACUGUAUAAACUCUGAUCUUUUUUAAAAUCCUUAAUAUAUCACAAACUAGACUAACUAGUUUGGUCGUUUCUCGUUUCCUUGCUUUUGUUUUUUUUUUUUUGUCUUUAUAUUCUCCUUUUUCUUUUAUCCUCUGUUUAUUUGUAAUACUGAUUUAUAUAAUUCUCUCUGUUACUUGAAAAAAAAAAAAAAGGUUGAAACAUUGAAUAUCAAAACCAGAUGUACUCUCAAUGCUCUGUUCAGCUAGAUUAGCAGCAACAAAAUUUCCUUGUCUAAGUACAUGACUAAAAAGUUGCCCUUUUCAGCCUCCUUGUCAUCAUGGUGAUUAAAUUUAUUCUUGAGGCAAUUAAUAGAAUUUGUCUGAUUUCAAGAUUCAAUUAAUAGAAUUUUAAACACCUUAACUAUCGUGCCCUCUCACGUUUUCUUUCUCUAAAAGAUAUUAAUAAUUAUCCUUGUAAAAUUUAACUUCACUAGUCCCAUCAAACACAUUCUAAGUGUUUUUGUUACCAAUUAAUAUUUUUUUAGAAUUGAACUCUAAAAAGAUGAUGAUUAUCUUGCAAUUAAAUAGAUAAAAGGUUUCAAAUGUUUAUUACAUACGUUGCUAUUAAGAUUUGAAGGAUGAAACAAAGAUAAGGCUUUGAUCAAGUGUAAAACAUUAAAAAAAACAAACUUGAACUUUAAUAUAAGAAAAAAAGUAAUGGAAAGCACACAAAUAAAAGUUCAAAUAUAGAGCUAAAUAAAAUUAAUUACGAAUAUCAGGUUUAUUUAUUUAUUUGAUGGAAUUGGAUUCAAAUUGCAUUAAUAUACAGUAAGUUACUUGCAAAAGAAAUUGUCAUGUCCAUGGCUGUCAUUGAGAAAUAUGUGCCAUUAGUGGUCUAAAGUCUAAAGCAUGCGCCAAAAACUCUUUAGAAAGAACUGUUCGUUCUAUUUGGCAAUUCUUGCAUCAUCACGCACGUAUAUAAAUGACUCCUUACGCUCUGUUUCAUCUUUUGUUCCCUUUGGCCAGUAAGCAAAGGGAGGCAAGGAAAUAUUUCAGCCAUCAAAAUAGUUGAUUUUAUAUUAAAUAAUUUUAUAUAAUGAUUUUAUAUUAAAUAAUUUCAUAUAAUGAAAAAAGUUUAAAUUAGUUUUUUUAAAAAAACUUUUCUAAAAUAAUAGAUCUAAACUUGGGAAGAUUUUUGUUUCUAGAUUGAUUUUGAGUUUUAAGAUAAUGUUUUGUGUUUUUUAAGUUCAUGAAUUGGUUCAAUUAAAUUUUUAAAGUGUUUUUUUAAGUAUUUUAAGUAAUUAUAUAGGUUGAAAAUGGAAAGAGACAUGUACAACGCCUCUUAAUAGAGGGACUGGUACGUGGGUGUGUGCUUACAGAGAGAUAUGUACGAGGGGUGUAUGAGAAAUAGGUCUUUAGUGGUUAAUGAUGGUUGCUGGAAACUAGUGUAGUGGAAGGAUAGUUUUUUAACGGUAGUUUCGUGUUGUCAGUGCUUUCUAUUUUUUAGCAUAUUGUUUAACUUUCCAAGUUUAGUGGGCUAUAAAAUAUAGUCAAUAGGUUAUUCUUAAUUAUGCAGAUAAUAAUAUAAAAUACUUUCUACUUUUGUUUCUUCUUCCCUGAUUGAUAAUAAAGUACUCAUCAAGUGCUCAAGUCAACAAUGGUAGGCAUCAAGUGCUCAAGUUUAGUGGGCUAUAAAAUAUAGCCAAUAGCUCCUUGUUUUUCGGCUCUUGUUUUUUUACAAGAUAAAGGCAUGGAGUGCAUCCAACCCUAAAUAUGCAACAUACAAGAAAUAAUAUAAAAAGUAAAAAAGGAGAAUAAAGAAAAGUUGUGAGGUAUUGAGGUAUUUGGAAGAGAAUAAAUAAGAUAUUUUUUUUAUUAAUAAAGAAAUUUCCAGUUGUUUUAUUAAUUAAUAAAGAGAGGAUUGCUUAUUAAAAUCUUUUUAUACUUGCAUAACUCUUGUGUUUAUCAUUUCUCAUUUUAUCCUUUGUUUUGUCGGGUUUGCAAACAAGAUCCUAACAUCUCGCCAGCAGCGCUGCCUACUGCCUUCAACGCCAGCCUCCAUCUCCACUUUCCACCAUCACCAAACCCUCCCUUCAAACCAAUCACUACGGUAGCCCAGCCGCCACUACCCACUGCUCAGCACCCACACACAAACCACCGUCGCCAAGCAGCAGCAGACCCAAACAAUUGCAUCGCCAUUUUCGUCCAAACCCCCAUCACCGAUCGUAAUCAUCACGCCGGCAAGAAAACCACAGCCCCCAUCGCCAUACUUCAAACCUCCACGCUCCUCACAUCGACUGCCCUCUCUCUCGCCAAGCAAUCACCACGCGUCGUUCAUCUCAUCACCAAACCACCACACACCACCACACAGCAAACACCCAGAGCAUCCCAAACUCACCAAAUCAGUCACCGAAAACAGCACCACCUCCAACAACCAAAGACAGCAGCGGUAAUAAC
rnacentral:lncRNA from 1 species